rnacentral:lncRNA from 1 species
UAGAUUUAACUGUGCAGAAAAGAUUUUUCUACACUACGAUCCCUAUAUGAUGACAGAAGGGGUUUGAAUAUGUGAAGGUUGUUAAUUUUUAUUGUGACUUGCUUCUUUGGCAAGCAAUGAAGAGAUGCUAUAAGCUCUCAUGGUUUGUUAUAUGGCAAAGAGAAUCCUUUAUGAGUAGCAAGUCCCCAAGCUUGCUAACAGCUAUGAGAAAUGAAUAUGUGACUCUUUCGCUUGAGUUAUUGUGUGGCUCUUUGGGGUGGGGAUUUGCUGAAAAAAAUUGAAUGGACUCAGUUCCCAUUGGUGGAGCUCUUUCUCCUUGUUGACACGUCAGCAUUAGAGGAAUGGCAUGGUGAAGUUGAUAUUAACUGUAUAGGCAUCAGUUUCGGCAACUUGAACCUCACCUAUUGCAAGGCAUUUCUGUUUCAGUUGGCUACAUGAAGCUCCUGUCUUUGAGUAUCUCUGACAAUUGUGUUGAUGGAAUCAUUGUGGCUGAUGGGGUUUCUAUAGUCUAAGUGCCGAAAGAUCUCUUUAAGCUUUCAGUUUAGUUAUAUGCCCCUUGAAUUGUAGCAUUGAAUGUGGGCCGGUCUUGUAAAAACCUCUUCAAUUGGAUUGUCGUGGCUGCUUUCAGUUUACAGGAUGUACUUCUGUGUCUUUUGCUGAUUUUCGAUGGAAAAUUAUAGCAACUUAAAAAGCCAGUACCGAUAAGUAUUAGCAAUCCUGGACCGUAUGUUUUAUGCAGACCUUAAACUCACUUUCAUAUGCUGAGUACUGAGCGGUUGAUUUCGUUAAGUAGGGCAUGCCAAAAUCAUAUCAAUUGGAAAUUCUUUCAUGGUUGAACUUUCUUUCUUUGCCUAGAUAUUGUCAUAAUAUUUCUCUCCUCAUUUUGUAUUCUCAUAAUUUCUCCUAUCUGGGAAGGAAUGGGAGAAGGAUCUACUAAUGGCAGUGGCAAUCGCAAUGCAUACUUGCAGCUUUCAGCAAUAGUUUUUGCUGCGUUCUCCCUCGGUUCCUGUAUCGUCUUUCUAAAGCUUUUCUUUCUUGGUGGGUGCCGAUAGUUUAAUCUGAUUACAUUUGUUGUUUUUUGCUGAUUUGGCUCGCGUUUCGUCUUCAAUAAAAGUUGGGUGGUUGAGCUCUGGUGUGUGAUCUGAUUUACAGAUUCUGAUUAUGCUUCUGGAUCGGUCCUUGAAUCCUGAUUUGUUGAACCAACACUAGCAGGUGAAGUUCAUAUAAUGUCCGUCUAGUGUUUAAUGAUCCAAAGCUGUUCGAUCUAAUCUGAUUAGAUGAACAGGAUGGAGAUCGCGGCAGGAAGCCAAGCAAUCAGCAGGAUGAGGGACUUGGAAUCGUUGCCGCAGAUGGCCAGGUACAUCUGGUUCAUGACUCGCCGCGCCCCUCAGGGAAGUUCUUGACGCAGGUGACGAGGGUGCCGGUGCUGGCGAAGUUCCAGGAGUUGGCGCCGACGCAGAUGUAGAGGCACGUUUGCCAGACGGCAGGGUGGGGGAUCUUGCCGGGGACGGCGAGCCAGAUGAGGAAGUAGCCGGCAAAGUUCACGGCGGAGCCAGUGAGGAGGACGAACCGGGUUGGGGUGACCUUGGCGAUGAGGCCGGAGAGGACGCCGACCUUGGCGCCGAGGUCCUUGAAGAAGCCGGGGAGGUUAAGGCCCUGAGGCUAGUCUGGUCGUAGCCGAGGGUGGACUCGAUCUGCUUGGAGUUGAUGCCAAAGAGGUGGCACCGGCGCUGGCGCCGAACAUGACGAGGAAGGAGGCGAGCACCGUGAACCACUGCCCGCGGAGCAGGGGACCGUGGACCGGAGCGCCUCGGAGCCGGCUGGUCCCGGCGGGUCGGCUGUUGGUGCAGAGUUGGUUUCAAAGUGAAGUGAGAGAGAGUGUUACGAAAUUAUUUGGAAAUGCUGAGUUUGCUUUGCUCCCAAUAUAAAAUGGAUGCGAUGUUUGAUCGAAAGCUCUUAGAUCUGAUCUGAUUACCCGAAAAUGGUCCAGAUGUCAGCCCGAGGUAGUUUAUGGACAUAUAUUUUAUCGGUCGGAUUCUAUAUAAAUAUUUCGAUUUAUAGGUUUUUCACAUUUUUUAUUUUAUUAUUUUUAAUUGUUUAAUUGACUUUUUUUUAAUUUAAUUUAAAUUUUUAUCCAAUUAGCAUAGAGCUUAAAAUGCGUAGGUUUUUCUAGAAUAUUAAUAGGUUUUAAUAAUAUGAAUCGGGUUAAAAAUGAGUUAUUAAAUUUACAUUACAUGAAUAUGAAUCAAUAUGGAUCAGAUUAUUUUCGACUUAAUUCAAAUCUGAUCCAACCCAUUCAUUUGAUGAAUCUAGUAUUUGAAAACAUACUUCCAUUUUCUUCUAUUCAAAUUUGUGUCACCCUCUAAAAAUUACUUCAUCAUGUUGAGAUUGAUAUGAUUCAACGAUAUAUAAAUCAAUUUAAUGAAAAUUCGAAACCAUCAACAGUUGAAGUGACAUUACAUUUAAUGACGUAAAAUAUCAAAGACAAAUUAAAUAACCAAAGAUAAAAUUUGGCCAAAAGCUCAUUGAUCAAAUGGUAUAGCCAAAAAUUCAGUGGGACGCUGCUUCAACGACGACGAGAUGUGAGCCUCCAAGUGACGGUCCUUUCAUUGCUGCUUCUCGCUCGACAACAGCACCGUCUUCCAGUUUGCCGUCCACCUGUUGCCGCCAUCCGCUGCACCUCCAACACCGCCCACCCAACAGCAACGGUGCUAGCCACGCGUCGGUCCCGACGGCCACCUUCUAUUAACAGCCUCCGCGAAUUUUCUUUUCCUAGAGGUUUCCAUCGCGGGUGACCAUCCAGUGACGCCUAGCACAUCUCCUGCACUUGUCAGGACAAAAAGAAAGGGAUGAUCUUGAACAGAGCGGAAGAAAAGUCAAGCGGUGGUCAAAGUGGAGAAAAUGAAAAAACUGGAACGGAGAAGAUUUAUUCCAUCAUCCCCCACUUUCCAGAAUAUACGAUACAGAUAGAAUAAAAAGAAAAGGGGAAAUUUUGGAAAUUCGCUCCUCAUGUUUUCCCAAGAGUCACCACUGAGCCAAGCCGAGCCGCGCCGGGUGACGAAUCACACGCCAAACCACCACCGGCCAUCCUCUGCCGUCAAGCACCACCGCGAGUAGCCUUGCCGCGAGCCUCACCCUCGAGCCGCCUUUGAAUGAGUCUGAGUUUGGAUUGCUCCCUUCAAAUUACGUAAUGAUCUAAUUUGAUUGGAGUAUUUUAUUACAAAUUUCGGAUUAAUUUCGUUAUCUAAUCGUGAUAUUCGAGAAUUUAGGCAUUAUUCAAUAGGAUUUAAUUGACAAAAAUUAAAUAUAAUCAUUAAUUUGAGCAGUGAAAUGACGGAUGAUUUUUAUUUUUUUAAUUUUAUCGCCAAGCUGGUAAGUGCUUUAUAAGACGCGUGAUGAUGAAUUAUUUUUUCAGAUAUCAUAAUCUUUUAUUUGAAUUUUGAUGGAUCUUAGGCUAUGUUUGAAAUUGUAAUUAGAUAGCCAACUUUAAUGAAUGAAAAAUAAAAGAUUGCAUGUUCGAAUAUGUGAUUCUUUUAUAUGAUAUUGCCUAAUUUAAAAAUUUUGCAUGUCAAGAUUGAUUCUAAAAAAAUAAAUUAGAACAUAUUCUAGAUAUGAAUUUUCUUUAAUAAAUAGGAUUUAUUUAGAUAAUAUCGCCUGUUUAGAAUGGUCUUCUAAGAUAGGACAACGUUAAGGUUAAAUUAUUCACUAAUCUAUAGACUAGAUAACCACUUAUUUUAGAUAAUUUAAUUAGGACAUUUAUCUACUUCAAAUUUAAAUAAAAAUACCAAAAUAUCAUAUGCAUGUCUUGUAGUUUAGGCCAUAUUGUAUAACUAUGUCAUGUGUGUCACAUAGUGUGCAUAUAAGGUUCAUUUAUACAUCUAGGCCAUGUCAUAUAGCAAAAUAAAAGAAAGCUAAAAAAUAAUUGCUUGCUGUGGUAUUUAAUUUCCUGCAAUUUGUUUAUUUAUUGAGUGUUAUCUUUAAUGUUUGUGCACCCACAUUAAUAUUAGAUUAAAAUCGAUUCAAACUAUCUAAAGUAAUUUAAUUCCAAAUAUUUUAAUUGGAGCAAUUUAAUUAUAAACUNNNNNNNNNNNNNNNNNNNNNNNNNNNNNNNNNNNNNNNNNNNNNNNNNNNNNNNNNNNNNNNNNNNNNNNNNNNNNNNNNNNNNNNNNNNNNNNNNNNNUAAUUGACGUGAACACCGAUCAUCUUACGUAAUACAAUUGACACUGACAUAAAUAUUUUUAAUAAUAUUUGAUAUUUUAAUAAUAAAACUUUCUAAUUUAGUACUAAUUGAGUCAAUUCGACUAAUUUUGAUCAGAAAUAAUUGACGUUCACAUGAUCGGGCUGACAUGUAUAUUUUUAAUAAUUUUUUGAUAAUUUUUUUGAAUUUUUUCUUUUAUUUUGGUGUAUUUUCUUUUUUGUCGUUUUUAUUUUUAUUUUUUAUUUUUUGAAGACAUCCUCUGGUUUCCCUAUAAUUCUGCUGCUCCAGCAGAUAGGGAGGAUGGCGCAGGUUUCUUCGCCACCGAGUCCUUCUUCUCCGUCUUCUUUUUUCUUGACCUUCUCUCCUGCAAGACCGUUUCGGACCAACGAAUUCUAACAAAAUCCACAGGACUGCUGUAAAACUAACGAUUGAUGGAAGCGGACCCAUAAGCAUUUUGGAGUUCUGACCUUCUGAUUCUUCAUCGGAAGAGCAAUUAGGGUCCGGCUCUGCUCCAGUCCUCUUCCUUGCCAAUCGUCGACGUAGCCUAGGAGGCCGUCGUCAUCAUCGACGAUGAAGCCCCGGACUUCUUCGUGAGAUGCUUGGCCACGAGCUCGUCGUACUCGUCCUCUUCGACCACGUUGUGGAUCGGAUCCUCGAUCUUGAUCUGCACGGCGGACUCGGCUCUCAGGCGGCCGCCGGCACGGAGGGCCUCGAGGCACCGCAACCCCUACAGACGCGCCGCUGAGGUGGCUCCCCAGCUCCUUCGCCGGCCGCCGAUGCUUGUUUGCUCGUAUUCCAUCUCUCUCUGUCUGUGGCCAGGGCUUUCACGGGCCACGACGAGGGCAUCGGGCGAGGGCGUUGCAGCUGUGUUAUUCAUGGAUUGAAUUUCUCUUCCUAAUCCUCAUAUAAUCACAAUGUCUUCAAUUCUCUGUGAUAGAGAAAAGCAGUACUCUAAAAUGUGUAGAUAAAAAUAGAAAGACGGGGAAAGAGAUCGAUAAAGUUGGAAGGAUUGUAUUAUGGACAAAUUUAGAAACCGCGAAAGAUUCUUGCAAGCGAUUAUGAGGUCACCUGCUUCUAUGUAAAUCAUUAACCUAGCUCUUUGGAAGAAUCUAAUUCUGUUUUCGGACUUGACUGGACGAAGACAAGGCGAAGCUGGCGCAGGAAACUGGUUUGCAAUUGAAGCAGAUGAAUAAUUGGUUUAUCAACUAGUGGAGAAAAAAAAAAAAAAAAAAAACUGGCAUAGCAACCCUUCAUUGUCGUCCGACUCAAAGUCCGACUCAAAGAGCAAAUGCAAAAGGUCCCUCAAAAUAGACAUUGCCUCGUUAAUGCGAAACUUCCUUGAUAUUCCAUUUCUUUGCAUGCUAAAUUUGAAGAACUUUUGCAGGUGAAAGCAGCAGCUAUUGAACCCUUGAUGUGGAUUUGAGCAAGAGCAAUGAUCAAAUUCUGACGGACAAUAUUCGGUGCUUCACUAAAAUGGGUACUUAAAGAGUUAAUACAAGGAAAAUUGGCCAGUGGCCUCAUACAAAGCUUCAUCAAAUAGGAACAUUUGGAAGAUGACUUUGGUUUUAGGCAAAAGAAAUUAUGUUAGCCAAGAGGACGCUCUUGCCUCUGACAGGAAUUUUGAUGACGGUCAAUUAACCAUAGAUGUGGCAUGAUCAUCGAGAGUGUAUUGAGCUAAGAAAUUAUACAUUUAGAACUAGAAUCAAUAUCAAAUGGUUUUAUUGUCUCUAUUGCUUACUGACAAAAAAAAAAAAAAAUUUGUCUCUAUUGCUUGUCCACUUUGCAUUUUGUAUAUACAUAGGCAUAGUUAGGUAUUGGUGUACAAUUGGUAUAAUGAUCUCUACGUGUUGACGCCUCAAAUUUUAAUUAAGUUUAUUUUAUCUUAUUAAUUAAGUUUUUAUUUUAUUUAUCUUGUCUUUUUUCGGAAUAAUAAACAAAUAAAAGUAAACAAAAAAACAAAAACAAAACAAAAGCAGAAAGAAAGCAGAAAAGCCCUCGCAUGGGCCCGUGAGGUCCAUUCCGCGUCAGCCCAGCCCAGCCGAGUCUUCUUCUUCCUCGCGCAAUUGCAGCGCACGCGCAGGGGGCGCGACGCCGGAGUGGAGGGGAGGAGCAGCAACGACGCACGUGGAGCAGGGGGCGGCUGGCGUCGGAUAAGAACGUGGGAGGGGCAGCUGGCGUCGGAUGGGACGCCCGUUCGGCCGGCGGAGGCCGCUUGGCGCACGGGGACUGGCGGUCGAAGCUCCGUCGACCGGCUGCCCCCUCACCUAUAAAUAGGCCCCCGUUUCCAUCGUCGAGGAGGCACGCCGAGAACGAUCGAAGGUUGCAAAGCUUCGAGCUUCCUGCUGAUAGACUUCAGAAGGGAGCCGAGGCCGAGCAAACCCAGAUCCGAAGGCUCGCGGCUGCAGAGGGAGCUAGAUCGAGUCGCAGCCCUUGGACACCCCACUGAGAGACUUCAGGGGAGCCGAGGGCUCGCGGCCUCAGAUCUAAGCCUCGCCGGAGGGAGAGUAGAGAGAGAGAGAUAGGCACGGAGAGAGAGAGACGCAGGAGGGGAAGGAAUUCGCGUGGGUCUNNNNNNNNNNNNNNNNNNNNNNNNNNNNNNNNNNNNNNNNNNNNNNNNNNNNNNNNNNNNNNNNNNNNNNNNNNNNNNNNNNNNNNNNNNNNNNNNNNNNUCGUCGCGCCGUCAUUGAGCAAGUAUCGCGCUGUCCCUGUCGCCGUCGCCGUCGCCAUCUCCCUCUGCAUAGUCCAGUCAUCUCCGCCUUCGCCGCCGUCUUUGCCGUCGUCGUCACCGGAGCUUCUCGGCGCCGCGAAUUCACAAACCCCAGGGUUUGCGACUUCCGGGUCGCGAAGCGGAUCCGGACCCGGAAAAUCGGGUAAGGUUCGCGGUCUGUGGGCGGCGGGAGUCGGGUCGGAUCCGGGUAGGGUUUACGGGGAGUCGGGUAGCGGAGCGGGCUGGAUCCCUCCCAAAACGACGGGCCACGACGCCGUUUCAGUAAAUAAAAAAAAAGAUGAAAAAAAUCCGAGUCGGGCCCAUGUUGCGGGCCCGUCCUCGUUCGGAUCGCUGGCCCGGGUCGGACCCAACCCGCGGAUCCGACCCGGGUCAGUUUUUAAUAUUAUUUUAAUAUAAAAUAAUAUUUUAAAUAAAUAAAUAAAUAUUUUAUUUUUCGAAAAAAAAUAUCAAAAAAUGUUUUAUUUUAAAAAAAUCGAGAAAAAUCAAAAAAUAAUUUAUUUUCCAAAAAUAUUAAAAAAUAUUUAAAAAUAUUUUAUUUUCCGAAAAAUCAAAAAAAUAAAAAAUAUUUCAUAUUUUCCAAAAAAUGCCAAAAAUCCAAAAAAAGCCAAAAAUUCAUGAGAAAGCCAAAAAGACUUGUAUUUUUCCAAAAAAAAUACCAAAAAACCCAAAAAAAUCCCUUUUGUGUCCAAAAAAUUAGAAAAUCACUAAAAAAAUGUUUUUCCUCCCAAAAAUGCAUGGAAAAUCCCUCGAACAUCUAAAAAACCUCAUGGUUUAAACAAGAUUAGUUAUCGAAAGGGCAUUAGUGAUUAACUAAUGUAAUCAAGUCCCCAGUCCUAAUUUCUCUGGUUGAGUAUUUCUUCCGAUACUUCACUUGGUUUCUAAUCAACCCAUCCCAAAUCAAUUAGUGGCGACUCCAUUUUAAAAAUUGAUUUAUAGCUUAAAAAUUUAGACUAUUAAAGUCGUGAAUUGGUGGACUUGGGAGAGUCCGGGCAUAACUAAUUUCAGCCGAGCCAUUAGCCUCCUUAGGCGCUCGUACCCGAUUGUGGAUGCCAGAAAAAAAGAGGUCGCGACACUACGUAGUUCCUCUCCGUUCUGCAUGCUGAUGACAUUUAUAGUUUUUUUGGCUCUCCAAUGUAGUGUAGAUUUAUUGUGAGAGUAACAUACAGUUUGUUGCACUGCUAGGUUACUGGGUUUGUAUUGCUACUGGGGAUAAUGACUGAUUAUGGUCAUAGACACGAUCAUUUGUUUGAAAUUCUAUGGUGCAUUACAACCUCAACGAUUGUUGCCAGUUCUUGUGAUGAUUUGGCCACUUCAUUGUCACGGCUCCAUAUUUAAUUCAUUCUACAGUGAUUGUACAUUAAGCUGGUGUAGCUAAAAAGUCCUGUCAUAUUCCUCUCCUUCUAUUUAACGAAAAACAACUUUAUUGUGACAAUUUAUGUCUGUCAUGAACUCCUACACAUUGAAUGAUCACCUCUAGUGUGGCUCAUGUCGCAUACGAAGUUUUGUUUCUUGACAAACCUAGAUCUAAAUAGGAGGAAACGAUCCUAGGGGUCAGUCUAGAUGCAACCUUAAAAGAUAACCAUUUGAGUUUGUUCUCGGUGAAUCCAAAAAAAAAAAAAAGGCUACACUUUACAAUAAUCACUAGAUAUUUCCUCAGCUUUUCUUCAAGACGACCUAUGACAGAAUCGAAAGUUUGUUUCGGCCAGCCGACUCCAAGUCAGCUGAUGUUCAUUGGCAGAACGAAUUCGAGAAAGAACAGUGCAUAAAAAAGAUGAACAUUGAAUUUUCUAAUGCAACUUGGGCUUAUAAAAACAUUAUUUCAUUUGAACCGCCCUUUUGUCCUGAUUUACCAACUAUUUAUAAUGAAUUGUUUGAUGAUUUCUCCGUUAUUGCGUGGGUCUUUUUGUAUCUUUUUGGCAUUGUACUUCACUAUUCUCGUCAUUGACUUCCUGGCACAUAUACCAUACACGCUGUUAUACAAUCCACAAAAUCAAUGGAUACCCAAAUUUAGGAUCUUCUAAGGUUUUUGCUAACCUACCCCCAAUUUUUGACCUAGAUAAUUGCAAUUCCUUCUUUUUUUUCUUUUUGCUCUUAGAUAUCGUUAAACAGCUCGGUGGUUUACACAGAGAAUUACAUUAUCCUGACCUCAUCUUGAAAUCCAACAUUUGAAACCUUGACCUCUCCUAUUAAAAAAAAGGAGAUAUGCUGGUGCAAUUCACAUAUGUUUUUCUUGAAAUUAAUGCUUCUUGUCAAGUGUAGCGAACUUAAACCCCAUGAGAUUACAAGGAUCAUAUCUAGGUUGUCUAACCACAGCUGCAGACAUAAGAACUUCAUUGUCACAUAGCUUCCCAGUGUGGCCAAUGAUUACAAGAACAACUAAAGUUUGGUGUUAACCCGUAUCGAAUCUCUACCCAAUGCCACGACUAUCCCUAACACUCCACGUUGCAGGUACGAGGGGUUUUUGAACAUGAAUGCGACUUUAGCACGAAGGCGACCCCGAGAUUUGGUGUGAAUUGACUCAACUUUCACCAGUUUGUGUGCCAAACAAGCAAUAGGUUUCGCAUUGUUCUGUCAUUUGGUUGAAGGCCAAUCUAUGUAUUUGCAGCCACACCUCCAGUUCACGAAAACAGAGGUCCUCCUGUCUCCUCUAAGCAUCCCAUCUCUGCAAGUCUAUGCAAUUUCCCAUGAUUGACCAAGGGCCAGAAGUGAGGACUCUCUGCUUGGUGCCAAUCCAUGGAACGUAAACAAAUACAUCUUCUCAUUUUAUAGUUAUCCCACCCAAGACCAGCCCAGGCUUUCCUUGAGACAUCAGUUACGCAGCUUGACUCAAGCACUUCUUCGACAAAAUCCUUCCAAUCAAAACCAUCUCAGCUUCCUCAUCAUCAACUUGCUCCAAAACGUAAUGAUGCCCCAGUAGACUGUCUGACAGUUAUGCUUGCGAUGUUAAGGGAACCCCUGCGGGCAUCCUGUAAUGAGAGAAAAGAAAUAGAUUAGCCUAGAAUCAACUAAGGAAGGUUGUCAAACAGUUGAUAGGGGCAACGUGUAGUGAUAGGAAAAGUGAAAACUAAUGUGACGAACCAAUGCCAAAGCAAAUUACUAAAAUAGAAAGCAGAUGGAAAUAAUUAAUGAUGAUAGAGAGCGAAAAUGAGGAUUAUGGAUUAUCGAGAAGAAUGGGGGGUGACGAUCAUGAAGGAACAUAGAUGAAAGAAAACAUCAUUGUGAUGUAGGGAAAGCUCUUGACAAAGAGAGAGAAGCUCUCACAAAGGGGAGAGACACAAAUCUAUGUAUAACUUCCUGAAGAGAACUCAAUGUCCCAUUCUUUUUGGAGCAUAAAUGCUGGAAAGCUAAAACAAAUCAAGAUAAGUGAAAAAUGGUUCUCAUAAUUUCCAGCUUACAGAAGCUCUGUUAGUAAAAUCUCCCGGUUUAAAUUGCACACAAUUGCAUGCAUGUACUUAUGUGCAAUCAAUCUUGAGCUUUAGGGGCCGAAAAAUCAAUCUUGACCUUCGCUCUUUUAAUGCCAAUGAUCUUCCAUUAUUUUUGCAGUGUUCUACUUCAAAGCAGGGUCGCAUGACGUCGUCAACAUGUCAAAUGGUGAUAAUAAUAACUGCCACAGUGCUUCUAUGUUCAUACACUGACUAACGGACCAGCCAACAUUUCCCUCGACAGUGCCUGCGAGUCUUACUCUGUCUACACCUUUGCUAACAGCGAUCGUUGCUCUCAAGGCCAAAAAUUAGCUGUCACUGUCAGUGAAAAUUACACUGCCCCCAACUCCAGUCUAGCUGGAUCCCUGUAGCUACCAGCCCCAACCACUGGGACCACUCCAUCUCCGCCACCACCUGGAAGUGACACUUCAUAUCUCCGUGUAACACUGCCAGUCCUGUUCAUGAGUUCAUUAUACAUGAAAUCAUUAUUUCUACUAGAUAUAGAUGGACUAUUGAUAGAUCGUGAGAUGUUGCUACUCGUCAUAAAGUGAAUAAACUUGUGAAAAUGCUUCUUCUCAUUAUUCCAGCAUGAUUCAUAUAGAUAACAUUGCUCAAACUUGUAAUAGAUCAUAGAGUUUCUUUGGAAUAAAUAUAUGGUUCCGCUCCCAUAUUCGGAUGUUUGGCUCUAUUACAAAAAUUAGAAUGUGGCAGGAGAUAAAAACUUGCAUACUGGAAAGUCAAAAUAGAGCAUCAGUAGAACAAAUCCUCAUAGGCAUAGCUAAAAAGUCCCNNNNNNNNNNNNNNNNNNNNNNNNNNNNNNNNNNNNNNNNNNNNNNNNNNNNNNNNNNNNNNNNNNNNNNNNNNNNNNNNNNNNNNNNNNNNNNNNNNNNNNNNNNNNNNNNNNNNNNNNNNNNNNNNNNNNNNNNNNNNNNNNNNNNNNNNNNNNNNNNNNNNNNNNNNNNNNNNNNNNNNNNNNNNNNNNNNNNNNNNNNNNNNNNNNNNNNNNNNNNNNNNNNNNNNNNNNNNNNNNNNNNNNNNNNNNNNNNNNNNNNNNNNNNNNNNNNNNNNUCCUUAAUAAUUGACAUGUCAAUCAUUAUAUUACUUCGAGCAAUCAUAUGAGAACAGACGAGAAAAUUACAGUUGCAAUAUCCCAGAACAAUAAAAACCCAAUUCAGGCAAUUAGGAAAAGCAAGCAAAUUGACAUCAUUCCUAAGUGUGGGAUUUCAAUCGUCCACCUUAAGAAGCUGAGAUGACUAUGGUCAAAGGGAUUUUCUGAAAGAGCUACUUGUUCUUUAAACAAAACUAACAUGUUAUAGAUGACCUGCGAGCAAGUAGAACAGCCUUCAGAUACAAAACAUAAAAGGAGAUUAUUAAUCUAAAAGUCUGGUUCCCGAUAUCACGUUGAGAUUGAGCAAUCAUGGUGGAUGCAGAUGACAAAUUAUUUUCUCUGGGGGCAAUCUUAUGAUCUAGUCCUCCAACAAGGGCUGCCAGUUACAUUCCUACCAUGGUAGAGAGAGAUUUCAUUCCAUCUAAGUAACAUGAGUCACUCCGUAAUGUAUAAAAAAUAAUCACUCACGGGUGAAUCACCAGGAUUGCCAGCUUCAUUCAUGUUUUUAUCAAGUCUAAGAUUUUGCCUUAUUAGGGGACAGGGAUUGUCUCAAAUAUCGAACUAUCACCGGAACGUGAUCUCAUGAAAACCAGACAUGACUACUGUUCUAUAGAAAAGCUCAAGACAAUUUAGAUAUUGGCUUUAGUAACUUGCAUCUCAAAAUGUCUAAAGCUUGUGGAGCUCCUAGUCUCCAAGCCCUUAGGGCUCAAUUAGUUAGUGCAACAAUUGAUGAGCAUCAUGAAAUCUCUAUACUUUAUAGGUAUCUCAAUCCUGUGAUUCCUGGGAUGUCUGAUAGCUCUCAACAAGCUGUCACUAACAAGUUCCUUAAAUCUUCAAAUUUCAACACAUCGGGGAAUUUUGCUAAAGACUUGCAUCCUUGAAUACACAAACUUUUGCAGGAUGAGAAUACCUCCAGGCUUUCGAUGUCAUGUAGUUUUUCAUAGUGGUUGAUGUUUCAACCUUUUCAAGGUUUUCACGCACGAUAGAUCUAACAAUCUUCCAAGGGAAGUGCAACCAUGAAUAUCCAAUAUUACCAAAAAAAUCCAGCCUGUCAAGGCCACGUUUCAACAUGAAACCCUCAAGAUUUUGAAGUUCAGCUCUAUUUGCAGUCUCAAUAUCAUGAAGAUCACGAUUAUUAGAAAAAUUAGAACACAGCAGGAGACAAAAACUUGCAUACUCGAAAGUCAAAAUAGAGCAUCAGCAGAACAAAUCCUCAUUGGCAUAGCAAAAAACCCCACCAUCGGAAUGACAAAUUAACAGAAGAGUAAAUCACGUGGUGACAGGAAAAACGGUGUGAAUCUUUGUAGGAUCAAACUCAACACAUAAACAGCUGAUUGAUAACUUAAAAUGACAAUUAAACUAUGAACUCACUCUUGCAACCUUGCAGCAUAUCAAAUUCACGCCUGAUGAUUAGCUUGAAAGAACCCGAUGAGUUUUGGGAAUCCAGAGUGCCACAAGUUUAGCAGCAUGACCACUCUCCUUCACCUAUGUGUUUUUGUACUUUGCCUCCAGAAGCUUCCUUAAUAAUCCACAUGUCAAUCACCAAAUUACCUUGAGCAAUCAUAUGAGAACAAACAAAAAGAAAAUUAAGUCACAAUAUUGUAGAACAAAAAAACCAAUUCAAGCAAUCAUGAAAAGCAAGCAAAUUCACGUCAUUCCUAAGUGUGGGAUUUCAGUCUCCACCUUAAGAAACUGAGAUGACUAGGUCAAAGGGAUUUUCUUAAAGAUCUGCUUGUUCUUUCAACAUUCUGUAAUUUCAACCGUAUUAAUAUCACAUAUAAGCCAGUGUGCCUGCCAUCAUAAGUAUCAACAGAAGAUAAAAGUUUAGCUCGCCAUGUAAACAAAACAAGUUAUAGAUGACCUCUGCGAUUAUAGUGGAUAAUAAAUGACCAAUUAUUUUCUCAAAAGGCACUCUUAUGAUCUAGUCCUCCAACAAGGGCUGACAGUUACAUUCCUUUCAUGAUCAAGCGAAAGAUUUCAUUCCAACUAAAAACACGAAUCACUCAGUAAUGUACAAAAAAUAAUCACUCACAGAUGAUUCACCAGGACUGCCAGCUUCAUUCAUGAUUUUGUCAUCUAAGAUUUUGCCUUAUUAGAGGACAGGGGUCAUCUCAAAUAUCAAACUAUCACUAGAAUGUGAUCUCAUGAAUACCUGACAUAACAAUUGCUCUCAUAUUCCAUAUGAGGAAAGCUCAAGACAAUUCACAUAUUGGCUUGCAUCUAAAAAUGUCUAAAGCUUCUGGAGCUCCUAGUCUCCAAGCCCUCCAGGCUCAAUUAGUUUGUCGCAGUCUCGUGCGACAAUUGACUAGCAUCAUGAAAUCUAUAUACUUUAUAGGUAUCUCAAUCCUUUGAGCCCUGAGAUGUCAGAUGGUUCCCAACAAGCUGUCACUAUCAAGUUCCUUAAAUCUUCAAAUUUCCAAGCAUCUAGGAACUCUAACAACUUGCAUCCUUGAAUACACAAACUUUUGCAGGAUGAGAAUACCUCUAGGCUUUGAAUAUCAUCUUGCUCUUCACAGUGGUUGAUGUUCAGUAUUAUCAGGGUUUUCAAGCAUGAUAUAUCCAAUAAUCUUCCAAGGGAAGUGCAACCACGAAUAUCUAAUAUUACCAAAAAAAAAAUACAGUCCGUCAAGGCCACAUUUCAACCAGACUCUUACAGUUUGCAACAUGAAAUCUCCCAAAUUCUUCAAACUAGAAGGUUAUCUUUCAAUGGACGUGCAAUUAGAGAUAUCCAAUCUUACAAAUAAUCGACCUCUCAAGGCCAUGAAUUUCAACUAGAUUCCCGCAAUCUGCAGCAUAGAAUGCUUUAGACAUUUUGAACUCGAAAGGUCUAUUUAUCUUUCAAUGGAUUGAAAUGUCUGGUCAUCUUUUAAUUGGACAUGCAUUUAAAGACAUAAAACCUUCUCAAAGAUUCUAAAUAAUCAAUCAAGGCCUCAAACUUCAGCUAGAUUCUUGCAGUUUGCAGCGUGCAAUUCGAAGUCUUUAAACUGGAGAAGUCUAGAAAUCUUUUAAAGAAGUGCACCCAGAGAGAUUCAAUCUUGCCAAUAAAUACAACCUGUAAAGACCAUGAAUUUCAACUAGAUUUCGGCAAUUUGCAGCAUGGAAUAUUUCAGUGGAUGUGCAUCCAGAGAGAGAUAGAAUGUUUCCAGAUAUUCUAAAUGGGUCAAAGCCUCAAACUUCAACUAAAUUCACACAAUUGGCAGCAUCUGAUUCUCUUCGAUUCUUUUUAAACUUGAAAAGACAAUUGAUUGAAUGGACAUGGAACCAGAGAUAUUCAAAUUUACCAGACUCUUGCGAUUGGCAACACAUGAUAGCCCCAGAUGUUUCGAACUCGAAAGGUCCUGCAAAUCUCGACUAGAUUCUCGCGACUCACAGCAAUUUGUUUCCCGUGGAAUCUUCAAAGUUGAAGGAUCCACUGACCCUUUGCCUCUGGAGAACCUGGGAACGCCUAAUCAACGUUUUGUCUUAACUAAUGCCAAAACUUCAUGCGUCUGGUAGCUGCCAGCCCCAACCACUGGGACCACUCCAUCUCCACCACCACCUGGAAGUGACGCUUCAUAUCUUUGUGUAACACUGCUAAUCCUGUUCAUGACUUCAUUACACAUGAGAUCAUUAUUUCUACUAGAUAUAGGUGGACUAUUGAUAGAUCGUGAGAUGUUGCUACUCGUCAUAAAGGGAGUAAAAUUGUGAAAAUGCUUCUUCUCAUAAUUUCAGCAUGAUUCCUAUAAAUAUAUCACAUUGCUCAAACCUGUAAUAGGUCACAAGUUUCNNNNNNNNNNNNNNNNNNNNNNNNNNNNNNNNNNNNNNNNNNNNNNNNNNNNNNNNNNNNNNNNNNNNNNNNNNNNNNNNNNNNNNNNNNNNNNNNNNNNNNNNNNNNNNNNNNNNNNNNNNNNNNNNNNNNNNNNNNNNNNNNNNNNNNNNNNNNNNNNNNNNNNNNNNNNNNNNNNNNNNNNNNNNNNNNNNNNNNNNNNNNNNNNNNNNNNNNNNNNNNNNNNNNNNNNNNNNNNNNNNNNNNNNNNNNNNNNNNNNNNNNNNNNNNNNNNNNNNNNNNNNNNNNNNNNNNNNNNNNNNNNNNNNNNNNNNNNNNNNNNNNNNNNNNNNNNNNNNNNNNNNNNNNNNNNNNNNNNNNNNNNNNNNNNNNNNNNNNNNNNNNNNNNNNNAAGCGCUACAAGUCCAGCAGCAUGACCACUCUCCUUUGCCUAUGUGUUUUCGUACUUUGCCUCCAGAAGCUUCCUUAAUAAUCGACACGUCAAUCAUUAAAUUACUUUGAGCAAUCAUAUGAGACAGACAAAGAUAAAAUUACAGUUGCAAUAUCCCAAACAAUAAAAACCCCAAUUCAAGCAAUCAGGAAAAGUAAGCAAAUUCAGCUUGUUCAAGCGUAGGUUUCUGCCCAUCAUUUUCAUCAAAACCUCCGCACGACCACCGUAAACCACCACCUCCAUUAGUCAAUACUACCUAUACACUCCGGCUUCGACCACCAACAGUCUGCCAUCACAUGCACACGGCACUGCACAUAGGCUUAUGCCACGAGGCGGACCAUGCCUCCAAAGGGAAGUUCACAUUCCAAAUGCACCGAGAGCAACUAUCGGAGAAGAAUCCCCGAUCACCAGCCAGAGCACGAAACUGGAACGGCACAGCCACUGAACUAAUUUUAAAAAUCACCGCGCCAAACACGACCCAGCGCAAAACAAAACCCGCCCCCCGCCGCCGCUCGAGAGCCGUCUCAUUACAUCCAAACCCUUCCACUAGACGGACGACGACGACAGCUACUACCCCAACAACACACGAGAGCGUACACAAGAGAGAAAGCAAAUACGAACCGAAACACUCAGUCAAAGCUAAGUGGUAGCGGCCUACCUUCAGCUAGAGUCUUUACAAGCUCGGCGCGCACGCGCGGGAGAGAGAGAGAGAGAGAGAGAGAGAGGGGGUCUCCUUCUUCGCUUGAUUUUGCAAUGGUCGGGUUCGGUCGCCGAAAUUUAUACGGCCAAGAGAGAGAGAGGGUCUCCUUCUUCGCUUGAUGUUGCGACUGCUAGAGUGCCUGGGCUCGCUGCCUCAUCAAAGAGAGGGUCUCCUUCUUCGGACUUGUCGUGAAUCAAUUCGGAUACUGGCUUCUGGAAAUCCCUCUCUUCGCUAGAUCUACAAUAAAUAUAAAGCUUCGAUAGUCGGACGGGAAGCUCUGAGAGACAUUCAAGAGGACGGAGAUCGAAAAGAGUGAGUUCUUGAAGAAGGGUUAAUUUAGAAAGAAAUGGCAACGAUGGAGUCGGGAAAUCAAUAUGUAGAGCUGUUAAGCUCAAGGGCGGUGUCGGUAUUUUUCCAAGGUUUUUGCAGCCCCUAAGGUCGAGACACUGGACAGAAGAGAGCUUCGAAAUGCUCUCCGGCAAGCCCCUAAUGCCCGAUUUGUCUAAAUAAAGCUUAUUUAGUGAAACCAGCUCGCCUAUAUCACUAGGCAGUCCUUCCAAAUUUUUGCAAUUAUUUGCAUGCAACACUUGGAGUUUUGCCAACUUUCCAAUCGAGUUAGGGAUCUCUCUCAAUGACUCGCAAUAUGAUAGGUCAAGGAGAGUUAGAGAUGCUAAAUUGCCUAUGGAGUUGGGUAUGCAAUCUAAUUUACACUCACAAGCCAAAAGAGUCUCUAGCGCCUUCAUAGAACCAAUGGAUUCUGGUAAUUCUUUAAUCCUUGUAAUAGAUAAGUCCAGCCUAGUUAAUGACUCAAAUGAACCCAUGGAUUCAGGAAGCUGAGCAAGUUUAUCAUAGCAUAGAAACUCUCUCGAUUCUUCCAUUCUCCCUACUCUUACUGGUAGCUUCUCUAGUUUAACACACUCGGAAGCGUCCAAGGAGACAAGGGUCUUAAUAUACCAUAUAGAAGGAUGAAUUUCUUCUAGACCCCAACACUGGUCAAGAUUCAAAAUCUCCAAGCUUUCGAAAGCAGACAAGUCAGGAGUUCUUCUCAAAUUUUGACAACCCGAGAGGUUAAGAACUUUUAAAUUAGUUGCCACCUGANNNNNNNNNNNNNNNNNNNNNNNNNNNNNNNNNNNNNNNNNNNNNNNNNNNNNNNNNNNNNNNNNNNNNNNNNNNNNNNNNNNNNNNNNNNNNNNNNNNNUUUUUUUAAAAGAAUCUUUAAAAUUCUAAAAAAUACCAUACUCACUACUCUUCAUAGUGUCUUAUUAUUUUAAUGUUUUUUUCAACAGUGCCAGGGUACAGACCAUAUGAUUUUUUAAAGCAUAUCCAUUGCAAAAAGAUGUUGGGAUGCACAAGUGCAACCCAUGUUUAUUUUCAGAUAAAAUUCAAAAAGAAAAUAUAUUCAGUUUUUAAGAGCUAUGGUGAUGCCGUUGAUUAGACUUAUGCAAAUUUUAUUAUCAAAGAGACACUCCGAUAGUAAGAAACAGGUAGUUUAAUUAUGAAAAACAAUUUCUUAAAGUGACUUCAAAAAAAAAAUUAAAGAAUGUUGUAUUCCAAAAAAAUUUAAUGCCAUCGGAAGGAUAGUUUUAUUACUCUCUUAACAUUAAUAAUUUAUAUUUGCAUUAUACAGUGACUUCCAUAAUCAACAAUUAUAAUGAAUAAAUAUUUCAUGCAACAAGUCAAAGCAAUUCAUGAAUUAUAUCCAUUACUUUAAGAUUAAAAUGAAUUCAGAAUUUUAGUAUUGAUGUACAACACAAGUCAGUAUGUGUGAGAUUUUUUCUUUUUUCUCCAUGAAAGAAGAUUAAUAUAGAGAUAUAACAAGAAUCGCUCAAAAGACAUACUUUUGCAUUGGAAAAAUUAACCCAGCCACAGAUCGUCUAGAUUAAAAUAAAUCAGAAAUGGUACAAAUAUAUAAUUAUAUUUCAAUAAAUGUUAAUUAUUAUAGUUAAUUUUUUAUUUUUUUUAGUAUUGUCUAAGGUUAAAGCAUGACAGGUUGUUGAGUUUUAUCAAUUAAAGUUAUAAGAAGCAGAAGCUUCCGAACAUUUAGGUGCCUAUAAUUCCUCUUAUAUUAUGUCGAAAAUCCUUAAUAUGAGAAAUGACAUUAAGCCUUUCUAUAAAAAUAAAAAUAAAAAUAAAAAUAAGAGAGGAGAACUUGGUGCUAUUGGACCUUUAGUAACACAUUAUUAUUCACAAAGGACAUAUCUUCUCAAAAUCUUACCUUGAGUGGGCCCCAUCCUCCCCAGUCCUCCGAAAUCACACCACCUGAUAGAUUGAGCACGACUAAUUUCUUUGGGUGAAAGUUGAUAAUUUCAAAAUCCGAGGAACAAGUCUCCCAGUGAAGCCAUCUUAAUUGAGGAAGCAAGUUUUGGAAAUCUCCAGUAAAAUUCACAUUGUCCAAUUGAAGGAACCUCAAGUCGGUGAAUUCGUUAAACUGUUCACCUCGGUAGCUUUUUUUAUCAUAGCUUUCCCAUCUAUUAUAGCAAAGACGAAGGGCCUCAAUCUUACAAGUGCCCUGCAUUAUAAAACAUUAUGGACCGUAAGUUUUAAUAGAUUAAAUGAUCUCUAUCUAUAUAGAAGAUGGACUUAUUUCAGUUUGAUAUCAUACUAUUAUGGUGUGGACUUCUUAUUUUCAACUUGGUGAAAUGACAAGUCGUCAUUGCACAUGAUUUAUCUAAUUCAUGUAAAAAUGGGAAGCUCAAGAAGGUGCUUUCGAACUUUUCAUCUUCUACUAAUGCUUUUCGCAAAUUUGCACCUUUUGAAUUACCAAAAAUUGCAUCCUUUCAAAAAUAUAAUAAAAGGCAUCUAAUUGUACAAACUACUUCAAAUAUAUCUAUCAAAAUUCAUGCCCUUUAUAUGUGAAACACCCAAUCCUAACUCGUAUCCUUUAGAUGCAAAACACAUGACUCUUAUAGUCCAAGUACAUCUAUCAAACUUGUCAUCAAAACAUGUAUCAAAAUUAGAGAAUCUGAAUUGUAGAAUCCCCCCUAUUAUUCUGGCAUGUCUUGUUUGCAAUUCUCAAUAGCAAAAUGAAAUUGAGAAUGUCACCUCAAAAGGUAUGCAUGUGUUUUAUAUUCCUUUCUUAACGUGUGUUUCUUUAAUGAGUGUUUUCAAUUAUACAUGGAAGAAAAAUAUGUUAAAUAUCAAACGUUAUAUAGAUAAUCUUUACUCCUCUUUUUAUUAGUACAUGUGUUUGAUGCAACAUUUUCAUUAUCUUGUGUAUUUUGUUACAGUGAAAUAGCAUAAAGUAAUUAGAUCUUGCUUCUAAAAAGAUCAGACAUGAAAAUUGAUUAAACUGAAUAUUUAAGGAACUUGAAUUUAGUUUGUCUUAGGUGAUGAUUUGCUAAGUGAGUACAAAUCAUGAGAGUUGUAAGACUGAUUUGUUUAGUGGUUUGAAUACUUCCUUCAAACUUUUAUUCUUUUGGAUGAGAUACCCAUUACUUAGAAAUUUAUUGUAUUUUAUCGUAUCUUCCUCAAUAACUUCAUAGAGACCCUUUUUGUCCUGUUCUAAGCAAUGUUCUAUUCAAUUCAUUACAUUUUCAUUUGUGCACAAAUAUGCUUGCUGAAAUACAGUGGUAGCACGUUUUUUUACUAAUCUCAUUACUUCAUUAUUUAGUGUUUUUUAAUAAAAGAUCUGCACAUGCUCGUUUGAUGUUUGCACAAAUCAUCCAUAUGUUCUAAUUGCAUUUAGUUGCAUACCUUUUUAACUUUCAUGUUAAUGAUAGAAACUAAUCACGAUACAAAAUUCAAAACCAUAAUUAUUUAUAUCACAAGUACUAGAAUGAGCCAUUGCUUUGACUUGACCCACUUCUUAUAGAUAUUAAGAAUAUUAAUCUCAUUAAUAAAAUUGGAUGUCACUUUUCCAAUAUUCCUUCAUGAAAUUUAUCCUACAAUAGUAACCUUCACAUUUAGAUCUAAUAAGAAAAGAAAAAUAUUCUUACUUCAGUUUUACUUUAGAGUAAUAAGAGCUAUUUCUAAUUGUGCAUCUAAUCAUAUUUGAAUGUAAGGAUGUUAUUAAUUUUUAUUAUGUGAUUAUAUGGUUCUAAAACUUAAGUAAUGAUAAUUUUUUUUUUUUUUUUGAAAAAUAUAGAGUUGCCAUUAUUUCUUAUCCUAAAUAUGAUGAUUGAAUUAAAGAAAGUACACGCUCACACACACACAUAUUAUGUUAACAUCACUACUCUGUAAGCAUGUGAAUUUGUUUUUAGUUCUAUAACUAAAUGUCGUUCAUUUAUAAAUUUCUAACAAAGUUGUAAAUGUAAGGUUAUUUUAAUGCUAAAAUGUAACCUUUAAUGAUUCUCUAUAUAAAAAGUCAUAUAUAUUGUUUUAAUAUUUAAACCUAGUUUAAUCAAAUAUAAUGUGAAAAUUGUUUAGUUUUGAUAGUUCUUCCACAUUAGAAAGUUCAUAAUUAUAUUACUGAAGAUCUAUGUUUAGUAAUAUAUGUUUUGUUGAGAAUAUAUGGUUCUCAACUUACAUUUUAAAAACUGUCAAAAACAUAUCAUUGCAAAUACAUAUUUUUAUAUGUAUAAUAUAAUGUUGUAAAUAAAUCUAUAAUUUCACCACUAAAAAAUCUUGUGACCUAGGAAUUAAUUUUCAGAUAUACUUUUAUAUACAUAGAUAUUGUAAUCACUAUUCUUCCAUAUUUUUUUUUAUUAUGAAUGGUUUUGGUUAAUAAUCAUUAUUCUUUUUAAUGUUUAUUGUUAAUGUUUUAUCUACUCCAUCAAAAUAGUACAUCUCUUUAUAAGGCUUUUAUCCAUUUUAUCAUAAAUGAACACCUCCAUUCAAAAUAAUCCAUUUAAAUAUGCAUCACUUUUUAUAUGAUACGUUAAACUCCAUUUUUUAUACAGUUCGUUUAUUAUUCUACUUAGGAUUCUCUUCUUUCUCGAAUUCAAGGUAGAAGAAUUCCAUCGAUUAGUGUCAUUUACUUACCAUUGGAUGAAAAGAUAUUUCUCUUAGAAAUAUGGCUUGAAAAUUUAGUACAUCAUUCACAUGUUAGUAAAUAGUGCAUCUCUAGGAAGUAAUAUGUCCAAACCGGAAUUUCUCUUUGCGUUUUGAGCAGUAUAGUUUCUAGAUGACUUUUUUUAUGGUACAUACCUAAUGUUUGGUCCCUUUCUUUCUUUGCUCUUAUUGAUAUUAGUUAACACCUAUUCACUACCUUUAUGUUUGCAUUAAUAAACACCUCGUUUUGAAAGCAUAAGUUCGAAUAGACAUAUUCCUUCAUAUCACACAAGUUGUUCAUGAAACAAAACCAGGUGAUAACUAUUAUGCAACUUAAACCAAUCGACAUACAUCUACUAUAGCUUUAUUACAUUAUAGCGUAAUAGCGAUUAUAUUGCAGCCUUAUCAUACAAGUUGUUAGUGUAAGUUGUUUACUACCUCUCUAAUUUCCAGAUUCAUGAAUUUGAGAAGAAUAGGGAAGAUUGAGAUCUCAAGACUAGAGUGCACAACAGAAGUUAAAAGUAUUUUGAGUGUUAGAAAAAUAAUUAAAAUAUUUUUUUCUUCUAAUGUCUCAUUUUAAUCCGUAGUCCUCAACAAAAUAGCAUAACAUACAUAUUUUGUAGCAACGGGAACAAUUUGUGGAUUUAUCUUUUAUUAUGUGCAACAAGCUCAUAUUUAUUAAAUAAAUAAUAUCAAAAGCAUACUUGUCAAAUUACAGAUCAAUAUCAUAUUGGACUCAUAUUUCACAAAUAAACAAUAUUAGAAGAUCAAUAAAAAAGAUAUCCAUCAUCACAAAAAUUUUAUAUUACUUGCUUUAGAAAUAAAUUAUAUAAUCAAAGUCUCCGUAAGAAGAGAAAAUAGUACAUGUUUAGAAGAAUUUUGUACAUGGAUGCAUAUAUUUCAACAAUAAGUAUGAUGUAAUGUAGCGAUGAAUGUUAUGAUUGAGAACAUGUAUAGAUACCCCUUGCGACUAAGAAAUACCAUCAUUACAAAAUAAUUCUUUAACAUGCUUUACAAAUAAACGAAUGUAAUAAAAUUUCCACCAUAGAAGGAAAAAGAACAUAUGUUUAGAUGGAUCUUUUACAUGAUUAAAUAUAUUUCUACAAUAAGUAUAACAAAAUGCAUAAUAAGUUAUGGUUAUGAUGAUUAAAAAGUUCUAUGGAUACUCAUUAUGAGAAUAUAUUCUCGUAUUUCAUAAGCAGAUUAUAUUAACAAUCGAUAAAAAAAUUUACGUAACAUGAUAGCUCAUUUUAACAAAUAAAUAACAUAAAGGUACUAAAUUUGUGCUAUAAAAUGCUCAUUAUGAGUUGAACGAUGAUGAAAUAUCUAUUAUAACAUGGUAGCUAAUCCUAGAGAAAUAAAAAAUCAACAAAAAAGAUAUAUAACAUGAUAGCCCAUCUAUAACAACUGAUGAUAUAAAGAUUAAAUAAAUCUUUUUUAAAUGCGAUGCUUAGUAAGAGUUGAACCGUGCGGUAAUAAUUAUUAUAAACAUGAAAGCCCAGAUUUGACAAAUAAAUGUUAUUGGGGAUUAAUAGAAAAAUAAUCCAAAGUUAUAAAAAAAUAUAAAAAAAAAAAUAUUAGCAAAUUCACAGAAGAAAAUUAUCCAGUAUUAUGAAAAGUCUAUAGAACAAAAAUAAUAUAUGUUUCCAGGGUUAUAUUACAUGGUUGCACAUAUAUCACAUACAAAUACAAAAGCAACAAUAGCAAAUUAACAGAGUUAACUAAAGGUUGACAACGAAAGAUUCGAUUGCGCCAAUUGUGAAAGGUAAAAGACCACAUUAAGGAAGAAAAAAAGAAUUAGAUAGAGGACCAAAUCGCACAAACAAUAACAUUUAAUAAAUCUGUAUUUAACCCAACUUGGAAAAAAAAGAAAAAGGAAGUGAGCUAAUCAUUGCAAAUGAAUGGAGGUCUCAUUUAUCAUAGCAAGCAACACAUAAGAAGUCAAUAUUCAGUUAAAAGAAGAAGAAGAAGAAGAAAAAUACCUCACAAGAAAUUAUAAGAAAAAUCCAAACUUAAAAAAUGUGGAAAAAGCAUGGCCCAACAACUUAUAGAUGUCAUGUUAUCUUGGAAAGUGCUCUGUUAAACACUAUGGUUUUGCAAUUUUAUUUUGCAUUGAUGUUAUAACCGGACAAGCUCUUCUGCUAAUAGCUGCCCCAAAUUUGGCACAUUAAUUUUCAUCUCAAAAAAGAAAGAGAAGAUGGACUCAACGUUCACUGACUAUAAGACAAAUAGACAAAACUCUUACCUUGUUGCUCUCAAGCGCAUGUUCAGCUUCCUCAUUACUCCAUAUCCGGCUACGUUUUUUAGGCUUCUUUUGAUUUUCUAAACGAACAAUUUCCCUUCCAAGAUCUCUCAAUUGAUCAUGCAUCUUUAGCGAGCCAUCUUUGCCAAUUUUAAUUAGGGACAUAUGCCUUAAUACUUCAAUCCCAAUCUCCGGGUAAAAAUCACAAGCACCCCACAUAUAAGUCGGAUUUUGUUUAGAUGAUCCAAUGAAAAAACAUGCAAUAUCCAAAAAAAUCUGUUUCUCUGGAUAAUCUAAUGUGUCGUAACUUAUCUUCAACCUAUCUUGCACUUUCUUAGCAGGAAUUUUCUCCAAUUUCUUUAAUGCAUCUUUCCAUGCUUCCUUUGUCUUUCCACAUAAGUAUGAGCCUAUAACUUCAAGUGCUAAAGGAAGACCCCCAGUAUUAGAUACGGCAGCAUGAGAGAUAUGCUUAUAAUCACUUGGAGGAAAAUCAUUUCGAAAUGCAUGUCUACUAAAUAAAAUCAAUGAUUGCUCCGAAGGCAACUCUUCAAGUUCAUAUGGGUGGCUAGCUCUAGCGUAGUCAAGAAUAGUCUUGUUUCUAGUUGUGAUGAUGACUAUACUUCCUGCUUUAAACCAACUACCAUCUCCGAUCAAAGCAUCCAACUGAGUAUUAUCAUCCAUAUCAUCAAGAAGAGCGAGGACUUUCUUAUUUGUAAAUUGGGAUUUGAGUACACUUAUUCCCUCAUCGACAUUAGACAACCCACGCGAUUCUCUUAAUAAAUUUGAGAUGAGCUGCUUUUGUAGGCAUUCAAUACCCUUGCGGUGAGAUUUUUCUCGAAUAUCCGCCACAAAGCUACAAUCCUCAAAAUCGUUAAAUAGCUUGUUGUAUAACACCUUUGCAAGAGUUGUCUUACCGAUGCCGCCCAUUCCAUAGAUUCCAAUGAUCCAUGUACCAUUGAAAUUAGCAUCUAUCUUGCUCAUAAUUUGCUCCACACGAUCAUCAAUUGCCACCAACUGUUCGGGAACAUUUAGGAGGAAUUUUUCUUUUAUCUCUCUCAUAACUCUUAUGACAACCGUUCUCACUAAUGCUGCUUCAUGCCUAUCAAACAAUAAUACAAAGUUUCAAUAUAUGAUAGCAAUGUUUAUAUGCUUUUUUUCAAGUAAGAUAUUUAUGAGAAACUUAACAAUGUUUUGGUGGAGAAUAACGUACCCAUCAGCUAUUUUCUCCGAUUCCCAUCCUUUUAAGGAACUGACUUCGUCGAGCGCUUCUUCCCAUUCCUUCACAACCUCUUGACCCAAAUUAUUUUUAUGUGCAUUGAUGGCUUCUCCAAAUUUCCCCUUGGGAUCUCGCACUUGUGAGGGUUUCACUUUGUAAAAUAUGGGCAACACUACUUGCCCUUUGCUUCUCCUGCACUUCAACAUCUGAGCCAGCUCUUGAAGGCACCAUUUGCUGGAAGCAUAAUCCUUAGAUAUAAUCGGGAUCGAAAUCAUAGACUGCGUGAUACUGCGGAGAAGCUCCGGACCAAUCUCGUCACCAACUCGUAGCUCAUCGUUGUCUCUAUACACGCGAAUUCCUGCAUCAACAAGGCUAGUAUAGAGAUGAUCGGUGAAGCCUUUGCGAGUGUCUUCCCCUCUAAAGCUUAAGAACACUUCGUAAUCAGUUCCCUUCAGCCUUUUGGUUCCACCAUCAUCACCUACAUGUGGAGAGGUCGACGACGAAGACGCUCUGUAUGGCAGAUCUUCUGAAUGAGGAGGCUCUUUUCUGAUCAUCUUGAGAUAGAUGGAGCGGAGCCUCAAAAGAAGAGGAGUAUGGAAUCCUAGAUCUAGGAAUUGCAGAAAUGUCUCUCAGAACUCGAUUGAGAGCUACAUUCAAACAAAAACAAAAGCUCUCAUACAAGUCAUUAAAAGAAAAUGGAAAUAAAAACAAGAAAGAGAGAAGAGGAGAAGAGCAAGUAGUCACCAAUUACCUGAGUAGUGCUUAAACAACACAAUCCACACACUGCUGCGAUCUCCACCGAUUCUCACCUUCGACGUUGGAUUACCCACACGCAACCGUCUUUUAUAUGCGUGCUUGAAUGAUGCUAAGUUCUGGCCAUCCAACGGUCCAAGACUCUUUAUGCUAAUUGAACGGCUGCGAUGCAUGCUGCAGGGAAAGGACAAUUAUUGUAGGCGUAAUUUCCGUAGCACCGCGCGGAAGGUACGUGGAAUGAGCGACGCGGAUACGCUCACACGCAAUGCUCACCAGCAAGGCGAGGCUUGACUUUGACUUGCUUUUUCUAUUAACAAUAAAAAUAUAAAAGAAAAAAAAACUGACGAGCAACAGUCACAUGCUCCCGGUGCUAAAUUAUGUGAGUCAAUGACGAAAACAUAUCAAUCCUCGGAUUAAAUCAGAUUUUUGUUGAAAAUAAAUGUCCGUGUGACGCUUUUUAUUCAAAUAGGGAAAGUUUAUUAUUUUCAAUCAGCAAUCUGCUUUUCAUUAAGGAGAUUGCUCUAAAUUAGUAAAUCACUAGAUAAAUCUCUCCCAAAAACAAUUUUGUCAAAUUAAAUUUCUCCAUACCACAUCAUAUAUCUAAAAAUUAUGUAGCCAUCACUCCUCACUCACGGCACUUUUAUCCCUCUCCUUAUAUUAAUAAUUUUUUAUGCUCUAUAUCCUUUUAGAGUCGCGUUUAGAAAUUUUUGGCCAAUGAAUUCUCCACAAUUGAAUAUUUAUUUAGUCAUCCGUUUUUACUUUCUUUUUUCAUUUUUUGCUUUUUUCGGUGGUCAAGUGGAAACAAAUGCAAUUGAUUUGUUUUAGCAAUGUCUAGAGAAAGAUAUGGUGGCAAUUUUUACUAGGAAAACAUUAAUAGGAGUAUUUUACACUCUUUUUUAUCAUCUAGUCAUUUUGAAAAUGUUAAGCUGAUUUAUCUAUUCAAUUCAAUUUCUUCACAAUCAAGUUGCAUAAUAUGUGUGUGUAUAUAGAGAAAUAUAUUUAUACAUGUAUCACAGCUUAACAAAUAUUGCACCAUUUCAAUGGUGAAAUUUUUCAAUGUCUUUCUUGGAGAGUUCCUACAACCCCUUUAUCAAAGUAAAUGCUAUGCCACUUUCAUAGGAAACUCCUAAUUUUUCAAUAUCUUUAUUUGAGAGUUCCUACAACCCCUUUAUCAAAGUAAAUGCUAUGCCACUUUCAUAAGAAACUCCAAAAUUUUCAAUGUCUUUCCUAGAGAGUUCUUACAACUCCUUUAUCAAAGUAAAUGCUAUACUACUUUCUUAGGAAACUCCUCUCAAUGUCUUUUCAAUGUCUUUCCUAGAGAGUUCCUACAACUUCUUUAUCAAAGUAAAUGCUAUACCACUUUCAUAGGAAACUCCUCAGGAAACUCCUCUCUCUCUCUCUCUCUCUCUCUCUCUCUAUGAAAAAUUGACAAGUGCCUUUUGAGUAUGCAUUUAGAAAGAUCCAAUUACGUGAAUCUCAUAAGGUUUUCACAUUUUUUAACUAUUUGUCAGUGUAAACUGUUGGAUUGACAUUGAUAAAAUUGUUGUGUUUAAAGCCACUAGAUCAUAUUGAAGUGCGAAAGAUGAGGAAAAAUUUUAUGAUAUACCUAUGGUAAUGUUACGACAUUACAACACAUAGGGUAGUUAAGUACGAAAACAUCAUAAUAGCACAUUCUAUGACAAUUGAGUGAAAAGUGAUGUGAAACAAAAGUGUGCAACUGAAGAUUUUCUAAAGAUGAAUGGAAUCAACAAUGAUGGAAGUUUCGCGGGAAAAAAGAUGAGCUGAGUAAGGCAUGGGCCCAUUGCCUUGUGACUUACUUUUUUUCACUCACCCACUUCGAUGACCAAAAAGGAGCCUGAGUCCUGCUUUUUUAUCAACAGGAGAAGAGAAACAAAAAAGUGAGAGCAUUUACACUUCUUGGACCUCCCAAUGAUUGUGAUCCUAGGUGGGUUGGAAAUUGGAAUCUAAAAGAAAAACCAAAUAUAUUUGUACAUCUCUCUAAUAAAAAAAUUAUUCUUUUUGACCCAAAUGAUCAAAUAAUAAUUGAGAGAUAUAUGAUUUGUCAAAUAAUAAUUGAGAGAUAUAUGAUUUGUCAAAUAAUACAAAUGGUGAUAGGAAAGUUAAAUGUAUUUUAGGUCUCAUACUAAUUACGUUCACAAAAAUUGUACGUUCAUUUUAGAAAUUAGAAUCAUAUGUUCAAAUAUCAUGAAAACAAGUUUGAAUUGGAGCCAUUUGCACACAUUCCAAAAGCCUAAACUUCAUCAAUUUAUUGAAUUUGCAGUGUAUUUGAUGUGCUUUCAAGUGGCGAUCCUCUACACCAAUGCAUAUGAGUUUCAAAAAGUUAUCAUAUAUUUGCUCUCGUUGCAAUUGCAUCCACUGAAACUAAAAUUGAUUUGAGAAAAUUCUUUGAAUUUUCAUCCUCACUAUCAUUUGAAUGAUUUAGAGAAUUUUCAAAAGAGAAUAUAGAAAAUCAUUUUCACUUUUUGGCUUCAAGAAUAAAAUACAUGUUUUCCCUUUUCACCAUUUUCGUUCUCGUCUAAAAAAGCGGCUCCCCACAGGAUGCUUUUCUUUAACUCCCUUCUUUUCAUAUUCAUUCACUUUGGACACAAAUUUAUCAUUUAUUGGAGCAUUUCCGUGACUUUUUUUAAAAGUUCGAGCUUUGUCCAAUGCUAAAGGGAUUAUUCUUUUCAAUCCAUUGAUCCAGGAAGUUUCAAAGAAAUUUCCUGUUCAAGAUUUUCUUCUCAUUGUUCUUUAUUCUUUUCAAUUCAUAGCUCCAAGAAGCUUCAAAGAAAUUUUCUAUUCAAAAUUUUCUUAUCAUUGUCUUUUUUUCUUUUCAAUCCAUAGCUCUAGGAGGCUUCAAAGAAAUUUCCUGUUAAAAAUUUUCUGUUCUUAUUCUUUUCAAUCCGUAGCUCCAACAAGCUUCAGAGAAAUUUCCUAUUCAGGAUUUUCUUUUCAUUGUCCUUUAUAAUGCAAGACAAUUUAGUUAAGAAAUUCUAAUGCUAUUAAAUAAUAAUGAUGGGUAUAUUAAUUCCCUUUAAUUUGCCAAGAAGACAAACAAAUUAUUAUGUGACUUCAGUAAUUUCCCACUUGCUAACAUGAUCAUCCAUAAGGAUGGUUAAAAGAUUCUUUUUGAUUAGUGAGAUAUUUUUUUUCAUUGCUCUUAUUAAUAGACACAAAUAGUAUAUGAAGAGACUAAAGUCUCACAAUAUAAAAAUCUGAUAUACUGAGAACAGGAUAUAUUAUUGAAAAUUAAACCAAACUUGUAUUGUUUAGUGCCAAUUUCUAUAGAAAAGUUUCCUACCAAUCGUGUUUUCGCAAAAACAGAUUCCAAUAAACUACUAACGGUUUUUUUUUUAACAAAACAGGCCGUAAGUGAACUUGAUUUUAUAGUUACUUCUAAUGAAAAUGUUAUUGCUUAAAAAUACUUUUCAUGAAAACUACUUUCAAAAAUAAUUAUUUGUAAAAUCAUAUCUAUUAUCUAGGGUCAUGCGAGGCUAGAACCUUUAUGUCAUGAUGGUGGGGCUCAUCUCCAUCGCGAGUACUGACUUUCAUAAAAAGAGACACGCAACCAUAGAGUUCAUGACCUCCGUUGAUUCGCUCCAACAGUCAUCUAUAGUCACAGGAAGCCACGACGUUCAUGGCCGGACGUCUUUACCUUAAUGAAAAUCAAUACACUUGAUGGAGAUGAGCCUCGCUAUCAAAAUCAUGGAGGUCGUUGCCCUCAGUGCGACCAUAGGAAAAAGGUGUGAUUUUACAAAUUAUGAUUGAUAAGAUAUCCUUGUGCUCAAAAGCCCUUUUUGCUUUUUGCCACUAAAUGGUUUCUGAAUCAAAAAUCUUUUUAAAAGUCCAUUUUCUCGUCUCAGCAGUUUGUCCUUUCCUUCUUUAUGUACUAAGAAAAAGGAACGUCAUUAUGGUGGGCAAAGUUCAUGCAAUGGAAUCUACACUGUUCAAUUGGUGCUAUCAAAUUUGCAUCACAACUCACGAACGAUAGCGAAGACCUAAGAAAUCCUUUAUCAAAUUUGCAUCACACUGUUCAAUUGGUGAUUAAAAAAAGGCAAUUUUUAAACGCAAUUCAUUGUACUUACGCGAUAAAACUUACGAAUUCAAAAUCAUGCAAAUUCAAAUGUUGCUUAGAAUAUUGUCAAUCAUAUUCGUUUGAGCAAAUGACAUUGUAAGGGGUAUCUGGUUCGAUAUGUUUAUAAUGAAAGAGCCCAUUUGUUAUUGAUAAGCCCACCUAAGAUGCCAAACCUGGCCUAAUUAAGUGAACCCAAUACAUGUUGUAGGGAUUAAAACAAGAGAUGGCAUUUUCUGACUAAGGCGUAUCAAUAAUAUUGCCUUAAAGAUAGUAAUUUAUUCAAUAGGAUUCAUGAUCCAAUCCAAUUGAAUCCAAUGGAAAUCUUAACCCCAAAUACGAUGCCUAGACUCUAAUUUUGCUCGCUUAGUCCAUGUGGCAAGCAAAGGAUGAAUACGAUUCAAGCCUUGAAGAGAUAGUCAAUAUAGAGAAAGCAUGAGAGAGACGAGGAGGAGAAGAAGGAACAUAGGAUAGAUAAAUGUUGAUGAUCUCUUUGUUCCCGUAUUUUCUAGAAGAUGCCCCUGGAUAAGUAGACAAAGGAAACGACACAUGUAAUAAUGGACGCAUCUAUUCAUUGAUAAUAUUUGAAAUCUAAGUUAGAUGAAUGUUAAGUUUCAAACAGUAAUAAUCUAACUGAUGGAUAAGAAUUAAAAGACAAGAUAACUAGCGAGCAAUUUUGGCCCUGAAGUUUUAAUUUAUUCAAUGUGGUCUUUGAAUUUUUUAUCUGUUCAAUAUAGUUCCUAAACUUUUAGUACAUAUUCAAUACAUUCUUUGAAUUGUAUAAAUAUGUUCAAUAUAGUCAUUCCAUUAAUUUAAGACAAGAGGCUACAUUGAAUAUUUUCAUAUAAUUCAUUAACUAUAUUGAACAUGUACCAAAAGUUCAGGGACCAUAUUGCACAUAGGGCUAAAGUUCAUGGGCUAUAUUAAACAUAUUAAAAGUUCAUGGAUCAAAUUGUAUAUUGGGACAAAUUUUAUGGACUGUUUGUAUCAUUUUGCCUAAAAGAAACCCAAAACAAUCUCUCACUAUUUUUCUAAGGAGGAAUUAUUACAAGGCAAACAUUGACUUCCAAUACCAUGUAUGAACCAUAAGGAUAUGUGGCAAAGCAAAAUGUAGUAGUUGAUAGGAGAAACUUUGAUCUCAGAAUUACUAAUUUCAGCUCUGUUUGUUUCGCGAAAAAUAAAUAAUUUUGAGAUUUUUUUUUCUAAAAAUAGUCACUUAUAUCGUUUACAAAAAUGAAUGAAUGAAAUUACCUUUCUUGUCAAUGAUAAUGUUUAGACAUAAAUUGUUGUCGGUAAUGAGAAUAUAUUUCAUUAACUAAUUGUUUCAAGCGAUACAAGCGAUCAUUUUUAGGAAAAUGUUGUUAAAAAAUCAUUCAUUUUUAGGGCAAUGUGUUAUAAAUCAUGCACUUACCCCAGCUUAGUGAGAGCUUUAGAGCAUAGCCGUAGCUCAUAAGAAGUAGCCCAGACUUCCACAUUAGCAAAGGUAAAUCCCAUCAAGAGCAUUCGCAACCACCAUUUUCGAUCCACUAUUUGUUAAGAUUAGUUCGAUCCUACUUAUGGCAAAUAAAACAAUGCACAUUUUAAGAUGGAAUUUUUCCUAUUAAAAAUUGUGGCCCUACUAGUUGCAAAGUAACGUGCAUUGAAAAUAUAACCUCAAUGCUAACAUUUCGAUAGAUCACAAUUGACUAAAAAAUUUUCAAACUCGUACGUAAUACAAAUGUAGAGUAGGCUACAUCCAGUGGAUCCUUAAAUAUUGGUACUAAUCACAUCUCCUUCAAAGCUCUUGAUUGCUCUACACGAGUUGAUCUCUUAGUAAGAGGAUUGAUGGAAAAAUUGUCCAAAAAGUCUUAAACUUAUUAUAUGAUGGCCAUUUCAACCUUAAACUUACAAAUAUAUAUAUGCCACACGGUUUUAACUUUGUCGUUAACACACAAUUAGAACCUAUAAUUAUGGUGUUAGGAGGAAGAUUGGCUAAUGACCAUGUACUAUCUUGCUUAAUAAAUUUUAUUUCAAUUAGGGGUGAGUGGUUCCACAAUUACUUCAGGUUUUACUUGGAACCUCCAACCUGUUGGAACUGAUUCCCCAAUUUUUAAAACCUAGAACCUACCUUACAUACCUUGGAGCCUUAAACUUGCCCUCUCACAAGUUUUAGGAUCAAUUUCACAGUCUAUCUAGGUUCUACCUGUAUUCUUAAUUAAACGACUUCAGUCAAUUAUCACAUCUAAUUACCAUUAUUUACUAUUACAAUAUAGAAAUCACAACUCAUAUCUAGAUACACGAAGAAUAUGAAAUAUUAACAACGCAAAAGUCUUACUCAUAGAUAUCAUCGGAAAUGGAAGCUUAUACUAGUGAUUUCAGAUUGCACAAUUAUCAUCAGACACAAUGGAAAGCCGUAGGAUUUUGCAAAGAACAGGAAAAACAAAAAGACUUGUUCACAUGUAGUUUCAGUAAUGAAGCGAUGUGGCUAAAAUCAUACUUAACAACUAAUGAAUAAUGUCUACUGUGUAAAGCAUGCCCCAUAUGCUUUCAAAACAAUUUAAGAUUAUAUACAAAUCUACAAGAUUUGAUUCGGACAUUUUUACCAAAUAAGAUUGAAAAAAAGAUUUUAGGCAUUUCAAACUCAAAUUCCGUCCUAAGUUCAAUCUAAACUAACAUCAGAUGUGCGAAAUCAAGAAAGCAAACUCAAAUAGAUCAUGUUUCUAUCUCCACAAAAGAUUCAUAGUCUCAAUCACUCCUAACUGGAAACUGAACCUUUUGGAACAGAAGCAUUACUUGAUUAGCAAGGCCAAAUGAAACUGUGGCAACUCGAGACUCAUAGCCCAAAAAAAAAAAAAAAACCUCAACAACAACAAGACAGAGGAAGAUAGGGUAACGUUCUAUGCUCUUGUGAAUAAGAGAUGAACAAUAACUGAUGGCAAGCGGCGUCUGACGACAAUGGAGAGACUCUCAAAGAAGUUUUUCAAAUCUCUCUCUCUCUCUCUCUCUCUCUCUCUCUCUCUCUCUCUCUCUCUCUCUCUCUCUCUCUCUCUCUCGGAGAGGAAGGGUUUCUUUUCAUUUGCUACGUCCAAGCCUCACCAUGUUUGGAUAUGCCAAUUUCUAUUUUAGGGUUUAGUAUGUUCUCGAUCUAGUUCUCUGAUUCUUAAUUCCCAAUCUAGUUUGACUCGAUUCGAUUCCUACCCAAGAAUCAAACCGCAUAAUGCAAGUUCAAAAUAAUAUGGAACUGGGAAUCGAACGGGGUCUCCCCAGAACCUAGAAUUAGUUUGGUUCCCACCGGUUCUCUGAUUCCUUAUUCUACUCUAAAAUCAUGCUCAUUUCUAAUCUCAACAUCCAUUGCCGUUGUGCAAAUAUGAGCAUCUGGUCUAGACUUAGCAUCAUUAUAACUCUUUAGAUCAUUUACCAAAUCAAUCCCAUAAAUGGUCCAAAGACUUUUAUUAUUGUUUUCAUUAUCAAAUGCUAAACAUACUUCGCCAACUAAAUUUGCUUAAUAAAUUGAUGUGGCAAAUUCCUCCUAAGUGAUUUGAUGCUUAGAGAACUUGAAUUCUAACGUUAGAAAACCGUCAAGUUUUAAAUAGCAAUAAACUCAUAGAUAAGAGCUAAAAGACAAGAUAAUUACUAAAUAAUCCGAAACUCUCGAUGACAACAAUAAUUUUUUUAAAGAAUUUAAAAUAGACAUUUCAUCUUAAUUACCAAAUAUAGAGAAAAUUACCCAAAAAAAUCCCAUACCUACCAUAUGGUGGUUAGUUUAAUUGUAAACUUUUCAAUUACAUCAGGGCUAGAACAAGGGCCAUGACCCUCAUUAGAUGUCAAUGAUGGCUUGCAAGCCUUCACUUAUUGGCCAAUGAGAAUUGUCAGGUCCUUGCUGGCCACAACACCCCCCCCCCCCAAAAGUAAAGAGAAAAAAAGAAACAAAAAAAAUAAAAAUAAAUUACAAAAAUUAUCCACAUCAACACCAGUUGUCUUAAGCCAUGUCAUAUAAGAUGGUCCACAUCACUUUAGCGAUUUUUGGCCAAAAUUGGCCAAAAUACUACAUAGGUAAAUUGUCAAAAAGUUUAAAACUAAAUCGACACAAUUAAAAAUAUAAUUGAAUUCAGAUCCAUAUAAUAGGUUUGGGAUUUUCUUAGGAAUUUUCCCCAAAUACAUAGGGAUGCAUGUGUGUUGUUUGCCAUAAAUCUAAUAAAAUUAUUUUAGUUUUGAAUUUUUUGAAGUAAUUGAUGGUAAUGUUUGUAUAUUUAAGAAAAUUUGAAGUGGUCAAUAUUAAGGUAAUAAAAAAGUACGUCAAAUAGAUGGGUCAAGUCAGAUUGAAAAUUGAUCUGACUCAAAUUGAUCUAUUUAAACUGUUUUUACCCAUUUCCAUCAAUAAAAAUAUAGGGAUAUAUACACAAUUCAACUCAUAUUCUAUUCAACUCAUAUUGCAAAAAUACUUAUAUAUUUAAUUCAAUCUAGAAAAACUCAUACUUAAAUUAAGGUGAGAGCACAAAGUGAGUGAGCGUGAGAUUGAGUGAGAAUACGAGAGUGAAGAGACAAUCAUAGAAGUGAAUUAGGUCUAAAUAAGUAAUGCACUUACCAUAUUAUUUUAGACCUUACCAUUCUAAACCGAUUUAUGACCUAUUACUAAAUAUAAGUAAUCCAUAUAACAACUCAGCAAUCAAAUAUUGGUUAAGAAAUAAGUCUAUGACCUAUUUUGACAGGUCCUGUUAACGGUAAGGAUCAUGACUAUUUAAGCGCUUACCACUGUCAAAUCAAGAUGGUGAUCACUUUAGAGAUAACCAUUUCCCCCUAUACCUUUCUAUAUUGGGUUCUUUUUCUUCCCCUUGGGUACGAGAAAUUUUAUAUGGCCCAACACCAUAACUUUUAUUUCAGUCUAUAUUCACGUUAAGUCUACAUUUAUCAUGGCCUAAUCACUAAGGACACAUUGAUUUAUAUUUUCUAAUCAAAUAAGUCUUCUUCUCCAUGUGUCUAAAUAAUCAACAAAAGUAAACUAGAAAUUUCACACCCAUCACACGUGAUGCUCGUAUUGUAAUUCCUUCCAAUCACAUGGGCCCAACCAUUGGACUCAAGCUCCAAGGCCAAACCCAAACAAAAAAUUGGUAGACGGACCUAGGUAGGCCCGUUAGGGGCCAUGGGCUUGACCAGGACUAAGAAAAAAGAAGAAGAAGAAAAAAAAGCAACAUGGCCCAUCACCUCACGGGGCCAUGCUUAGGCAUGGGCCGAACAACAACAACAAAAUUGUUGGGCCUAGAUAGGCCCAUGGGCCUGAUCGAGCCUAGGCACAAAGCAGGACAUGGCCCGCCAUCUAACGAGCCAUGCCCUGGCAUGGGCCCAAGCGUGCUUGGUCAGCACAACCCACUACCAAUCCCUAUCCACAAGAAAGGAAGUUGCAUCCACAUAAAUUCAUUCAUCCAAGACAAAUCUCACUUUGCAUUUGCAUUUCAUUGAUGCAAUACUAAUUAUAAAAAAUGCUAGAACACGGAACACUCUACACAAAAAGACGAUGAUGACAUAUCAAAGCAAAUUUUCCAUAAAUUUGAUAUCUCGAAAUUUGCAAUAUGUACAGUUAAUGUGGAUCGCUUCAACUUCAUGCUACGACUUCCCUCGGCGACUUCGCCAGCAGCGCCGAGGACUCCUCAUACGACUCCCGAUCCUAAUUGCCCUUGAAGUUGAGUGCGUACCUCCUUGAAUCAUACCCGAACUCCGACACUGCAACGCAGCCCCACCUCUGACACCUCCCAAUCCGAGCAAUGAGGCUUUGGAGCUUACGCCAGAUCUCUGGCAAUGAGAGCUCCCGAGUCAUGGAGCAGAGCCACGAGUAGGGUGACCAGGCUGUUUUGUGGCCACUGCCGUAGCCAUCACGGUCUGAGGAGGCGGCCUUGUGGCAGGCGGCAGCGUCCCGAAAGCAAUAGAAGAGGAGACGCAAGGAGGACAAUUUGAGCUUGCGAUGAACAACAUUUGAGCAUGUGUAGAGAGAGAGAGAGAGAGAGAGGAUGAGGUGGCGGCUUUUUAUAGGGUGGACACAGGAUAAGGACGUGGACAAAAUGGGGGGACAUAGUGUUUUGAGUCAAUUCCUCCUUUGAUGUUUCGUCUUACUUUCCCAUAACUUCAAUUUUUGGGUAAUUUAGUAAUUAAGUUAAAGUCAAGAGACCACGAAAUAAUUACAUGCGAUGUUCUGACUGACCAAAAAAAAAGAGGAGAAAUUCCAAAUAAAAACCCGAAGUGAAUCUAUUUUCUCAAAUAAAGACCUAAAGUAAAUUAUGUUUCAAAUAAGGACCCGAAGUGAAUUUUAUGUCAAAUAAGGACCCGAAGUGAUCAAGUUAAUUUCUAUUAAGGACCUUAGCUCGUCGGCAGACAUUUUUCGAGGAUUGAAAUAGGGGCAAUUUUGUCAGAAAUUUGUCAUUGGAAAAAAAAAAGGGAAAAUUCUAAAGUAAUUAAGUUAGGUUAUUCGUUUAGAUAUUUAUGUUUUCUUCUUUCUUCUCCCCCGCUGCUCCUCAACCAAAUUGCUGCCUGGUCAUUAUUGCGACUCGAUUCUCGUUGCUCCUUGCCUUGCUUGACCGGCAGAGAAUUUAGGUCUCCACAAACAAAGAAAGAAGCAUAUGGUUUUAUUCUUGUUUUUGAAUUCAUGCCUCAACUGGUGGAGAAUUUGGGUCCUUGACUUUGCGGAGGAUGGGUACAAGGAACGCGGAAAUCCUAGAAAACCUAGGGUUUUUUUGUUUAUGUUUUAGGAUUUGUUAAUUUUCCCUAGAUUUUUUUUUUGACAAAAUUGCCCAAACUCCGGUCAUCAUAAAUGUCACAUACUUGAUAGCCCUCGAAUAUGUGGCUGACUAGCAAGCUUAGGUCCUUAUUUGGAAUUGAUUCAACCACUUCGGAUCCUUAUUUGAGACAAUGGGUCAAUUUUAGGUUUUUAUCUAACACAAAAUUCAUUUCGGGUCCUUAUUUAGAAUUUUCCCCAAAAAAAAUGAUUAAAUCUGACCUAUUGCUAUUGAAAAGACAAAAUCACCUUUAUUCUUUUGAUUGCAAUUUAUUAGUGGUGGCCCCCAAAUUUUCCUUUCCUUUUCUUUAGCUUUGCUGCUUUUAUGUAGCAUUUUGUUACCAUAAUGACAAAGUUUCCAUAUAUAUAUCAAGGAUAUGAUUUUUUUUAAUUAUUAGUUUUUAUUUCCAUAAAAUUUAGUUUUGUCGAAAAGAGAAAUACCAAACAAAAAAAAAAAUCUAUUUCUUGGUUACAUCAUUGAUCAAAUUGAUGGAUAAUUGUUAAGUAAAAUCUAAAAAUAAAUUAAUAUGGACAAUUUUUUAGCACAAUCAUUUGUUUAUAAAUUUUCUCUCUUGAUGUGUAUAUUACCAUCAAAUCACGUCUUAUCAAUUUAUUAUUAUUAUUAUUAUGGAAUGCUCCAAAAAAAUCUUUGAUGAUUUUCCAAAAAUAAUAUCACAAUUACAUUCUCCAACGUGAAACUUGUCAGGCUAACAUAUAAUUCACAAAAUAAAUCAGACUAAAGAUACAUUUGAUAACCAUUCUAUUUUCAAGAAUAAUUUCUAUUCAUAAUUUAUUUAUUCAAUUGCUUGGACAAGUUUUUUUUUUUUUUUUAUUGCUUCGACAAGUUUCUAACUAGAAGAAAGUGUACAUUUGAUAUGACCCCAUAAAUUUCUAUUUUCAUUUUUUUAAAAUUAAUUAUACAAAUAUCAAUAAAGAGUUAACGAUUCAUGUUUGAAUAAAAAUUUGUUAAGCUUACGCUUGUCCACGAGGACCCAUGGGCCUGACCUGGCCUAGGCACAAAAUGGACAAGGCCAUCCACCUUAACAGGCCGUGCUGUGGCUUGGGCCCAAGCAUGUUGUGCUCCGCAAGCGUGUUGUGCUCGGGUCAGUACGGCGAGCUACCAAUCUCUAUCCGCAAGAAAAGAAGAUGCAUCCAUGUUAUCUGUAAAGUAAAUCCCAUUCAUCCAAAACUAAAAUUCGCUUCUUGUCGGUUUACGUUUCAAUUUUUCAAUUUUUUUUUUUUUUUUGGUUGAAGGUUCGCAUUUCGAUGAGGUAAUGCCGAUCGGCAAAAAUGGUCGACCGAGGACAACAAAUAUGUACAAGCGCUACGGAUCGCUCCAAGGACUGUUGAUAUGGCCCAACUUGUCGAUCCAAAUCAAAAACAGAUGCUUUUUUCCAGAGGAAAGGACUUCAACUACAAGCUACGACUUCACCGGCAACAACCGAUCUGGAGACAGUGGCAGCCUCGCGGAGAAGUUCCUUGCUGGGAACUCCUCGUCCAACUCCCUGCUCCGGUCAUCCUUGAAGCUGAGCGCGUAGCUCAUCGGGUCGUACCCGAACUCCGAGGAGGCCGCCGCAACCGCCGCCGCGUGCCCCGGCCUCCACCGGCACCUCCCGAUCCGAGCGAUGAGGCUGCGGCACCUGUACCGGAUCUCCGGCAACGGGAGCUCCAGGGCCGCCGAGCGGACCUUGCGGGGAUGGUCACCGUCGUCGCAGUCCGAGGAGGCGGUCUCGUGGUAGGCGGCGGCAGCGGUGGAGGCGUGGCCAUCAUGGAAGCAGGAGGCUCGGGGAGGAGGAUGAUCUGAGCUUGUGAUGGAACAACAUUUGGACGGCGAGAGCGACGGGACUCGGAAUCUUGGUCUGGUCUGGUCUGGUCCGGUCCCUGGUCUGCGCAAGAGUGUGAAGAGAGUGAAGAGAGGGAUGGCGAUGAUGAGGAAGACGAUGGAGAAGGGGAUGAGGCGGAGGGUCUAUUUAUGGGGUGGACGGAUGAGGACGGGGGCGUGUGGCGGCAAAGCAGAGUGGCAGGGUGGUGGUGAGGGCGGGAGUGAGGAUGAGGAAAACCGCGGGUGGAUCGUGGUGGGCAAGUGGGAAGCGGUUUUUUUGGCGUUAAUCCUGCGUGAGGUUUCCUUCUUACUUUUCCUGAACUUCAUUGUUGGGCAGUUUGGUAAUUCCACGGAAGUCGAGGGACCACGUAGCUGCUCCUCCUUUCUUUUAUUUUUAAUAUUUAUCUUUUGUUUUAGGAUAGUUGAAAUUUUUAACUUCUGAGAUAGUUGGAAUUUAAAUGACUCUUUUAUGGGUUUUCUUACACGACCAUAUAUAUAAUAAAUUGCGAGAGUAAAGGCCAAGAACGGAAUCACCAGUUCAAAGUCAUGACUUCUCACUUUAGAGUACAUUUAUUUUACGGAAAAAAUCCACAUUUUGAGAAUAUUUUCUUAAUUUUAACCAUUGUUAAUCGCUUACAAAAAUCAUUCAAUGAAAAGUAUUUCUAUUCUUAACAACAAUUUAUACCUAGACAUUUUUGCUGAUUAUACUAUUUUUCAUUGUCACUUUUUCUAAGUGAUGUAAAAAAUCAAAAUUAAAAAAUAUUUUUUAAAUCAUUGAUUUUUCGUGAAAUAAAUUGAGCAUUAAUCUCCUAAAGCAACUGCAAGGCAGAAAAGAUGAUUUAUAUGAAGAUGGAGAAUCCAUAAUCUUGGGAAUUUGAUGGACACAAUUAGAUCUAGAGAGAAAAUCAAUAAGAUUUGAAAUGUCGCAAACUAAACUAGUAUAACUUGGAGGCAAGACAACAUAAGAGAGGGGAUUAAUUGGGAUGUUUGAUUUUCAUGUGAUAUCGAAUCAAAUAUCCAAAGGUUCAAAUCCCUCUAUUGCCUCCCACAUUGCCAUCACUUUUCAUUUUCUUUCAAUGUCCAGCCGAAUACUAGCUUUGCUGCUCCCUGCUUGGCCCGAGGCAGCUUCACUCAUAUCUCAAGAUAAUAGAUGAGAGGCUCUAAAUAAAGCAAAUUUCAACAUUAAAAGCAAUAAAGCACAAAUUGUAACGGCGAGCGCACUCUCAUUUUACAAAAACAAACAUGCCUCGAGCAUCAAAACAGAACGAAUGGCACUCGAUAAAUAAAGUCAGUAAGAACGAAUCAUUAAUUCCCUACUUGCCCUUGCGCUGAUCUCCACUUACCUCUUCAUGUGACACUAAGCUCUUCACUUCCAAUGGUGGUUUCAUCGAUCACUAAUUAAAAACGAUUGGGGGGAGCCAUGCAUCAUGCUUGGUUUGGAUUCUUGUCAUUGACAAGCCGAGCGCCUCCCGUGACUCCUGGGCUCGUGCUAUUCUCAAAGUGCAAGUCUCGCAUAUGAGAGCGCUCCACGUCAGUGGAGAUUGGAGUGAGCAUCUGAGGGAGAAUGGGCUCAUGCACCCAGCCAUUGAGUGCCCGCCACCGGACGCUUCCUUGCUCAACAAUUUGGGAUAGAUAAUAGGGGAAACAUGGUGUUUUGUCUCUAGGGGAGUAUUCGAGUCGGAUCUGGUCGACACAAUGCCCUCGAGAGCUCGGUUUGACUUGAUUUGGAUGGUCGAUACUCAAAACUCAACUUGAGCUUGAUUGAGUAUUAAAAUUGAUGCAUGAGUUCAAUUCGACUAGAAAAAUUGAGAUAUUGGAACUCUAGUAAAUAAAUAGUAAACUUCACUUUCAUAGAUCAAAUAUAAUUAGCGAAAGAGUCUAAAUAUAAUAGCCCGAUGAUAUAAGAUGCUUUUUGUACAAAAGCACGCUUUUCAUAUGCACAAAAAAGUCAAUUUUCGGAAAAUAUUGACAAUACACAUAAUAAUUAAGAGAUCCGAAGUCAUUCCUCAUGUCAUAGGCUAUGGCCACUUCUUGCCGGUGACAAAAAACAUAAAAAUUAUAUUAGUCAUGAAUAUAAGUUAUUCAUAUAACAAUUCAGCCAAUCAUUUUAUAUAAAAAUAUGUUUAUGAAUCAUUUUGAUAUGUUUAGUACCCGGCCAUGUAUAGCCCACUGCCUAUCCCUAUCCAUAGGAAAAGGCAGUUACAUCCAUAAAGUGAAUUCAUUCAUCCAAGACAUAAUCUACUUCUUGUCGGCUCCCCUUUCAUUGACGCAAGGCUGAUCAACAAAAAUGCUCAAACACGAAACACUUUAGGCAAAAAGCGAAAGCCAAAUGGAGACGACGAUGACAAAUGGACGCAGAUUUUCCAUAAAUUUGAUAUCUCAAAAUCUACAAUAUGUAUAGUAAGAUACUGUCGACCCUGAUAGUCAAACUUGUCGAUCAAAAUCAAAAGAACUAGAGGAGAAAACUUCAACUACAUGCUACAACUCCCCCACCCACCCCGGCAACUUUGCUAACGGCAACUGAUCCGGAGACACGGCCUGGAGGCGCGAUGGAGUCGGAGUCUUAGUCUGGUCUGGUUUGUGCGAGACUGUGAAGAGAGUGAAGAGAGUGAAUGGUGGUGAGGAAGAAGAUCGAGAAGAGGCUGAGGUGGCACGUUUUAAUAGGGUGGACGGAUAAGGACGCGGCUGGGAGGCGGCGGCGAGCAGCAGAGCAGAGCAGUGGGUAGCGGUUUUUUGCGUUAAUCCUGCGUGAGGUUUCGAUCUUACCUUUCUUAACUUUAUCGUUGGGCAGUUUGGUAAUUAAGCAAAAAUAGAGGGACCGGAGAGCUGCUGCUUUUAUCUUCUUUUCGGUUUUACAAAAGUAGAAUUAGAUUAACAUUUUUAUGGGUCAUCAUAUGACAACGUAAAUAUGGAGACCACCAGAUCCGGGGGUUUUAAAGGUCAAUAUCGAUGGAUCUUAUCAACUGGGAAGCAAGGAAGGGACUAUGGCUUGUGUGUAUCGUGAUUCACAUGGACAACUUACUGGUGGCUUCUCAGAUAGCUUUGCUGCCUUCUCGGCUCUGCAAGCGGAGAUCCACGCUUGCUUGCUUGCUCUCCGUCAUUUGAUUGAUCAAGACCUCUCUCAUGCUGCGCUGACUCUUGAAUCGGAUUGCCAGACCUUCAUUGAGACACUAAAGGGUUAGCGCUCGCCGCCAUGGCAAGAACAAAGCCUCUUCUCCGAAGCUGCCUUCCUGCUUUCAUUUUUUCCCAACAUUUCCCUAGCCUUCUGUCGUCGUGAGGCGAAUGUUGCUGCUGACUGGGCUGCGAAGGCCCAUAGGGUUAAUUCCAAGCGAAGUAACUGGGUUGUUUUUCCCCCUCCCCCUCUUUUAGAUCUUAUUUACGUUGAUGUGAUAGCUGCUGCUUGUAAUUGGUUUGGUCCAUAUAUAUAAUAGGUUCUGUUUGACAAAAAAAAAAAAAUAGGGAGAGAGAAGGGAGGGAGAGUAAAGGCUAAGAACAGAGAUGUGACUUGAAAGUCGAGACUCGUGACCUUAGUCUAAGUGAAGCAGCUACAAUGGGAAAAAUAUAAUUAUAUGAAAUAUCAGAAUUGAUAAACCUUGAAAUGUGAUGGACAUGAUUAAGUUCUAGGAAGAAAAUCAAACGGGAUGUAACGAUAUUCCAUGAUCGCAUGGUGGCAUUUUAAUUUCCAGUCAUAUUUUCAUCGAUUUACACGAGAAUUUAGAUAUCAUUGGAUAUACUAAAUAAGUAUAUCUUCGAGGCAAGGCCGUAGAAGAGAGAGGAUUGGGAUGUUCAUUUUUUAUUUUUUUUUACAUGAUAUCAAAAUACAAUAGCCGAACGUUCGAAUCUCUCUAUUACCUCCCACAUUCUAAUCCACUUCUUCAUUUUAUGUCUAGUUGAUUUAAACAGUUAUGUGGAGUCUGGCCAGCUUUUAUGCAUUUCAAUCAGUCACUCCUCUAUGUCAGCAUGGUGCAUUUAUGAUUAUACUCUGUUUUCUGAACAAAACAUGAGCGCGAAAGCAUAACAAGAGGAGCAAACCACCUUACUAUUUAAGUCAACACUUAAUUGGCCUGUCAAUGCAUUUCUUAAACACAGGCAAAAGUGAUCCUAAGCUUGAGAAAGCGGGUUACAUAAAUCUGGCCAACAUAGGUAAAUAGUUCAAUUGGGGGUUCAAUCUGAGUUACUCCGAUAAUUAAAGUUAGCAAGAACGAAUCAUUUUGAUCCCUUCAUGCCACUGCACUAAUCUCCGCUUGUCUCACGCACGUGGGGACUAGCUUCUUCGCUGCUCUGUCCCGCGACGAGCUAGCUGCAUUUGCGAUGCCAUAGCUUCUGUCCCGACGUUGCUGCUCCCUCCAUGGACCGACGCAGCUUCACCGUGACGAGUAUUGGCUCUACUGAGCACCUGCACGACCACCACGAUCUGUCCUGGUGCUACCUGCCCACGCUGAUCGCCAUCAGAUCCGCCGCCUCUUCUUACCACACUGCUGACAAGCCGUGAGCCUCCAAUGACGGUCCUUGCUAUGAGCCUUCAGUGACGGACCACCACGUGAACCGUUGCGGCUUCUCGCUCAACAACGGUGUUGUCCUCCAAUUUGCCGCCCACCUGUUACCGCCAUCCGUUGCACCUCCAACGCCACCCACCCAACAGCAAUUGCCUGUCUUAUCACCUUAUGAAAGAACGAAUGCUAGGCACGCUUCAGUCCCGACGGCCACCUUCUAUUAACAGCCUCCGUGAAUUCUCUUUUCCUGCAGGUUUCCAUCGCCGGCGACCAUCCAAUGACGCCAGCAUCUCCUGCACUUGUCCUGUGUCCACCGCAGUGAGCCAGGAAAAAAAUAAGUGAUCUUGAACAGGGUGGAAGGAAAGUCAAGCGGUGGCCAAAGUGGAGAAAAAGAAAAAUUGGAACGGAGAAGAUUCGUUCCGUCAUUUGCAAACGAUAUCAAAGCCCACACUUUCCAGAAUACAGGAUCCAGAGAAGACAAAUAAAGGGGGAAAUUCUGGAAAUUCGCUCCUCGGGUAUCCGUUCUUCGCGUUUUCUCUCGAGUUACCACCGAGCAGAGCCGUGUCACUAAUUGCCCCCGAACCACCGCCGCAGCCGGCCAUCCUUUGCCUAGAAGCACCACCACCAUGAGUAGUCUUGCUGCGAGCCUCAUCCGCCAGCCACCGUUGGUCAUCUGUCGAGUCCGAAUUUGGAUUGUGCGCUUCAAAUUAGUUAAUGUUCUAAUCCGAUUUGAUUUGAAUGUUUAAUUGCAAAUUUCAGAUUGAUUUCCUUAUAUAAUUGUGAUAUUCGAGAUUUUAGGCAUUACGCCAUAAGAUUUUUAAGUUUAUUGCAAUCCUCCUGUGCGCGAGAUAAUUCUAAUCCAGAUUAGACGAUCUCUCCGAGCUCUGCUGGUACUGAACCCGGCCAGCUUCUUCAAGCUUUGAAUUUCAGCUUUAGCUUUGGAACUUCUACCACCGCUACUAUUCUGCUCCUGGAACUGUUCCAAGCUUCGCCAUCCUCUUCCUUCUGCAGAGCCAAACAUGUCGUGGAACCGUUUCAAGCUUCUUCCUGCCCGUGUCAUGGAAUCGGACUCUUCCGUGAAAGCUCCAUUCCUUUUCAGUGGAUUGGAAGCAGGCCCUCCAGAGUCCUCACUGAAAUCUUCCGGAUAAAAAAGUGACUGCCCCGGUGAAUAACAUUUCGGGUGUCCGAUGAUCAGACUCAGCAGCAGGCGAAUCAUCUGAGAGCAUCAGCGGGACCUGGUUCGGGAACGCUUCAGCAGCCAUAAUCAGCAACCAAACAAAAUAUAAGAAAGGAGAAAAAUGCAAAAUCUUAACUUGGUACCAGCCACCCGCAGCACUAUGGAAUAUAAUAUAGCAUACCAACACCAUUCCAAAGACCAAGCUCUUCCUAUGGGGUGCAUGUCAAAGUGCUAUGCCAGCAAAAGAGGACCUUUUCAAGAGGAGCAUUGUUGCUGAGCCUACCUGAGAUUUAUGCCAUUUAGAACCUGAAACUGCUGAACACGUUCUUCUCUUCUCUUCUGUCCACUGACCAAAACGGGAGUGUGGGAGGACCCGACCCUGAAAAUAAAAAAUUACAAGCGACCACAUUGUGAUAUCAGCUAAUUUAACAAGCCCGAUGAUUUUUUCGGAUAUUAUAAUCUUUUAUUUGAAUUUUGAUGGAUAUCCUAGAUGAUUUUUGCUAUGUUUGAAUUUUUUAUUAGAUCAGGUUAGGUUGAAAAAUGAUUUGACCCAAAGUGACCUAUUUAAAUUUUUUUGACUAAUUUCCAUACAUUAAAAACACUUCUAUAGUUAAUCCAAUCUAGAAAAACUCGUACUUAAACUAAGAUGAGAACAUGGAGCGAGCGAGCGCGAGAUCAAGUAAAGACAAGAAAGUGAAGAGAGAAUCAUAGAGGUGGAUUGAGUUUAAAUAGGUCGUGAACUAAUAUUACACUAUAAAUCUUAUCAUUCUAAACUCAUUCAUGAAUAUAACUAACCUAUAUUACAACUCAACCCAUCAAAUAUAGGUUAAAAAAUAGGUUUAUGAUCCAUUUUGAUAGAUCUAAUCAAGAUGGUGAUCACUUUGAAGAUAACCGUCACCCCUAUUCCUUUCUCAAUUGGAUUCUCUCUCCUACUUGGAUAUGAGAAAUUUUAUCUGACCCAACACUAUAACUUUUAUUUUAGUCUAUAUUCAUGUUAAGUCUGCAUUUAUCAUGGUGUGAUAAUUAAGGACUUGAUGCAAUCAUUUAUAUUUUCUAGUCAAAUAAAGUCUUAUUCUUUAUGUGUCCAAAUAAUCAACAAAAUCAAAAUAGAAAUUUCAUGCCCGUUGCUUUUGACUUUCACUUUGUAAUUCCUUCCAAUCACAAGGGCCCGACCAUUGGACUUGACCUCCAAGGCCAAACCCAAAAGAAAAAUUGUUGGACCUAAGUAGGCCCAUUAGGCAUGGGCUUAACCAAGCCUAAACCAAAAAUAUGCAACACAGCCUGUCAUUUCACAGGGCUAUGCUUGGGUAUGGGCUGAACAGCUAGACUUGCCCCCAAAGGCCCAAUCCCAAAAAAAAAAAAAAAAUUGUUUGACCUAGAUGGGCCCAUGAGUCUGAUCAAGCCUAGGCACAACAUGUGACACAACCCACCAUCUAAUGGGCAGUGCCCUAGCAUGGACACAGCCUAUUACCGAUCCCUAUCCAUAAGAAAAUAAGUUGGAUCCAUGUAAAUUCAUUCAUUCAUAACAAAUUUUACUUCCUAUCCCUUCGCGUUUCAUUAACACUACUAAUCAACAAAAAUGCUUGAACACGAACACUCUAGACCAAAAGACGAUGAUGACAUGUCGAAGUAGAUUUUCCAUGAAUUUGAGAUCUCGAAAUUUGUAAUAUGUAUGGACGUUGUGGAUCACUCCAAGGACUAUGAUAAUCCAAUUCGUUGAUCAAAAUCAAUAAUAUCCUUAUUGAAGAAAACUUUAGCUACACGUUACGACUUCUCUCAGCAUUUGAUAGCAACCAAUCUAGAGACACUGGCAGCAUUGCUGUGAAGUUCCUCGCUGGGGACUCCUCGUUCGCCUCCCAACCUCGAUCGCCCUCAAAGUUGAGCGCAUAGCUCAUCAUAUCAUACCCAAACUCUGAGGUCGCGAUGUGGCCUUGCUUUCGACACCUCUUGAUCCAAGUGAUGAGGCUCUAGAGCUUGUGUUGGAUCUCCGACAGUGGAAGCUCCCGGGCCAUGGAAUGGAGCCAUAAGCAAGGCGACCGGGUUGCCCCACGGUAGCUGCCAUCACUGUCACCGUCGUUGCUGUAGUCUGAGGGGGCGGCCUCAUGGUGGACAGUGGCGUCCUGAAAGCAACAGAAGAGGAGACGCGGGGAGGAUGAUUUGAGCUCGUGAUUGAACAACAUUGGGCUGUGUGGAGAGAGAGAGAGAGAGAGGGGAGAGAGAGGGAGUGGGGGGGGGGGAGGAUGAGGUGGCGGGUUUUUAUAGGGUGGACAGGAUAAAGGAGGAAGGGCAAAGUGGGAGGACAUGGAGUUUUGAGUUAAUCCCUCCCUGAUGUUUUGUCUUGUUUUUCCCUAAUUGCAUUUUUUUUUAUGUAAUUUGGUAACUAAGCAAAAGUUGAGGGAUCAUGUAGCUGCUCCUUUUUCCUUUUCUACAAGGCGUUGUUUCCUCCCCUUAAAUGUUUGAGUCUAACCAAUUGCUAUUAGAAAUACAAAAAUCGCCCCUAAUCAUUCAAUUACAUUUUAUAAGUGGUGACACCCAAAUUUUGCUUUCCUUUCCUUUUAACUUUGCUGUUUUUAUGUAGGAUUUUGUUACCAUAGAAACAAAGUUUCAAUGUAUAUUAAGGGGCACGCUUUUUUUAAUUGUUAGAUUUUAUUUCCAUAAAAAUUAGUUUUGUCGAAAAGAGAAAUCCCUAAAAAAAAUCUUUUUCUUUUCUAUGUUGUUGCUCAAAUUUAUGGAUAAAUUGUCGAGUAAAAUCUAGAAAUAAAUUAAGGGUGGCAUUAUUUUCACCCUCUAAAUGACUAAACCCACCUACACUAAAAAGAAAAAAUUGUCCUCAAUUUUACAAUUGCAGUUUUAGAUGAUAGCCCGACUCCUUCUUUUUUUUUAUUUUUUUCUUUUUCUAUCUUGGAUAGUUGCCAUAAUUAAAAAUUUCACAUGUUUUGUUUUUUAGCUUAGAAAUUUUUAUAUUGUUUUACAUGCUCCAUGUAAAAUUAUCUUGCUAAUGGUAAGGGAAAAAAAAAAGCAUUAUUUGAUAUAGUAUAAAAUUGAAAAGUCUCUUCUUCAUUAUUGAUCUUACAACAACUUAUCUAUUUUUUGUUCCUUUUAUAUCAAAAACUCACUUUCUUGAAGAGCUUUUUAUUAGUCUCAUUAGUAUAAAAAUAUAUAUCAACUCUCUUUAUUUACUAUAUCAAAGUACUUAUAUUUUUUCCUGACUAUAUUGGUGAGAUACCCUUAUAUAUAGCAUGUAAGGAGUUAGAGAUAUAUCUAAAAAAACACUAAAUACCUUAUGCACAAUGAGGCAUCUUAAUAAUUUUUCAUAAACAGUUUAUUGAUGAUAUUAAUUUUUCUCAAUCCAAAAUAAAGAAAUUUCACUGGUAUUUUCAAAAAAAAAAAAAAAUCUUACUUUAUGCAAUUAAUUUUUUUACUUAACAAUUUAUCCACAAAUUUAAUUGAAAAUUAAAAAAAAAUAGAUUUGUCGGAAAUUUCUCUUUUUGACAAAAUAAAUUUUUUAUUGAAGUAAUAUCUAACAAUAAAAGAAGACAUAGUGCCUUUAAUAUACAUGGAAAAUCUACAAUAAACAAAAUUAAACAUAUUCAAUUCUUAAUUAUGGUAGGUAGAUCCUCCAUAAGUAUAGAAAAACUUGCAAUUAAAUGAUAGAAGGUAAUUUUGUAUUUUUGGUGAAAAUUGGGUGAAUUUAAUCACACAACACACAUAUAGUGGAAUGAUCAGAUGAAGCCAUAAAAUAUAUAUAUAUAUAUAUAUAUAUAUAUAUAUAUAUAUAUAUUUGUUGAUUUUCCAAAAUAAAAUCGCAAUUACAUUCUCUAACAUAAAACAUGUCGGGCCAAUAUACAAUUCACAAAAUAAACCAGACUAGGGACAUGUUUGCUAAUCUUUCUGUUUUCAAGCGUAAUUUCAUUUCAAAAUCUAUUUCCUAUACGAGUUUCUAAGUAUGACAACGCAUUUGUUAACUACACAAUAUUUCCCUUCUCAAAAAAAAAAAAGAAUAGAAAUGCAUUUACUAUAACCCUAAAUUCUCUUCCCAUUUUUUUUUCAUUUUAUUAUAAAAAUUAUCAGUAGACACUUAAUGAUUCAUGUUUGAAUAAAUAUUUGUCGAGCCUAGGCUGGCCCAUUAGGACCCAUGGCCCUGACCUGGCCUAGGCACAAAACAGACACGGUCUGCCACCUUAACGGGCUGUGCCCUGGCUCAAGCCCAGGCAUGCCGUACCUGGGUCAGUGUGGCCCAGUACCAAUCCCUAUCCACAAGAAAAGAAGAUGCAUCCGCUUUGUCCAUAAAGUAAGUCCCAUUCAUCCAACAAUAACAAUAAAAUUUCUUCUUGUUUGUUCGUGUUUCAAUUUUUUAUUUUUAUUUUCUUAAGUCGAAAGUUCGCAUUUCGAUGACGCAUCGCCAAUCAGCAAAAUUCUCGACCGGGGAUCAACAAUCCAGACAAAAGGCGAAAGCAAAGCGGAGAAGACGAAAACAUAUCGAAGCAGAUCUUUCAUAAAAUUGAGAUCUGGAAGUUCUACAAAUAUGUACAGACACUGCGAAUUGCUCUAGAGACUGUUGAUAUAAGCCCAACUUAGUGGAUCAAAAUUCCAGAGGAAAACAACUUCAACAACAAGCUACGACUUCCCUCGGUAACCUCGACGGCAUCAACCGAUCUGGAGACACCGGCAGCCGCGCUGAGAAGUUCCUCAUUGAGAACUCCUCGUCUGACUCCCAGCUCCGAUCGUCCUCGAAGUUUAGCGCGUAGCUCAUCGGGUCAUACCCGAACUCCGAGGAGGCCGCCGCCGCCGCGUGGCCCGGCCUCCACCGGCACCUCCCGAUCCGAGCGAUGAGGCUGCGGCACCUGUACCGGAUCUCCGGCAGGAGGAGCUCCUGGGCCGUCGAGCGGACCUUGCGGGGGUGGCCGUCGUCACAGUCCGAGGAGGUGGCCUCGUGGUAGGCAGCGGCAUGGCCACCGUCGUGGAAGCAGGAGAAGAGGAGGGACGGGGAGGAUGAUCUGAGCUUGUGAUGGAAGAGCAUUUCGACGGCGAGAGCGAUGGGACUCGGAUUCUUGGUCUGGUUUGUGCAAGGCCGUGAAGAGAGCGGAGAGAGUGGAUGGAGAUGAGGAAGAAGAUGGAGAAGAGGAUAAGGUGGAGGGUUUAUUUAUAGGUCGGGCGGAUGAGGACGGAGGCGUGCGGCGGCUGAGCAGAGUGGCGGGGUGGUGGGGGCGGUGGGGGUGGGAGUGAGGAGUCAGGAUGAGGAGGAAAGCCGCGGCUGCUUCGUGGGGUGGACGUGGAAAGCGCUUUUUUUGCGUUAAUCCCGCGUAAGGUGUAGAUCUUUACUUUUUCUUUACUAUAAUUUUGGCAGUUUGGUAAUUACGUAAAAGACGAGGGACCACGUAGCUGCUGCCUUUUUUUUUUUUUUUUUUUUAAGAUCUCUCUUUUGUUUUUACGAAAGUGGAAAUUUUUUUUUUUUUUUUUUGGUCAGUCCUACUCUAUUCCUACUCUACACUCACUUGCAGACUUGUGCCCUGCCUCUUGCAGGGCGUGGGAGUCGCAACCCACUCUCAAACUUACGCGUUCCUACCCCCAUCCCCCCCUGAGAAGGUGGGGAUUUGAACCCCUCACCUCCCCCUUCCAUGUUGGAAGGGUGGCCACUGGGGCGAACCCCCAAUGGUUCGAAAGUGGAAAUUUAAAUGACUCUUUUAUGGGUUUCAUCAUACGACCAUAUAUAUAGAUUGAGAGAGUAAACUGCAAGAUCGGAAUCGGGAGUUCAAAGUCGUGAAUUCCGACCUUAGACUCUGUUUGUUUGGCUGAAAGAUUAAUAUCUUGAAAAAUAUUUUCCUAACUUUAAUUGUUGUUAAUCGGUUACAAAAAUAAUUAAUGAAAUGCAUUUUCGUUAACGACUUAUAUCUAAAUUUUUUUGUUGAUGAUGAGAAUUUUUUUAUUAUCACUUUUCCUAGUGAUUAAAAAAUUUAAAUUAGGAAAUUAUUUUUCAAAUUAUUAGUUUUUUGUGAAAAAAAAAAUGGAGCCUUAGUCUCUUGAAGUAGCUAUGGUGUGGGAAAGAUGAUUUAUAUGACGAAGGAGAAUCCAUAAGCUAUGGAGACAAUUAAAUCGAGAAAGAAAAUCAACAAGAUUUGAAAUGUCACAGAUUAAAUGAGUCAUUUGAUUUUUCGCAUGAUAUCAAAUUGAAUAUCGAAGGUUUAAAUCCCUCUAUCAACUCCCAUAUUAUUAUCACUUUUUAAUUUCUUUCAAUGUCUAGUAAAAUACUAACUUUGAGUCGUGUUCAUGCAGUUCCUUUUGAGCGGAUAUGUGAUGUUUAAACCAGUUUGUUGGUGUGUUGAUGCAUCCCUUAAAUAUAUGUUGAUGCACAAAUUGAUCCCAAGCUCAAGAAAGCGUGUUGCCUAAAUUAUUUAAUACACAUAGAAAAAUAUUCAAUCGAUAAUUAAAACUGGAUUGCUUCGAUAAAAUUCUAUUUUCUUGUUCGAAAAUAAAUUGUCCAUUCAUAUCUCAAGAUGAUAUGUGAAAGACUCAAAAUAAAGCAAAUCUCAACAACAAAAUAGUAAAGCACAAACUGUAGCAACGAGUAUACUGUCAUUCCAUAAAAAUGAAUAUGUGUUGAGCAUCUCUUCACUUCCAAUGGUGGUUUCGUAGAUCUCCAAGCUGGUUUUCCCACAUACCUAGAAUUUGCUCUCUCUCUCUCUCUCUCUCUCUCUCUCUCUCUCUCUCUCUCUCUCUCUCUCUCUCUCUCUCGUUAUAAUAACCGAGAUGUCCCGUGGUGCAUGAACAAAACGGGGGGACGAUGAAUGUUCCCUAAUGCCCAAUAGCUUUGGAUUCUAGUCAUUUACGAGCCGAGCGCCUCCCGUGACUCCUGGGUUCGUGCCGCUCUCAAAGUGCGAGUCCGCAUAUGAGAGCGCUACACGUCGGUGGAGAUUGGAGUGAGCGUCCGAGGGAUUCAUGCACCCAGCCAUCGGUUGCCCACCGCCAGACGCUUCCUCGCCCGACAUUUUGGUAUAGAUAAUAGGGGAAACAUGGUGUUAAGAUUUACUUGAUCCGGCGUGUUCAAUGCUCAAAACUCGACUCGAGCUUGAUUGAGUGUUAAGAUUGAUGCUCGAAUUUAAUUUGACUAGAAAAAUCGAGAUACUAAAGCUCGGAUAAAUAAGUAGUAAACUUCACUUUUAUAGAUCAAAUAUGAUUAUUGAAAGAGUCUAAAUAUAUAAUAUAAUAAUAGUUCGAUGAAAUAAGAUAUCUUUUUUAACAACGCACGCUUUUCAAAUAUGUAAGAAAAAAGUAAAUUUUCGGAUUAUGUUGAAUACACAUAAUAAUUAAGGGAUCCAAAGUCAUUCCUCGUGCCAUAGGCUAUGGUCAGGCUAUGGUCACUCUUCGUGGAUGGCAAAAAACCUAAAAAUUAUAUCAAUCAUGAAUAUAACUUAUUUAUAUUAUAAUUCAGCCAAUCAUAUCAUAUAGAAAUAGGUCUAUAAUUCAUUUUGACAUAUUCAGUAUCCGGCCAUGCAUAGUCCACUGGGCCCUAUCCACAAGAAAAGGAAGUCGCAUCCACGUUAUCCAUAAAGUUAAUUCAUUCAUCCACGACAUAAUUUACUUCUUGUCGGCACCCAUUUCAUUGACGCAACACCAAUCAGCAAAAAUGUUCGAACACGGCACUCUCCAGGCAAAAAGCGAAAGCAAAAUGGAGACAUCUCAACGCAGAUUGUUAUUUCAAAAUCUACAUUAUAUACAGUAAGACACUGUCGACCCUAAUAGCCAAAAUUGUCGACCAAAAUCAAAAGACCUAGAGAAGAAAACUUCAACUAAACGCUAUAACUUCCCUCAGCAACUUCGCCGGUAGCAACCGAUCCGGAGACACCAGCAGCCUCACCGAGAAGUUUCUUGCUGGGAGCUCCUUGUCCGACUCCCAGCUUCGAUCAUCCUCGAAGUUGAGCGUGUAGCUCAUCGGAUUGUACCCAAACUCUGAGGAGGCCGCCAUGGCCGCAUGGCCCUGCCUCCACCUGCACCUCCCAAUCCGAGCGAUGAGGCUGCGGCACCUGUACCGGAUCUCCGGCAGCAGGAGCUCCUGGGCCGUCGAGCGGACCUUGCGGGGGUGGCCGUCGUCACAGUCCGAGGCAGCGGCCUUGUUGUAGGUGGUGGCAUGCCCGUCGCGGAAGCAGCAGAAGAAGAGGCAAGGGGAGGAUGAUCUGAGCUUGUGAUUGAACAUUUUGGGUGUGAAAGAGAGAGGGAGAGCGCGCGAUGGAGUCAGAGUCUGGUCUGGUCAGUGCGAGACUGUGAAGAGAGUGAAGAGAGUGCAUGGUGAUGAGGAAGAAGGUGGAGAAGAGGCUGAGGUGGCGGGUUUUAAUAGGUUGGACGGAGAAGGACGCGGCCGAGGGGCGGCGGCGAGCAGCUAAGCAGAGGAGUGGAAAGCGGUUUUUUUUUUGUCAAUCCGGCAAUGGGGUUUCUAUUUUACCUUUCUUAACUUUCUCGUUGGGCAGUUUGGUAAUUAAGCAAAAGUCGAGGGAUUUCUUUUUGGUUUUACAAUAGUUGAAUUAGAUUAACAUUUUAUGGGUAAAGGCUGAGAACAGAAUCUCGACUUGAAAGUCGAGACUCGUGACCUCUAAAGCAGCUACAAUGGGAAAAAGAUAAUUAUAUGAAAUUGCAGAAUUGAUAAACCUUGGAAUGUGAUGGACAUUAUUAAGUUCUACGAAGAAAAUCAAAGGGGACAUAGCGGUAUUCCAUGAUCGUAUCAUGAUAUUUUAAUUUCAAGUCGUAUUUUUAAUGAGUUACAUGAAAAUUUCAAUAUUAUUGGUUAGGCUAGAUGAGUAUAUUUUUAAAGCAAUCCUAUAAAAGAAAGAGGAUUAGAACGUUCGUCUUUUUAUUUUUUUUCAAGUGAUAUCAAAAUAUAAUAUUUGAAUAUUUGAAUCCCUCUUUCACCUCCCACAUCGCAAUCGCUUUUCACUUUUUUUUUUUUUUUUAUGUCUAGCCAAAUGCUAGUUUCGAAUUGUGUUGACUGAUUAUACUAUAUUCUCUCAACAAAACUCCAGCGCAAGAAUAUAGGAGAGAAACAAACCACCUUACUAUCUAAGUCAACACUUCAACAUGGGCAAAAGUGAUCCUCAGCUUGAGAAAGCAUGUUACAUAAAUCGAUCUGCAUACAUAGAUAAAUUGUUCUAUCGGGGAUUCAACCUGAGUUACUCCGAUAAUUGAAGUUAGCAAGAAUGAAUCACUUUAUUCCCUUCAUGCCCUUGCACUGAUCUCCGCUUAUCUCAUGCACGUGGGGACUAAGCUUCUUCGCUGCUCUGUCCCACGACGAUCUAGCUGCAGCUGCGACGCCGAAGCUUCUGUCCCGACGUUGCUGCUUCCUUUGACGCGACGUCUAGACUCGUUGCUCCCUCAUUGGCCCAAUGCCGCUUUGCCGUGACGAGUCUUGGCUUGACUGAGCACCUGCACGACCAUCGUGAUAUACUUCAUCUGUCCUGGUGCUACUUGCCCGUGCUGAUUGCCAGCAGAUCCACGGCCCCUUCUCACUACACCGCUGACGAGCCGUGAGCCUCUUACUGAUGGUCCUUGCUACGAGCCUUCAACAAUGGAUCACCCCGCGAGUAGUUGCUGCUUCUCGCUCCACAACGGCGCUGUAUUCCAGUUUGCCGUCCACCUGGUACCGCCGUACGUUGCACCUCCAACACCACCCACCCAACAGCAUCAGUGCUAGCCACGCUUCAGGCCCAUGAAUUUUCUUUUCCUGCGGGUAUCCAGCGCCGCUGACCAUCCAGUGACGCCCAGCAUCUCCUGCACUAGUUCCAAGUCCACCGCAGCUGAGCCAAGACAAAAAGAAAGAGGUGAUCUUGAACGGAGUGGAAGAAAAGAAAAGCGCUGGUCAAAGUGGAGAAAAGAAAAAUUGAAACGGAGAAAGAUUUAUUCCAUCAUUUGCAAACAAUAUCAACGCCCCCACUUUCCUGAAUACACGAUGCGGAGAGAAUACAAAGAAAAGGGGAGAUUUUGGAAAUUCGCUCCCUGGGUGCUCGUUCCUCACGUUUUCCCGAGUCACCACCUAACUGAGCCGAGCCGGAUCACGGAUCGCCCGCCGAACUACCGCCGCAGCCAUCCUUUGCCGUCAAGCACCACCAGGAGUAGCCUUGCUGCGAGACUCACCCUCAAGCCGCCUUCGAACAAGUUUGAAUUUGGAUUGCUCACUUCAAACUUGGUAAUGAUCUAAUCCGAUUCUAUUUGAAUUUUAAUUACAAAUUUCGGAUUGAUUUCGGCAUCUAAUUGUGAUAUUCGAGAUUUUAAUCAUCAUUCAAUAGGAUUUCAUUGACAAAAAUUAAAUAUAAUCAUUAAUUUGAGUCGUGAAAUGAUGGAUCUUUUUUUCUUUUUCUUUUUUUAAUUUUGUUUCCAAGCCAGUAAGUGCCUUAUAAAACGUGAGACGACAAAUUAUUUUUUCGAAUAUCAUAAUCUUUUAUUUAACCUUGUGGAUAUCCUAGAUGAUUAAUAAGAUAGCCAACUUUAAUGAAUGUACAAUAAAUGAAAAUCACAUGUUCGAAUAUAUGGUUUUUUAAUAUGAUAUUGCCUAAUUUUAAAUAUAUUGCUUGUCAAUAUUGAUUCUAAAAAAAUAAAUCAUAAUAUAUUCUAGAUAUGAAUUUUCUUUAAUAAAUAGGAUUUAUUUAGAUAAUAUUGCAUAUUUAAAAUGGUCUUCUAAGAUAGGACAGCAUUGAGGUUAAACUAAUUACUAAUCUAUAGACUGGAUAAUAACUUAUUUUAGAUAGUUUAAUUAGGACAUUUUUCUACUUCAAAUUUUAAUGAAAAUACCAAAAUAUCAUAUGCAUGUCAUGUAGUUUAGGCCAUGUUAUAUUGCUAUGUCAAAUGUGUGUCAUGUUAGGUUCACUGAAUUAGAAAUUGUACCUCAUUAGAACUAGGUCAGGUAGUUAAAUGAAAUUGCAUGUUAUAUAGCCUAGUUUUAAUUUCAAAAUAAAAAGAAAGCUAAAAAAUAAUUGCUUGCUAUGGUAUUUAAUUUCUUACAAUUUCUUUAUCCAUCGGUUGUUAUCUUUAAUGUUUGCACACCCGCACUAACACUAGAUUAAAAUCGAUCUAAAUUGUCUGACAAUUUAGUUGAAGUAAUUUAGUUCUAAAUCUUUUAAUUAAAUCAAUUUAAUCUUAAAUCUUUCUACAUUAAAAUUAAUUGAGUCAAUUCCACUAAUUUUUGUUGGAAAUAAUUGACGUUGACACCGUCGUCUCACAUGACACUAUCGGCGCUGACAUAAAUAUUUUUAAUAAUACUUCGAUAUUUUUUGAAUUUUUUUCUUUUAUUUUGGUGUAUUUCUUUUGAUGUUUUUCACUUUUUUUGAAGAUAGACUCUGGUUUCCCGUCAAUGCUGCUGCUGCAGCAGAUAGGGAAGAUGGUGCAGGUUUCUUCACCGCCGAAUCCUUCUUCUCCGUCUACUUUUUUCUCAACCUUCUCUCCUGCAAGACCGUUUCGAACCAACGAAUUCAAACAAAAUCCUCAGGACUGCUGUCAAAUUAAUGAUUAAUGGAAGUGAACCCAUGAGCAUUCGGAGUUCUGACCUUCCGAUUCUUCAUCGGAGGAGCAAUUUGGGUCCGGCUCUGGUCCAGUCCUCUUCCUCGUCAAUAGUCACAGUGUUUUCAGCUCUCUGUGAUAGAGAAAAGCAGUUCUCUAAAAUGUGGAUAUGAAAAAAGAAAGACGCGAAAAGAGAUCGAAAAAAUUGGAAGUACCGUAUCUACGGUCAAAUUUAGAAACCGUGAAAGAUUGUUGCAAGCGACUAUUAGGUUACCUGCUUCUAUGUAAAUGUUAAACCUAGCUCUUUGAAAGAAUCUAAUUCUGUUUUCGGACUUGACUGGAGGAAGACAAAGCGAAGCUGGUGCAGGAAACCGGUUUGCAAUUAAAGCAGAUAAAUAAUUGGUUCAUCAGAGGAAAAGAAACUGGCACAGCAGCCCUUCAUCAUCAUCAUCCAUCUCAAAAAGCAAACGCAAAAGGUCCCUCAAAAUACACAUCACCUCAUUAAUACAAAACUUCCUUCAUAUUCCAUUUCUUUGCAUGCUAAGUUGGAAGAACUUCUGCAGGUGAAAGCAGCAGCUAUUGAUCCCUUGAUGUGGAUUUGAGCAAGAGCAACGAUCAAAUUCUGACAGACAAUAUUCGGUGCUUCACUAGAAUGGGUACUUAAAAGAGUUAAUACAAGGAACAUUGGCCAGUGGCCUCAUGCAAAGCUUCAUCAAACAGGAACAUUUGGAAGAUGGCUUUGAUUCUAGGAAAAAGAAAUUAUGUUAGCGAAGAGGACAGGUCUCGCCUCGCGAUAGGAAUUCUGAAGACAGUCAAUUAACCAUAGAUGUGGUUGUGAUUAUUGAGGGGGUAUUGAGCUAGGAGAUUACACAUUUAGAACUAGAAGUAAUAUCAUAUGGUUUCAUUGUCUCUACUGCUUAUCCACUUUGCGUUUUGUGAUACAUAGGCGUAGUUAGGUAUUGUGUACAAUUGGUAUAAUGAUCUAUAUGUAGUUCCUCUCCAUUCUCCAUGCUAAUGACCUAUGUAGCACGGACCCUCUCCGGAAGCCUUCGUGUCGUGUCCGACACUCCAACACGUGUCUGACACGCUCCGUUACUGGGUUUGGAUUGCUACUGGGGAUGGUCAUAGAUAGGAUCAUUUGCCUGAAAUUCUAUUGCGUAUUACAACCUCAAAGAUUGUCGCCAAUUCUUGUGAUGAUUUAGCCACUUCAUUGUCACGGCUCCGUAUUUAAUUCAUUCUGAAGUAUUGUUCAUUAAGCUGGUGCAGUUGAAAAGUUCUGUUCAUAUCCCUCUCCUUCUAUGUAACGAAAAACAACUUUAUCACGCCAAAUUCUGUCUGUCCUGAACUCUUACACAUUGAGUGAUCACCUCUAGUGUGGCUCAUGUCGCAUAUGAAGUUCUGUUUCUUUACAAACCAAGAUCUGAAGAGGAUGAAAUGGUCUUGGGGUAAGUCUAGGUGCAACUUUAAAAGACAACCAUGUGAGCUUAUCCCCAGUGAAUUCAGAAGAAAAAGGCUAUACUUUACAAUAAUCACUAGAAAUUUCCUCAGCUUUUCUUCAAGAUGACCUAUGACAAAGAAUUGAAAAUUUGUUUUAGCCGGCCAACUCCAAGUCAGCUGAUGUUCAUUGGCAGAACGAAUCCGAGAAAGAACCGUGCGUAAAAAGAUGAACAUUGAAUUUUCUAAUGUAACUUGGACAUAUAAAAACAUUAUUUCAUUUGAGCCGCCAUUUUGUCUUGAUAUACCAAACAUUUAUGACGAACUGUUUGAUGAUUUCUCUGUUAUUAUGUAGGUCUUUUUGUAUCUUUCAUCAUUGACUUAUUGGCACAUAUUCCAUACACAUUGUUAUACAAUCCACAAAAUCAAUGGAUACCCAAAUUUACGAUCUUCUAACGUUUCUGCUAACCUACCCCCAAUUUAUGAACUAGAUAACUACAAUUCAUUUUUUAAAAUUUUAAAAUUUUAAAUUUUUUAAAUUUUUAUUUUUUUGCUCUUAGACAUCGUUAAACAGCUCGGUCGUUUACACAGAGAAUCACAUUAUCCUGACCUCAUCUUGAAAUCCAACAUUUGAAACCUUGACCUCUCCUAUUAAAAAAAAGGAGAUAUGCUGGUGCAAUUCACAUAUGUUUUUCAUGAAAUUAAUGCUUCUUGUCAAGUGUAGCGAACUUAAAGCCCAUGAGAUUACAAGAAUCAUAUCUAGGUUGUCUAACCACAGCUGCAGACAUAAGAACUUCAUUGUCACAUAGCUUCCCAGGGUGGCCAAUGAUUAUAAGAACAACUAAAGUUUGGUGUUAACCCGUAUCGAAUCUCUACCCAAUGCCACGACUAUCCCUAACACUCCACGUUGCAGGUACGAGGGGUUUUUGAACAUGAAUGCGACUUUAGCACGAAGGCGACCCCGAGAUUUGGUGUGAAUUGACUCAACUUUCACCAGUUUGUGUGACAAACAAGCAAUAGGUUUCGCAUUGUUCUGUCAUUUGGUUGAAGGCCAAUCUAUGUAUUUGCAGCCACACCUCCAGUUCACGAGAACAGAGGUCCUCCUGUCUCCUCUAAGCAUCCCAUCUCUGCAAGUCUAUGCAAUUUCCCAUGAUUGACCAAGGGCCAGAAGUGAGGACUCUCUGCUUGGUGCCAAUCCAUGGAACGUAAACAAAUACAUCUUCUCAUUUUAUAGUUAUCCCACCCAAGACCAGCCCAGGCUUUCCUUGAGACAUCAGUUACGCAGCUUGACUCAAGCACUUACUUCGACAAAAUCCUUCCAAUCAAAACCAUCUCAGCUUCCUCAUCAUCAACUUGCUCCAAAACGUAAUGAUGCCCCAGUAGACUGUCUGACAGUUAUGCUUGCGAUGUUAAGGGAACCCCUGCGGGCAUCCUGUAAUGAGAGAGAAGAAAUAGAUUAGCCUAGAAUUAAGGAAGGUUGUCAAACAGUUGAUAGGGGCAACGUGUAGUGAUAGGAAAAGUGAAAAUUAAUGUGACGAACCAAUGCCAAAGCAAAUUACUAAAAUAGAAAGCAGAUGGAAAUAAUUAAUGAUGAUAGAGAGCGAAAAUGAGGAUUAUGGAUUAUCGAGAAGAAUGGGGGGUGACGAUCAUGAAGGAACAUAGGUGAAAGAAAACAUCAUUGUGAUGUAGGGAAAGCUCUUGACAAAGAGAGAGAAGCUCUCACAAAGGGGAGAGACACAAAUCUAUGUAUAACUUCCUGAAGAGAACUCAAUGUCCCAUUCUUUUUGGAGCAUAAAUGCUGGAAAGCUAAAACAAAUCAAGAUAAGCGAAAAAUGGUUCUCAUAAUUUCCAGCUUACAGAAGCUCUGUUAGUAAAAUCUCCUGGUUUAAAUUGCACACAAUUGCAUGCAUGUACUUAUGUGCAAUCAAUCUUGAGCUUUAGGGGCCAAAAAAUCAAUCUUGACCUUCGCUCUUUUAAUGCCAAUGAUCUUCCAUUAUUUUUGCAGUGUUCUACUUCAAAGCAGGGUCGCAUGACGUCGUCAACAUGUCAAAUGGUGAUAAUAAUAACUGCCACAGUGCUUCUAUGUUCAUACACUGACCAACGGACCAGCCAACAUUUCCCUCGACAGUGCCUGCGAGUCUUACUCUGUCUACACCUUUGCUAACAGCGAUUGUUGCUCUCAAGGCCAAAAAUUAGCUGUCACUGUCAGUGAAAAUUACACUGCCCCCAACUCCAGUCUAGCUGGAUCCCCUGUAGCUACCAGCCCCAACCACUGGGACCACUCCAUCUCCGCCACCACCUGGAAGUGACACUUCAUAUCUCCGUGUAACACUACUAGUCCUGUUCAUGAGUUCAUUAUACAUGAAAUCAUUAUUUCUACUAGAUAUAGAUGGACUAUUGAUAGAUCGUGAGAUGUUGCUACUCAUCAUAAAGUGAAUAAACUUGUGAAAAUGCUUCUUCUCAUUAUUCCAGCAUGAUUCAUAUAGAUAACAUUGCUCAAACUUGUAAUAGAUCAUAGAGUUUCUUUGGAAUAAAUAUAUGGUUCUGCUCCCAUAUUCGGAUGUUUGGCUGUAUUAGAAAAAUUAGAAUGUGGCAGGAGACAAAAACUUGCAUACUGGAAAGUCAAAAUAGAGCAUCAGUAGAACAAAUCCUCAUAGGCAUAGCUAAAAAGUCCCACCUUUGGAAUGACAAAUGAGCAGAAAGUAAAUCACGCAGUGACAGGGAAAAUGGUGUGAAUCUUGUGAGGAUGAAACUCAACACAAACAGUCAAUCGAGAACUUAAAAUGACAAUGAAACUAUGAACUCACUGCUGCAGCCCUGCAGCAUACCAAAUUCACACCUGAUGAUUAGCUUGAAAGAACCCAAUGCAUUGUGAGGAUCCCGAGGGCCGCAAGCCCAGCAGCAUGACCGCUCGUCCUUGCCUAUGUGAUUUUGUACUCUGCCUCCAGAAGCUUCCUUAAUAAUUGACAUGUCAAUCAUUAUAUUACUUCGAGCAAUCAUAUGAGAACAGACAAGAGAAAAUUACAGUUAUCCCAGAACAAUAAAAACACAAUUCAGGCAAUUAGGAAAAGCAAGCAAAUUGACGUCAUUCCUAAGUGUGGGAUUUCAAUCGUCCACCUUAAGAAGCUGAGAUGACUAUGGUCAAAGGGAUUUUCUGAAAGAGCUACUUGUUCUUUAAACAAAACUAACACAUUAUAGAUGACCUGCGAGCAAGUAGAACAGCCUUCAGAUACAAAACAUAAAAGGAGAUUAUUAAUCUAAAAGUCUGGUUCCCGAUAUCACGUUGAGAUUGAGCAAUCAUGGUGGAUGCAGAUGACAAAUUAUUUUCUCUAGGGGCAAUCUUAUGAUCUAGUCCUCCAACAAGGGCUGCCAGUUACAUUCCUACCAUGGUAGAGAGAGAUUUCAUUCCAUCUAAGUAACACGAGUCACUCCGUAAUGUAUAAAAAUAAUCACUCACGGGUGAAUCACCAGGAUUGGCAGCUUCAUUCAUGUUUUUAUCAAGUCUAAGAUUUUGCCUUAUUAGGGGACAGGGAUUGUCUCAAAUAUCGAACUAUCACCGGAAUGUGAUCUCAUGAAAACCUGACAUGACUACUGUUCUAUAGAAAAGCUCAAGACAAUUUAGAUAUUGGCUUUAGUAACUUGCAUCUCAAAAUGUCUAAAGCUUGUGGAGCUCCUAGUCUCCAAGCCCUUAGGGCUCAAUUAGUUAGUGCAACAAUUGAUGAGCAUCAUGAAAUCUCUAUACUUUAUAGGUAUCUCAAUCCUGUGAUUCCUGGGAUGUCUGAUAGCUCUCAACAAGCUGUCACUAACGAGUUCCUUAAAUCUUCAAAUUUCAACACAUCAGGGAAUUUUGCUAAAGACUUGCAUCCUUGAAUACACAAACUUUUGCAGGAUGAGAAUACCUCCAGGCUUUCGAUGUCAUGUAGCUUUUCAUAGUGGUUGAUGUUUCAACCUUUUCAAGGUUUUCACGCACGAUAGAUCUAACAAUCUUCCAAGGGAAGUGCAACCAUGAAUAUCCAAUAUUACCAAAAAAAUCCAGCCUGUCAAGGCCACGUUUCAACAUGAAACCCUCAAGAUUUUGAAGUUCAGCUCUAUUUGCAGUCUCAAUAUCAUGAAGAUCACGAUUAUUAGAAAAAUUAAAACACAGCAGGAGACAAAAACUUGCAUACUCGAAAGUCAAAAUAGAGCAUCAGCAGAACAAAUCCUCAUUGGCAUAGCGAAAAACCCCACCAUCGGAAUGACAAAUUAGCAGAAGAGUAAAUCACGUGGUGACAGGAAAAACGGUGUGAAUCUUUGUAGGAUCAAACUCAACACAUAAACAGCCGAUUGAUAACUUAAAAUGACAAUUAAACUAUGAACUCACUCUUGCAACCUUGCAGCAUAUCAAAUUCACGCUGAUGAUUAGCUUGAAAGAACCCGAUGAGUUUUGGGAAUCCAGAGUGCCACAAGUCCAGCAGCAUGACCACUCUCCUUCACCUAUGUGUUUUUGUACUUUGCCUCCAGAAGCUUCCUUAAUAAUCCACAUGUCAAUCACCAAAUUACCUUGAGCAAUCAUAUGAGAACAAACAAAAGAAAAUUAAGUCACAAUAUUGUAGAACAAAAAAACCAAUUCAAGCAAUCAUGAAAAGCAAGCAAAUUCACGUCAUUCCUAAGUGUGGGAUUUCAGUCUCCACCUUAAGAAACUGAGAUGACUAGGUCAAAGGGAUUUUCUUAAAGAUCUGCUUGUUCUUUCAACAUUCUGUAAUUUCAACCGUAUUAAUAUCACAUAUAAGCCAGUGUGCCUGCCAUCAUAAGUAUCAACAGAAGAUAAAAGUUUAGCUCGCCAUGUAAACAAAACAAGUUAUAGAUGACCUGCGAUUAUAGUGGAUAAUAAAUGACCAAUUAUUUUCUCAAAAGGCACUCUUAUGAUCUAGUCCUCCAACAAGGGCUGACAGUUUCAUUCCUUUCAUGAUCAAGAGAAAGAUUUCAUUCCAACUAAAAACACAAAUCACUCAGUAAUGUACAAAAAAUAAUCACUCACAGAUGGUUCACCAGGACUGCCAGCUUCAUUCAUGAUUUUGUCAUCUAAGAUUUUGCCUUAUUAGAGGACAGGGGUCAUCUCAAAUAUCAAACUAUCACUAGAAUGUGAUCUCAUAAAUACCUGACAUAACAAUUGCUCUCAUAUUCCAUAUGAGGAAAGCUCAAGACAAUUCACAUAUUGGCUUGCAUCUAAAAAUGUCUAAAGCUUCUGGAGCUCCUAGUCUCCAAGCCCUCCGGGCUCAAUUAGUUUGUCGCAGUCUCGUGCGACAAUUGAGUAGCAUCAUGAAAUCUAUAUACUUUAUAGGUACCUCAAUCCUUUGAGCCCUGAGAUGUCAGAAGGUUCCCAACAAGCUGUCACUAUCAAGUUCCUUAAAUCUUCAAAUUUCCAAGCAUCUAGGAACUCUAACAACUUGCGUCCUUGAAUACACAAACUUUUGCAGGAUGAGAAUACCUCUAGGCUUUGAAUAUCAUCUUGCUCUUCACAGUGGUUGAUGUUCAGUAUUAUCAGGGUUUUCAAACAUGAUAGAUCCAAUAAUCUUCCAAGGUAAGUGCAACCACAAAUAUCUAAUAUUACCAAAAAAAAUACAGUCCGUCAACGCCACAUUUCAACCAGACUCUUACAGUUUGCAACAUGAAAUCUCCCAAAUUCUUCAAACUAGAAGGUUAUCUUUCAAUGGACGUGCAAUUAGAGAUAUCCAAUCUUACAAAUAAUCGACCUCUCAAGGCAAUGAAUUUCAACUAGAUUCACGCAAUCUGCAGCAUAGAAUGCUUUAGACAUUUUGAACUUGAAAGGUCUAUUUAUCUUUCAAUGGAUUGAAAUGUCUGGUCAUCUUUUAAUUGGACAUGCAUUUAAAGACAUAAAACCUUCUCAAAGAUUCUAAUUAAUCAAUCAAGGCCUCAAACUUCAGCUAGAUUCUUGCAGUUUGCAGCGUGCAAUUUGAAGUCUUUAAACUGGAGAAGUCUAGAAAUCUUUUAAAGAAGUGCACCCAGAGAGAUUCAAUCUUGCCAAUAAAUACAACCCGUAAAGACCAUGAAUUUCAACUAGAUUUUGGCAAUUUGCAACAUGGAAUAUUUCAAUGGAUGUGCAUCCAGAGAGAGAUAGAAUGUUUCCAGAUAUUCUAAAUGGGUCAAAGCCUCAAACUUCGACUAAAUUCACGCAAUUGGCAGCAUAUGAUUCUCUUCGAUUCUUUUUAAACUUGAAAGGACAGUUGAUUGAAUGGACAUGGAACCAGAGAUAUUCAAAUUUACCAGACUCUUGCGAUUGGCAACACAUGAUAGCCCCAGAUGUUUCGAACUCGAAAGGUCCUGCAAAUCUCGACUAGAUUCUUGCGACUCACAGCAAUUUGUUUCCUGCGGAAUCUUCAAAGUUGAAGGAUCCACUGACCCUUUGCCUCUGGAGAACCUGGGAACGCCUAAUCAACGUUUUGUCUUAACUAAUGCCAAAACUUCGUGCAUCUGGUAGCUGCCAGCCCCAACCACUGGGACCACUCCAUCUCCACCACCACCUGGAAGUGACGCUUCAUAUCUUUGUGUAACACUGCUAAUCCUGUUCAUGACUUCAUUACACAUGAAAUCAUUAUUUCUACUAGAUAUAGGUGGACUAUUGAUAGAUCGUGACAUGUUGCUACCCGUCAUGAAGUGAAUAAACUUGUGAAAAUGCUUCUUCUCAUAAUUCCAGUAUGAUUCAUAUAGAUAACAUUGCUCAAACUUGUAAUAGAUCACAAGUUUCUUUGGACUAAAUAGAUGGUUCGGCUCUAUUUACUCUUCUGGUAUCAUGAAAACCAAGAUUAUUAGAAAAAUUAGAACGUGGCAGGAGACAAAAACUUGCAUGCUGGAAAGUCGAAAUAGAGUAUCAGUAGAACAAAUCCUCAUUGGCAUAGCUAAAAAGUCCCACCAUUGGAAUGACAGAGCAGAAGUGCAAAUCACAUAGUGACAGGAAGAAUGGUGCGAAUCUUGUUAGGAUCAAACUCAACACAAGCAGUCAAUCAAGAACUUGAAAUGACUAUGAAACUAUGAACGCACUCUUGCAGCCCUGCAGCAUAUCAAAUUCACACCUGAUGAUUAGCCUGAAAGAACCUGACGAAUUUGGGGAAUCCAGAGCGCCACGAUUCCUGAAUGACCGCUUUCCUUUGCCUAUGCGUUUUUGUACUUCACCUCCAGAAGCUUCCUUAAUAAUUGACAUGUCAAUUAUUAAAUUACUUCGAUCAAUCAUAUGAGAAGAGACAAAAGAUAAAAUUACAGUUGCUAUAUCCCAGAACAAUAAAAAUCCCAAUCCAAUAAAUCAGGAAAAGUAAACAAAUUCAGCUUGUUCAAGUAUAGGUUUCUGCCAUCAUUUUCGUCAAAACCUCCGCACGACCACUGUAAACCACCACCUCCAUUAGUCAAUACUACCAAUACACUCCGGCUUCGACCACCAACAGUCUGCCAUCACAUGCACACGGCACUGCACAUAGGCUUACGCCACCAGGCGGACCACGCCUCCAAAGGCAAGUUUAUCAUAACACAGAAGCUCCCUCGGAGAAGAAUCCCCAACCACGAGCCAGAGAACGAAACUGGAACGGCACAGCCACCGAACUAAUUUUAAAAAUCACCACGCAAAACACGACCCAGCGCAAGACAAAACCCGCCUCCCGCCGCCGCUCGAGAGCCGUCUCAUUACAUCUAAAUCCUUCCACUAGACGGACGACGACGACAACUACUACCCCAACAACAGGCGAGAGCGUACACAAGAGAGAAAGCAAAUACGAACCGAAACACUCAAUCAAGAAGAGACUAAAGCUAAGUGGGAGCGGCCUACCUUCAGCUAGAGUUUUUACAAGCUCACAGAGAGAGAGAGAGAGAGGGGGGGUCUCCUUCUUCGCUUGAUUUUGCAAUGGUCGGGUUCUUUGCCUCAUCAAAGAGAGGGUCUCCUUCUUCGCUUGAUGUUGCGACUGCUGGAGUGAUUGCGCUCGUUGCCUCAUCAAAGAGAGGGUCUCCUUCUUCGCUUAAUGUUGCGACUGAUGGAGUGCCUGAGCUCGUUGUAAGGGGGCACUCAUCAAGCCGCCAUUUGGUGUCUUUUCUUACCCUGAUCCUGAUGGCGGGAUAGUCGCGAUCGCGAAUCAACAGGGGUCUCUCCAGAGCUGUUAAGCUAAAGAACGGUUCCGGUACUUCUUGAAGGUUUACGCAUUCCCCAACGUUCAGAAGCCGGAGAGAAGAGAGCUUCGAAAUACCUUCUGGGAAGCUCCGAAUGCCCGACCCUUCUAAAUCAAGCUCAUUUAGCGAAACCAGCUCGCCUAUGCUACUAGGCAGUCCUUCCAGACGUCUGCAAUGCGAUGCCUUCAACCGGUAGAGUUGCGCCAGCUUUCCAAUAGCACUAGGCAGUUCUGUCACGUGAGUUUGUUCAAUGUUUAAUUCCCUCAAAUUUUGCAAAUUCCCAAUACUUUCUGGUAAUUUCGUAAUCCAUGUCGCUGAUAAAUUUAGCUCAACCAACGAUUGCAACUUUCCAAUCGAGUUGGGGAUCUCUCUCAACGAAGAGUAAGCCAUGUCAAGUACAAACAAAGAUGCUAGAUUGCCUAUGGAGUUAGGUAUGCAAUCUAAUGAGCAACAGGAAGAGAUAUCAAGAGUCUCUAGUGCCUCCAUAUAACUAAUGAAUUCGGGUAAUUCUUUAAUAUAUGUUUCAGAUAAGUAUAGCUCAGUUAAUGACUCAGAGGAACCAAUGGAUUCGGGAAGCUGAGCAAGUUUAUCGUAACAGUGAAGCUCCCUCGAUUCUUCCAUUUUCCCUACUCUUGCUGGUAGCUUCUCUAGUUGAAAACAGCCACUAACGUUCAAAUGGACAAGGGUCUUGAUAUAGCAUAUAGAAGGAUGAAUUUCUUUUAGAUUGUAACAGCUUUCAAGAUUCAAAAUCUCCAAGCUUUUGAAAGCAGACAAGUCGGGAGUUCUUCUCAAAUUGGCACAAUACGAGAGGUCGAGAACUUUCAACUCGAUCGCCAUCUGAAAUAAAUAAAUGAAACUUCAGUGAAAGUGGACAAUAGCAAUGUGUGAUUUUCCACUAUUCUUUUAAAAAAAAGAAUCUUUAAAAUUCCUAAAAAAAUACCCAUACUCCACUACUCUUUCAUAGUUGUCUUAUUUAAUUUUAAAUGUUUUUUUUUCAACGGUGCCAAGGUACACAACCAUAUUGAUUUUUUUAAAGCAUAUCCAUCGCAAAAAGAAUGUUUGGGAUGCACAAGUGCCAACCAUGUUUAUUUUCAGAUAAAAUUUCAAAAAGAAAAUAUAUUCAGUUUUUAAGAGCUAUAGCGAUGCCGUUGAUUAGACUUAUGCAAAUUUUAUUAUCAAAGAGACACUCCGAUAGUAAGAAAAAGGUAGUUUAAUUAUGAAAAGCAAUUUCUUAAAGUGACUUAAAAAAAAUUAAAGAAUGUUGUAUUCCAAAAAAAUUUAAUGCCAUCGGAAGGAUAGUUUUAUUACUCUCACAACAUUAAUAAUUUAUAUUUGCAUUAUACAGUGACUUCCAUAAUCAACAAUUAUAAUGAAUAAAUAUUUCAUGCAACAAGUCAAAGCAAUUCAUGAAUUAUAUCCUUUACUUUAAGAUUAAAAUGAAUUCAGAAUUUCAGUAUUGAUGUACAACACAAGUCAGUAUGUGUGAGAUUUUUUUCUUUUUUUCUCCAUGAAAGAAGAUUAAUAUAGAGAUGUAACAAGAAUCGCUCAAAAGACAUACUUUUGCAUUGGAAAAAUUAACCCAGCCACAAACCGUCUAGAUUAAAGUAAAUCAGAAAUGGUACAAAUAUGUAAUUAUAUUUCAAUAAAUGUUAAUAUGAGGAAUGACAUUAAGCCUUUCUAUAAAAAUAAAUAAUAAAUAAUAAAUAACAAAUAAUAAAUAAAAAAGAGAGGAGAACUUGGUGCUAUUGGACCUUUAGUAGCACGUUAUUAUUCACAAGGGACAUAUCUUCUCAAAAUCUUACCUUGAGUGGGCCCCAUCCUCCCCAGUCCUCCGAAAUCUCACUAUGUGAUAGAUUGAGCACGACUAAUUUCUUUGGGUGAAAGUUGACAAUUUCAAAAUCCGAGGGACAAGUCUCCCAAUCAAGCCAUCUUAAUUGAGGAAGCAAGUUUUGGAAAUCUCCAGUAAAAUUCACAUUGCCCAAUUGAAGGAACCUCAAGUCGGUGAAUUCGUUAAACUGUUCACCUCGGUAGCUUUUCUUAUCAUAGCUUUCCCAUCUAUUAUAGCAAAGACGAAGGGCCUCAAUCUUACAAGUGCCCUGCAUUAUAAAACAUUAUGGACGGUAAGUUUUAAUAGAUUAAAUGAUCUAUACAUAUAAAAGAUGGACUAAUUUCAGUUUGAUAUAAUACUAUUAUGGUGUGGACUUCUUAUUUUCAACUUGGUGAAAUGACAAAUCAUCAUUGCACAUGAUUUAUCUAAUUCAUUUAAAAAUGGGAAGCUCAAGAAGGUGCUUUUGAACUUUUCAUCUUCUACUAAUGCUUUUCGCAAAUUUGCACCUUUUGAAUUACCAAAAAUUGCAUCCUUUCAAAAAUAUAACAAAAGGCAUCUAAUUGUACAAACUACUUCAAAUAUAUCUAUCAAAAUUCAUGCCCUUUAUAUGUGAAACACCCAACCUAAUUUGUAUCCUUCAGAUGCAAAACGCAUAACUCUUAUAGUCCAAGUACAUCUAUCAAACUUGUCAUCAAAACAUGUAUCAAAAUUAGAGAAUCUGAAUUGUAGAAUCCCCCCUAUUAUUCUGGCAUGUCUUGUUUGCAAUUCUCAAUAGCAAAAUGAAAUUGAGAAUGUCACCUCAAAAGGUAUGCAUGUGUUUUAUAUUCCUUUCUUAUCAUGUGUUUCUUUAAUGAGUGUUUUCAAUUAUACAUGGAAGAAAAAUAUGUUAAAUAUCAAACGUUAUAUAGAUAAUCUUUACUCCUCUUUUUAUUAGUACAUGUGUUUGAUGCAACAUUUUCAUUAUCUUGUGUAUUUUGUUACAAUGAAAUAGCAUAAAGUAAUUAGAUCUUGCUUCUAAAAAGAUCAGACAUGAAAAUUGAUUAAACUGAAUAUUUAAGGAACUCGAAUUUAGUUUGUCUUAGGUGAUGAUUUGCUCAGUGAGUACAAAUCAUGAGAGUUGUAAGACUGAUUUGUUAGUGAUUUGGAAUACUUCCUUCAAACUUUUAUUNNNNNNNNNNNNNNNNNNNNNNNNNNNNNNNNNNNNNNNNNNNNNNNNNNNNNNNNNNNNNNNNNNNNNNNNNNNNNNNNNNNNNNNNNNNNNNNNNNNNAACUUCAUAGAGACCCUUUUUGUCAUGUUCUAAGCAAUGUUCUAUUCAAUUCAUUACAUUUUCAUUUGUGCACAAAUAUGCUUGCUGAAAUACAGUGGUAGCACGUUUUUUACUAAUCUCAUUACUUCAUUAUAUUGUGCAUUCUCAAUAUUUAUAUUUAGUGUUUUUUAAUCAAAGAGUUGCACAUGCUCAUUUGAUGUUUGCACAAAUCAUCCAUAUGUUGUAAUUGCAUUUAGUUGCAUACCUUUUUAACUUUCAUGUUAAUGAUAGAAACUAAUCACGAUACAAAAUUCAAAACCAUAAUUAUUUAUAUCACAAGUACUGGAAUGAGCCAUUGCUUUGACUUGACCCACUUCUUAUAGAUAUUAAGAAUAUUAAUCUCAUUAAUAAAAUUGGAUGUCACUUUUCCAAUAUUCCUUCAUGAAAUUUAUCCUACAAUAGUAACCUUCACAUUUAGAUCUAAUAAGAAAAGGAAAAUAUUCUGACUUCAGUUUUACUUCAAAGUAAUAAGAGCUAUUUCUAACUGUGCAUCUAAUCAUAUUUGAAUGUAAGGAUGUUAUUAAUUUUUAUUAUGUGAAUAUAUGGUUCUAAAACUUAAGUAAUGAUAAUUUUUUUUUUGAAAAGUAUAGAGUUGCCAUUAUUUCUUAUCCUAAAUAUGAUGAUUGAAUUAAAGAAAGUACACGCCCACAAACACACAUAUUAUGUUAACAUCACUACUCUAUAAGCAUGUGAAUUUGUUUUUAGUUCUAUAACUAAAUGUCGUUCAUUUAUAAAUUUUUGACAAAGUUGUAAAUGUAAGGUUAUUUUAAUGCUAAAAUGUAAUCUUUAACGAUUCUCUAUAUAAAAAGUCAUAUAUAUUGUUAAAAUAGUUAAACCUAGUUUAAUCAAAUAUAAUGUGAAAAUUGUUUAGUUUUGAUAGUUCUUCCACAUUAGAAAGUUCAUAAUUAUAUUACUGAAGAUCUAUGUUUGGUAAUAUAUGUUUUGUUGAGAAUAUAUGGUUCUCAAAUUACAUUUUAAAAACUGUCAAAAACCAUAUCAUUGCAAAUACAUGUUUUUAUAUGUAUAAUAUAAUGUUGUAAAUAAAUCUAUAAUUUCACCACUAAAGAAUCUUGUGACCUAGGAAUUAAUUUUCAGAUAUACUUUUAUAUACAUAGAUACUGUAAUCACUAUUCUUCAAUUUUUUUUUUUAAUUAUGAAUGGUUUUGGUUAAUAAUCAUUAUUCUUUUUAAUGUUUAUUGUUAAUGUUUUAUCUACUCCAUCAAAAUAGUAAAUCUCUUUAUAAGGCUUUUAUCCAUUUUCUCAUAAAUGAACACCUCCAUUCAAAAUAAUCCAUUUAAAUAUGCAUCCCUUUUUAUAUGAUACGUUAAACUCCAUUUUUUAUACAGUUCAUUUAUUAUUCUACUUAGGAUUCUCUUCUUUCUCGAAUUCAAGGUAGAAGAAUUCCAUCGAUUAGUGUCAUUUACUUACCAUUGGAUGAAAAGAUAUUUCUCUUAGAAAUAUGGCUUGAAAAUUUAGUACAUCAUUCACAUGUUAGUAAAUAGUGUCUCUCUAGGAAGUACUAUGUCCAGACCGGAAUUUCUCUGUGUUUUGAGCAGUAUAGUUUCUAGAUGACUUUUUUUUAUGGUACAUACCUAAUGUUUGGUCCAUUUCUUUCUUUGCUCUUAUUGAUANNNNNNNNNNNNNNNNNNNNNNNNNNNNNNNNNNNNNNNNNNNNNNNNNNNNNNNNNNNNNNNNNNNNNNNNNNNNNNNNNNNNNNNNNNNNNNNNNNNNNNNNNNNNNNNNNNNNNNNNNNNNNNNNNNNNNNNNNNNNNNNNNNNNNNNNNNNNNNNNNNNNNNNNNNNNNNNNNNNNNNNNNNNNNNNNNNNNNNNNUGCAGCCUUAUCAUACAAGUUGUUAGUGUAAGUUGUUUACUACCUCUCUAAUUUGCAGAUUCAUGAAAUUGAUAAGAAUAGGGAAGAUUGAGAUCUUAAGACUAGAGUGCACAACAGAAGUUAAAAGUAUUUUGAGUGUUAGAAAACAAUUAAAAUAUUUUUUCUUCUAAUGUCUUAUUUUAAUCCGUAGUCCUCAACAAAAUAACAUAGCAUAUAUAUUUUGUAGCAACGGGAACAAUUUGUGAAUUUAUCUUGUAUUAUGUGCAACAGGCUCAUGUUUGAUAAAUAAAUAAUAUCAAAAGCAUACUUGUCAAAUUACAAAUCAAUAUCAUAUUGGACUCAUAUUUCACAAAUAAACAAUAUUAAAAGAUCAAUAAAAAAGAUAUCCAUCAUCACAAAAAAUUUAUAUUAUGUGCUUUAGAAAUAAAUUAUAUAAUCAAAUUCUCCGUCAGAAGAGAAAAUAGUACAUGUUUAGAGGAAUUUUUUACAUGGAUGCAUAAAUUUCAACGACAAGUAUGAUGCAAUGUAGAGACCAACGUUAUGAGUGAGAACGUGUAUAGAUACCCAUUGUGACUAAGAAAUACCAUCAUCACAAAAUAAUUAUUUAACAUGCUUUACAAAUAAAUGAAUGUAAUAAAAAAUUUUACCAUAGAAGGAAAAAGAACAUAUGUUUAGAUGGAUCUUUUACAUGAUUACAUAUAUUUCUACAAUAAGUAUAACAAAAUGCAUAAAAGUUAUGGUUAUUAUGAUUAAAAAGUUCUAUGGAUACUCGUUAUGAGUGUAUAUUCUUGUAUUUCAUAAGCAGAUUAUAUUAACAAUCGAUAAAAAAAAUUACGUAACAUGAUAGCUCAUUUUAACAAAUAAAUAAUAUAAAUGUACUAAAUUUGUUCCAUCAAAUGCUCAUUAUGAGUUGAAGGACAAUGAAAUAUCUAAUAUAACGUGGUAGCUAAUACUAGAGAAAUAAAAAAUCAACAAAAAAGAUAUAUAACAUGAUAGCCCAUAUUUAACAAAUGAUGAUAUAAAGAUUAAAUAAAUCUUUGCUAAAUACAAUGCUCAGUAACAGUUGAACCGUGCAGUAAUAAUUAUUAUAACAUGAGAGCCCAGAUUUGACAAAUAAACAUUAUCGAAGCCCAUAUUUGACAAAAUAAAUGUUAUCGGGGAUUAAUAGAAAAUAAUCCAAAGUUAUAAAAAAAAUUAAAAAGUAUUAGCAAAUUCACGGCAGAAAAUUAUCCAAUAUUAUGAAAAGUCUAUAGAACAAAAAUAAUAUAUGUUUAGAAGAUUAUAUCACAUGGUUGCACAUAUAUCACAUACAAUAUGAAAGCAACAAUAGCAAAUUGAUAGAGUUAACUAAAGGUUGACAACGAAGGAUUAGAUUGCACCAAUUAUGAAAGGUAAAAGACUACCGAAAAAAAAAAGGAAUUAAACAGAGGGCCAAAUCGCACAAACAAUAACAUUUAAUAAAUUUGUACUUAACCCAACUUGAAAAAAAAAGAAGAAGUGAGCUAAUCAUUGCAAAUGAAUGGAGGUCUCAUUGAUCAUAGUAAGCAACACAUAAGAAGUCAAUGAAGAAGAAGAAAUUAUAAGAAAGAUCCAAACUUAAAAAAUGUGGAAAAAGCAUGGCCCAACAACUUAUAGAUGUCCUUUACCAAAAAAAAAAAAAAAAACAACAACUUAUAGAUGUCAUGUUUUCUCGGAAAGUGCUCUAUCAAACAUUACAGUUUUGCAAUUUUAUUGUGCAUUGAUGUUUUGAAAGGAGAGUGUCCUUGACAAAAUUUUAUGAGGUAUGUGUGUGUAUAUAUAUAUAUCUUUUUUUUUUCAUUUUGAUAAAAAAAAAAAGAGAUGAAAGAAAAGAUAUAUAUCCUAUAUCAACUGCCAAGAAACUGCUGCUCAAUUAUGUCCUAAAAUAAGGCAACAAAAACAAUUAACCGGCAAGCUCUUCAGCUACUAGCUACCCCAAAUUUGGCAUAUUAAUUUUCAUCUCAAAAAAGAAAGAGAAGAUGGACUGAACAUUCACUAAAUAUAAGACAAAUAGAGGAAACUCUUACCUUGUUGCUCUCAAGUACAUUUUUGGCUUCCUCAUCAAUCCAUAUCCGACUACGUUCUCCAGGCUCCUUUUGAUUUUCUAAACGAACAAUUUCCCUUCCAAGAUCUCUCAAUUGAUCAUGCAUCAUUAGCUUGCCAUAUUCGCCAAUUUUAAUUAGGGACAUAAGACUUAAUACUUCAAUCCCUUUCCCUGGGUAAAAACCACAGGCAUCCCACAUAUAAGUCGGAUUUUGUUUAGAAAUUCCAAUGAAAAAACAUGCUAUAUCCAAAAAAAUCUGUUGCUCUUCAUAAUCUAAUGCGUCGUAACUUAUCUUCAACCUCUCUUGCACUUCCUUAGCAGGAAUUUUCUUCAAUUUCUCUGAUGUAUCUUUCCAUGUUGCCUUUGUCUUUCCACAUAAGUAUGAGCCUAUAACUUCAAGUGCUAAAGGAAGACCCCCAGUAAUAGAUACAAUUUCAUGAGAGAUAUGCUUAUAAUCACUCGGAGGAAAAUCAUUUCGAAAUGCAUGUCUACUAAAUAAAAUCAACGAUUGAUUUGGAGGCAACUGUUCAAGUUCAUAUAAGUGGCUAGCCCCAACCUUGUCAAGAAUACUCUUGUUUCUAGUUGUAAUAAUGACUAUACUUCCCACUUUAAACCAACUACCGUCUCCGACCAAAGCAUCCAAGUGAGUAGUAUCAUCCAUAUCAUCAAGAAGAGCAAGGACUUUCUUACUUUUACAUCGAGAUUUGAGUACACGGAUUCCGUCAUCAACAUUAGACAUGUCCCACGAUUCUCCUAUCACGUCAGAAAUNNNNNNNNNNNNNNNNNNNNNNNNNNNNNNNNNNNNNNNNNNNNNNNNNNNNNNNNNNNNNNNNNNNNNNNNNNNNNNNNNNNNNNNNNNNNNNNNNNNNUUUCUCGAAUAUUUGCCACAAAGCUACGUUUCUCAAAAUCGCUUAACAGCUUGUUGUAUAACACCUUUGCAAGAGUUGUUUUACCAAUGCCGCCCAUUCCAUAAAUUCCAAUUAUCCGUGUACCAUUGAAAUUAGCAUUUAUCUUGCUUAUAAUUUGUUCCACAGGAUCAUAAGUUCCCACCAACUGUUCGGGAACACUUAGGUCGAAAAGUCUUUUUAACUCACCCAUAACUCUUAUGCCAACUGUUUUCACUAAUGUUGCUUCAUGCCUAUCAAAUAAUAAUACAAAAUUUCAAUAUAUGAUAGCAAUGUUUAUAUGCUUUUUUUCAAGUAAGAUAUUUAUGAGAAAGUUUUGGCAGAGAAUAACAUACCCAUCAGCUAUUUUCUCCGAUUCCCAUCCUUUUAAUAAACUGACUUCGUUGAGCGCUUCUUCCCAUUCCUUCACAACCAUUUGACCCAAAUUCUUUUUAUGUGCAUUGAUGGCAUCUCCAUAUCUCCCCUUGAGAUGUCGGACUUGUGAGGGUUCCACUUUGUAAAAUAUGGGCAACACUACUUGCUCUCCGCUUUUCCUGCACUUCAACAUCUGAGCCAGCUCUUGAAGGCACCAUUUGCUGGAAGCGUAAUCCUCAGAUAUAAUCGGGAUCGAAAUCUUAGACUGCGUGAUACUGCAGAGAAGCUCCGGACCAAUCUCGUCACCAACUCGGAGCUCAUCGUUGUCUCUAUACACGCGAAUUCCUGCAUCAACAAGGCUAGUAUAGAGGUGAUCGGUGAAGCCUUUGCGAGUGUCUUCCCCUCUAAAGCUCAAGAACACUUCGUAGUCACUUCCUUUCAGCCUUUUGGUUCCACCAUUAUCACCUACAUGUGGAGAGGUCGACGACGAAGACGCUCUGUAUGGCAGAUCUUCUGAAUGAGGAGGCUCUUUUCUGAUCAUCUUGAGAUAGAUGGAGCGGAGCCUCAAAAGAAGAGGAGUAUGGAAUCUUAGAUGUAGGAAUUGCAGAAAUGUCUCUCAGAACUCAAUUGAGAGCUACAUUCAAACAUAAACAAAAGCUCUCAUACAAGUUAUCAAAAGAAAAUGGAAAUAAAAACAAGAAAGAGAGAAGAGGAGAAGAGCUACAGCUGCGAUCUCCACCGAUUCUCACCUUCGACGUUGGAUUGCCCACACGCAACCCUCUUUAUUGUGCGUGCUUGAACGAUGCUGAGUUAUGACCAUCCAACGGUCCAAGACUCUUUAUGCUAAUUGAACGGCUGCGAUGCAUGCUGUACGGAAAGGACAAUUAUUGCAGGCGUAAUUUCCGUAGCACCGCGCAGAAGGUGCGUGGGAUGAGCGACGCGGACACGCUCACACGCAAUGCUCUCCAGCAAGGCAAGGCUUGACUUUGACUUGCUUUUUUCUGUUAACAAUAAAAAUAGAAAAGAAAAUGGACGAGCAACAGUCACAUGCUCCCGGUGCUAAAUUAUGUGAGUCAAUGACGAAAACAUAUCAAUCGUCGGAUUAAAUCAGAUUUUGUUGAAAAUAAAUGUCCGUGUGACGUUUUUUAUUCAAAUAGGGAAAGUUUAUUUAUUUUCAAUCAGCAAUCUGCUUUUCAUUAAGGAGAUUGCUCUAAAAUAGUAAAUCACUAGAUAAAUCUCUCCCAAAAACAAUUUUAUUAAAUUAAAUUUCUCCAUACCAUGUCACAUAUCUAAAAAUUAUGUAGCCAUCACUCCUCACUCACGGCACUUUUAUCCCUCUCCUUAUAUUAAUAAUUUUUUAUGCUCUAUGUCCUUUUAGAGUCGCAUUUAGAAAUUCUUGGCCAAUGAAUUCUCCACAACUGAAUAUUUAUUUAGUCAUCCGUUUUUACUUUCUUUUUUCAUCUUUUGCUUUUUUCGGUGGUCAAGUGGAAACAGAUGCUAUUGAUUUGUUUUAGCAAUGUCUAGAGAAAGAUAUGGUGGCAAUUUUUACUAGGAAAACAUUAAUAGGAGUAUUUUACACUCUUUUUUUAUCAUCUAGUCAUUUUGAAAAUGUUAAGCUGAUUUAUCUAUUCAAUUGAAUUUCUUCACGAUCAAGUUGCAUAAUAUGUGUGUGUAUAUAGAGAAAUAUAUUUAUACAUGUAUCAGAGCUUAACAAAUAUUGUACCAUCACCAUGAGAAACCUUUUCAAUCGGUGAAAUUUUUCAAUGUCUUUCUUGGAGAGUUCCUACAACCCCUUUAUCAAAGUAAAUGCUAUGCCACUUUCAUAGGAGACUCCUAAUUUUUCAAUAUCUUUCUCUGAGAGUUCCUCCAACCCUUUUAUCAAAGUAAAUGCUAUGCCACUAUCAUAAGAAACUCCAAAAUUUUCAAUGUCUUUUCAAUGUCUUUCCUAGAGAGUUCCUACAACUCCUUUAUCAAAGUAAAUGCUACACAACUUUCUUAGGAAACUCCUCUCAAUGUCUUUUCAAUGUCUUUCCUAGAGAGUUCCUACAACUCCUUUAUCAAAGUAAAUGCUACACCACUUUCUUAGGAAACUCCUCUCAAUGUUUUCAAUGUCUUUCCUAGAGAGUUCCUACAACUCCUUUAUCAAAGUAAAUGCUAUACCACUUUCAUAGGAAACUCCUCUCUCUCUCUCUCUCUCUCUCUCUCUCUCUCUCUCUCUCUCUCUCUAUGAAAAAUUGACAAGUGCCUUUUGAGUAUGCAUUUAGAAAGAUCCAAUUACGUGAAUUUCAUAAGGUCUCCACAUUUUUUAACUAUUUGUCAGUGUAAACCGUUGGAUUGACAUUGAUAAAAUUGUCGUGUUUAAAGCCACUAGAUCAUAUUGAAGUGCGAAAGAUGAGGAAAAUUUUUAUGGUAUACCUAUUGUAAUGUUACGACAUUAUGACACAUAGGGUAGUUAAGUACUAAAACAUUAUAAUAGCACAUUCUAUGACGAUCAAGUACAAAGUGGUGUGAAACAAAAGUGUGCAACUGAAGAUUUUCUAAAGAUGAAUGGAAUCAACAAUGAUGGAAGUUUCGCGGGAAAAAGAUGAGCUGAGUAAGGAAUGGGUCCGUUGCCUCGUGACUUACUUUUUUUCACUCACCCACUUUGAUGACCAAAAAGGAGCCUGAGUCCUGCUUUUUUAUCAACAUGAGAAGAGAAACAAAAAAGUGAGAGCAUUUACACUUCUUGUGGACCUCCAGAUGUUUGUGUUCCUAGGUCGGUUGGAAAUUGGAAUCUAAAAGAAAAACCAAAUAUAUUUGUACAUUUCUCUAAUAAAUUUUUUUUAUUCUUUUUGGCCCAAAUGAUCAAAUAAUAAUUGAGAGAUAUAUGAUUUGUCAAAUAAUACAAAUGGUGAUACGAAAGUUAAAUGUAUUUUAGGUCUCAUACUAAUUACGUUCACAAAAAUUGUAGAUUCAUUUUAGAAAUUAUAUUCAUAUGUUUAAAUAUCAUGAAAACAAGUUUGAGUUGGAGCCAUUUGCGCACGUUCCCAAAAGCCUAAACUUAAUCAAUUUAUUAAAUUGCAGCGUAUUUGAUGUGCUUUCAAGUGGCGAUCCUCUAUGAUGAUGCAUAUGAGUUUCAAAAAGUUAUCAUAUGUUCACUCUCGUUGCAAUUGCACCCACUGAAACUAAAAUUGAUUUGAGAAAAUUCUUCAAAUUUUAUCCUCACUAUCAUUUGAAUGAUUUAGAGAACGAGAAUACAGAAAAUCAUUUUCACUUUUUGGCUUCAAGAAUAAAAUACAUGUUUUCUCUUUUCACCAUUUUCGUUCUCAUCUAAAAAAGCGGCUCCCCACAGGAUGCUUUUCUUUAACUCCCUUCUUUUCAUAUUCAUUCACUUUGGACACAAAUUUAUCAUUUAUUGGAGCAUUUCCAUGACUUUUUUGAAAGUUAAAGCUUUUUCCAAUGCUAAAGGGAUUAUUCUUCUCAAUCUAUUGCUCCAGGAAAACUUCCUGUUGAAGAUUUUCUUCUCAUUGUUCUUUAUUCUUUUCAAUUCAUAGCUCCAAGAAGCUUCAAAGAAAUUUUCUAUUCAAGAUUUUCUUUUCAUUGUCUUUUUUCUUUUCAAUCCAUAGCUCUAGGAGGCUUCAAAGAAAUUUCCUGUUCAAAAUUUUCUUUUCUUAUUCUUUUCAAUCCAUAGCUCUAGCAAGCUUCAGAGAAAUUUCCUAUUCAAGAUUUUCUUUUCAUUGUCCUUUAUAAUGUAAGACAAUUUAGUUAAGAAAUUCUAAUGCUAUUAAAUAAUAAUGAUGGGUAUAUUAAUUCCCUUUAAUUUGCCAAGAAGACAAACAAUUUGUUAUGUGACUUCAGUAAUUUCCCACUUGCUAACAUGAUCAUCCAAAAAGGAUUGGUUAAAAGAUUCUUUUUGAUUAGCGAGAUAAUUUUUUUUUUCAUUGCUCUUAUUAAUAGACACAAAUAGUAUAUGAAGAGACUAAAGUCUCACAAUAGAGAAAUAUGAUAUACUGGGAACAGGAUAUAUGAUUGAAAAUAAAACCAAACUUGUAUUGUUUAGUUCCAAUUUCUAUAGAAAAGUUUCCUACCAAUCAUGUUUUCGCAAAAACAGAUUCCAAUGAACUACUAACAGUUUUUUUUUUAACAAAAUGGGCCAUAAGUGAACUUGAUUUUCUAGUUACUUCUAAUGAAAGUGUUAUCACUUAAAAAUACUAUUCAUGAAAAUUACUUUAAAAAAUAAUUAUUUGUAAAAUCAUACUUAUUAUCUAGGGUCAUGCGAGGGCUAGAACCUUUAUGGUCAUGGUGGCGGGGCUCAUCUCCAUCGCGAGUAGUGACUUUCAUAAAAAGAGACACGCAACCAUAGAGUUCAUGACCUCCGUUGAUUCGCACCAGCAGUCAUCUAUAGUCACAGGAAGCCACGACCUUCAUGGCCGAACGAAGUUCAUUUUGGUUUUCGUUUCAGCAAAUGACAUUGUAAGGGAUAUCUAGUUCGAUAUGUUUAUGAUGAAAAAGCCCAUUUGUUAUUGAUAAGCCCACCUAAGAUGCCAAACCUGGCCUAAUUAGGUGAACCCAAUACAUGUUGUAGGGAUUAAAACAAGAGAUGGCAUUUUCAGACUAAGGCGUAUUAAUAAUAUUGCCUUAAAGAUAGUGAUUUAUUCAAUAGGAUUCAUGAUCCAAUUUAGUCGAAUCCAAUGGAAAUCUUAACCCCAGAUACAAUGCCUAGACUCUAAUUUUGCUCGCUUAGUCCAUGUGGCAAGCAAAUGAUGAAUAUGAUUCAAGCCUUGAAGAGACAGUCAUUAUAGAGAAAGCAUGAGAGAGACGAGGAGGAGAAGAAAGAACAUACGAUAGAGAAAUGUUGAUGAUCUCUUGUUCCCGUCUUUUCUAGAAGAUGCCCCUAGAUAAGUAGACAAAGGAAACUACACAUGUAACGAAUCCAAUGGAAAUCUUAACCCCGGAUACGAUGCCUAGACUCUAAUUUUGCUUGCUUAGUCCAUGUGACAAGCAAAGGAUGAAUAUGAUUCAAGCCUUGAAGAGACAGUCAUUAUAGAGAAAGCAUGAGAGAGACGAGGAGGAGAAGAAGGAACAUACGAUAGAGAAAUGUUGAUGAUCUCUUGUUCCCGUCUUUUCUAGAAGAUGCCCUUACAUAAGUAGACAAAGGAAACUACACAUGUAACAUUGGACGCAUCUAUUCAUUGAUGAUAUUUGAAAUCUAAUUUAAAUGAAUGUUAAGUUUUAAACAGUAAUAAUCUAACUGAUGGAUAAGAAUUAAAAGACAAGACAACUAGUGAGCAAUUUUGGCCCUGAAGUUUUAAUUUAUUCAAUGUGCCCCUUGAACUUUUAAUUUGUUCAAUGUAGUUCUUGAACUUUUAGUACAUAUUCAAUACAUUCCUUGAAUUGUAUGAAAAGAUUCAAUAUAGUCAUUCCAUUAAUUUAAGACCAAAGGCUACAUUGAAUAUUUUCAUAUAAUUUAUGAAUUAUAUUGAACAAGUACCGAAAGUUCAUGGACCAUAUUGCACAUUGGGCUAAAGUUCAUGGGCUAUAUUGAACAUAUUAAAAGUUCAUGGACCAAAUUAUAUAUUUGGCCAAAGUUUAUGGAUUGUUUGUAUCAUUUUCCCUAAAACAAAUCCAAAACAAUCUCUCACUAUUUUUCUAAGGAGGAAUUAUUACAAAGCAAACAUUGACUUCCAAUACGAUGUAUGAACCAUAAGGAUAUGUGGUGAAGCAAAGUGUAGUAGUUGAUAGGAGAAACUUUGAUCUCAGAAUUACUAAUUUUGGCUCCGUUUGUUUCAAGAAAAAUAAAUGAUUUAGAGGAUUUUUUUUUCUAAAAAUAGUCACUUGUAUCGUUUACAUAAAUGAAUGAACGGAAUUACCUUUAAUGUUAAUGAAAAUGUUUAGACAUAACUUGUUGUCAAUAAUGAAAAUAUAUUUCAUUAAUUAAUUGUUUCAAACGAGACAAGCAAUCAUUUUUAGGAAAAUAUUGUCCAAAAAUCAUUCAUUUUUAGGGCAAUGCGUUAUAAAUCAUGCACUUACCCCAGCUUAGUGAGAGCUUUAGAGCAUAACCAUAGCUCAUAAGAAGUAGCCCUGACUUCCACAUUAGCAAAGGUAAAUCCCAUCAGGAGCAUUUGCAACCACCAUGUUCGAUCCACUGUUUGUUAAGAUUAGUUCGAUCCUACUUUAUGGCAAAUAAAACAAUGCACAUUUUGAGAUGGAAUUUUUCCUAUUAAAAAUUGUGGCCCUACUAGUUGCAAAGUAACGUGCACUUAAAAUAUAACCUCAAUGCUAACAUUUGAUAGAUUGCAAUUGACUAAAAAAAUUUCAAACUCGUACGUAAUGCAAAUGUAGAGUAGGCUACAUCCAAUGGAUCCUUAAAUAUUGGUACUAAUCACAUCUCCUUCAAAGCUCUUGAUUCCUCUACACGAGUUGAUCUCUUAGUAAGAGGAUUGCCGGGAAAAUUGUUCAAAAAAUCUUAAACUUAUUAUAUGACGGCCAUUUCAACCUUAAACUUACAAAUAUGUAUAUACCAUACAUUUUUAACUUUGUCGUUAACACACAUUUAGAACCUAUAAUUAUAGUGUUAGGAGGAAGAUUAGCUAAUGACCAUAUACUAUCUUGCUUAAUAUAUUUUAUCUCAACUAGGGGUAAGUGGUCCUACGGUUAGUUUAGGUUUUACUUGGAACCUCCAACCUGUUGGAACUGAUUCCCCGAUUUUUAAAACCUAGAACCUACCUUACAUACCUUGGAGCCUUAAACUUGCCCUCUCACAAGUUUUAGGAUCAAUUUCAUGGUCUGUCUAGGUUCUACCUUUAUUUUUUAUUAAACAAUUUCAGUCAAUUAUCACAUCUAAUAUACAAAUCAUAACUCAUAUCUAGAUACACGAAUAAUAUGAAAUAUUAACAACGCAAAAGUCUCACUCAUAGAUAUCAUAGGAAAUUGAAGCUUAUACUAGUGAUUUCAAAUUACACAAUUAUCAUCAGACACAAUGGAAUACUGUAGGAUUUUGCAAAGAACAAGAAAAACAAAAAGACUUGUUCCCAUGUAGUUUUAGUAAUGAAGCAAUUUGGCUAAAAUCAUACUUGACAACUAAUGAAUAAUGUCUAUUGUGUAAAGCACGCCCCAUAUGCUUUCAAAACAAUUUAAGAUUAGAUACGAAUCUAUAUGAUUUAAUUCAAGCAUUUUUACCAAAUAAGAUUGAAAAAAAGAUUUUAGGCAUUUCAAACUCAAAUUCUAACCUAAGUUCAGUCUAAACUAAUAUUAGAUGUUUGAAAUCAGGAAAGCAAACUCAAAUAGAUCAUGUUUCUAUUUCUACAGAGGAUUCAAAGUCUCAAUCACUCUUAACUGGAAACAGAACCUUUCGAAACAAAAGCAUUACGACCGGAUUAGGCCAAAUGANNNNNNNNNNNNNNNNNNNNNNNNNNNNNNNNNNNNNNNNNNNNNNNNNNNNNNNNNNNNNNNNNNNNNNNNNNNNNNNNNNNNNNNNNNNNNNNNNNNNAGGUAAAAGACUACAUUAAGGAAAAAACGAAUAGAGAGAUGACCAAAUCACACAAACAAUAACACUUACUAAAUCUGUACUUAACCCAACUUAAAGAAAAGAAAGCGAGCUAGUCAUCACAAAUGAAUGGAGGUCUCAUUUAUCAUAGCAAACGACACAUAAGAAGUCAAUAUUCAGUUAAAAGAAUAAGAAGAAGAAAAGACCUCACAAGAAAUUAUAAGAAAAACCCAAUCUUCAAAAAUGUGCACCAAACGUAUAUGUGGAAAAAGCAUGGCCCAACAACUCAUAGAUGUCAUGUUUUCUCGGAAAGUGCCCUGUCAAACACUAUGGUUUUGCAAUUUUAUUGUUGCAUUGAUGUUUUGAAAGGAGUGUCCUCAACAAAAUUUUAUAUAUAUCUUUUGUUCAUUUCGACAAAAAAAAGAGAUGAAAAAAAAAGAUAUAUAUCCUAUAUCAACUUCCAAAAAACUGUUGUUCAAUUAUGUCUUAAAAUAAGGCAAGAAAACAAUUAACCGGAUCAGCUCUUCUGCUAAUAACUGCCCCAAAUUUGGCGCAUCAAUUUUCAUCUCAAAAAGGAAAAAAGAAAAAGAAGAGAAGAUGGACUCAACAUUCACAUAGCGGAAAUUCUUACCUUGUUGCUCUCAAGCACAUGUUUGGCUUCCUCCUUAAUCCAUAACCGACUACGUUCUCCAGGCUGGCUUUUAUUUUCUAAGCGAACAAUUUCCCUUCCAAGAUCUCUCAGUUGAUCAUGCAUCAUUAGCUUGCCAUCUUCGCCAAUUUUAAUUAGGGACAUAAGACUUAAUACUUCAAUCCCUUUCCCCGGGUAAAAACCACAGGCAUCCCACAUAUAAGUUGGAUUAUGUUUAGAUGAUCCAAUGAAAAAACAUGCAAUAUCCAAAAAAAUCUGUUGGUCUUCAUAUUCUAAUGCUUCGUAACNNNNNNNNNNNNNNNNNNNNNNNNNNNNNNNNNNNNNNNNNNNNNNNNNNNNNNNNNNNNNNNNNNNNNNNNNNNNNNNNNNNNNNNNNNNNNNNNNNNNACAUUUUUUCUCUUCCUAAACUACCCUCAUUAAUUUUUCAUAUUUCCGUUAUUGCCUCUGUAUUUAUUUAUUUUUUAAAUGAAAAAGGAGCAGCCCUUCGCCGAACCGGCGAAGGGCGACGGCGAGUUAGAUCUGGCGCCAACGGCCAUCGGCUAAGGUCGCCCGAGGUCGGGCGACCUUCGGCGAGGGUCGCGCAACCCAGCUGAGGGUCGCCGGACCUCAGGCGACCCUCGGCAAGGGUUGCUCGACCCAGGGGCCGCGCAACCUAGGUGACCAUUGCUUGGGUCUCGCGACCGCAGGUGGCCCUCGCCUGGGUCUCGCGAGGGUCACACGACCUAAGCGGCGAUCGCCUGGGUCGCACAACCCAGGUGAUGGUCGCCUGGGUCGCGCGGCCCCUGAGUCGAGUGACCCUGGUCGCCCGAGGUCGGGCGACCUCAGCUGAAGGCCUCCAGUGCCAGAUCUGGCUCGCCGGCGGCCGCAGCCCUUCCCGGACUGGCGAAGGGUUUAGCUGAAUUUUCAAAAAAAAGAAAAAGAAAAGAAAAGAAAAGAAAAGAAAUAUAUAUAUAUAUAUAUAUAUAUAUAUAUAUAUGUAUUAUAUCCAUCAAAACUCCUUGCGAAAGUUUUCUUUACCAAACGCACAUUCAACUCAAAGUUCAUUUGCAAAUUUUUUUUACCAAACACAAUUUCAUUUUCCUCAAGUAGCUUUGGGUUUUCAACAUUUGCAUUGGACUCAAAGUCCAUUGCAAAUGUUGAACCAAACGCAGCCCACGUCCUAUGCUCUUGUGAAUCGGAGACAAACAAUAACUGAUGGCAAGUGGCGUCUGACAACAAUGAAGAGACUCUCAAAAAAGCUUUUCCAACUCUCUCUCUCUCUCUCUGACAAUGAAGAGAUUCUCAAAGAAGUUUUUCAAACUCUCUCUCUCUCUCUUGACUCCCCUCAGAGUGGAAAGGUUUCUUUUCUUUCGCUACAUCCAAGCCUCACCAUGUUUGGAUAUGCCAAUUUCUAUUUUAGGGUUUAGUAGGUUCUCAAUCUAGUUCUCUAAUUCUUAAUUCCCGAUCUACCGAGGAAUUAAACCACAUAAUGCAGGUUCAAAAUAAUAUGGAAUUGGGAAUUGGACGGGAUCUCCCCAGAACCUGGAAUUAGAACGGUUCCCAUUGGUUCUCCGAUUCCUUAUUCUACUUUAAAAUCAUGCUCAUCCCUAAUCUCAACAUCCAUUGCCAUUGUCCAAAUAUGAACAUCUGGUCUAGACUUAGCAUCAUUAUAACUCUUUGGAUGAUCUACCAAAACAAUCCCAUAAAUGGUCCAAAGGCUUUUCUUACUCAUUUAGUUAUCAAAUGCUAAACAUACUUCGCCAGCUAAAUUUGCUUAAUAAAUUGAUGUGGCAAAUUCCUCCUAAGUGAUUUGAUGCUUAGAGAACUUAAAUUCUAACGUUAGAAAACUGUCAAGUUUUAAAUAGCAAUAAACUCAUAGAUAAGAGCUAAAAGACUAGAUAAUUACUAAAUAAUCUGAAACUCUUGGUCACACCAAUAUUUUUUUAAAAGAAUUUGAAAUAUUGACAUUUGAUCUUAAUUGCCAAAUACAGAGAAAAUUACCCAAAAAAAAUCCCAUACCUACCCUAUGGUGGUUAGUUUAGUUGUAAACUUUUCAAUUACAUAAUGUAGUCCUAAACCUUAUGAUGAUUUUACACUAUAGUCAUUUCGACCAAUUUUGGAUAGACAUUGCUAAUGUGAUGAGUCAAUGUUUGUCAUCCUAUAUGAUGUGACUGACACUGACAUGAACAAUUUUUUUUUUUAAAUAUAUUUUCCUUUUUUCUUUUUUCUUUUUUUCCUUUUUUGCUAGUGGCUGAUAUUAGGUGAUGGCCAACAAGGGCUAGAACAAAGGGCCACGACCCUCAUUAGAUGUUGACAUGGCUUUGCAAACCCCCCAUUUAUGGGCAAAGGAAAUUGGCCGGGCCGUUGUGGGCCCCACCCCCCCCCCCCCCCCCCCACAAAAGUAAAGAGAAAAAAGAAAACGAAACAAAAAUAAAAAUAAAUUAUAAAAAUUAUUAACGUCAGCACCAGUUGUCCUAGGCCAUGCCAUAUAAGACAGUCCACACCGCUAUAGCGAUUUUCAGCUAGAAUUAGCCAAACUACUACAUUGGUAAAUUGUCAAAAGGUUUAAAAUUAAAUCGGCACAAUUAAAAAAUAUGAUUGAAUUCACAUUCAUAUAAUAGGUUUGGGAUUCUUUUUAGUAAUUUUCCCCAAAUACAAAAGGAUUCAUGUGUAUUGUUUGCCAUAAAUCUAAUAAAAAUUAAUUUAGUUUUUAAAUUUUUGAAGUAAUUGAUGGUAACGUUUAUAUUUUUGAGAAAAUUUGAAGUGGUCAAUAUUAAGGUAACAAAAAAGUACGUCAAAUAGAUGGGUCAAGUCGGACUGAAAAAUGAUCUAACCCAAAUUGAUCUAUUUAAAUUGUUUUUACCCAUUUCCAUCAAUAAAAAUAUAAGGAUAUACACCCAACCUAACUUAUAUUCGAUUCAACCCAUAUUGCAAAAAUACUUAUAUAUUUAAUUCAAUCUAGAAAAAAAUCAUACUUAAACUAAGGUGAGAGCACAAAGUAAGCGAGCGUGAGAUUGAGUGAGAACGUGAGAGUAAAGAGACAAUUAUAGAGGUGAAUUAGGUCUAUAUAAGUAAUGCACUUAUUUAACACCCAUAUUAUUUUAGACCUUACCAUUCUAAACUGAUUUAUGACCUAUUGCUAAAUAUAAGUAAUCCACAUAACAACUCAGCAAUCAAAUAUUGAUUAAGAAAUAAGUCUAUGACCUAUUUUGACAAGUCUUGUUAAUGGUAAAGAUCAUGACUAUUUAAGCGCUUACCACUGUCAAAUCAAGAUGUUGAUCACUUCGGAGAUAACCAUUUCCCUCAUACCUUUCUCUAUUGGGUUCUUUCUCUCCCCCUUGGGUAUGAGAAAUUUUAUCUGGCCCAACACCAUAACUUUUAUUUCGGUCUAUAUUCACAUUAAGUCUACAUUUAUCAUGGCGUGAUAACUAAGGACACGAUGAUUUAUAUUUUCUAAUCAAAUAAGUCUUCGUCUUCAUAUGUCUAAAUAAUCAACAAAAGUAUACUAGAAAUUUCACACCCAUCGCAUGUGACGUUCGCUUUGUAAUUCCUUCCAAUCACAUGGGCCCAACCACUGGACUCGACCUCCAAGGCUAAACCCAAAUGAAAAAUUGUUGGACAGACCUAGGUAGGCCCAUUAGGGCCCAUGGGCUUGAUCAGGACUAAGAAAAAAAGAAAAGAAUAAAAAAGCAAAAUGGCCCAUCAUCUCAUGGGGCCAUGUUUGGGCAUGGGCCAAACAAAGACAACAAAAUUGUUGGGCCAAGAUAGGCCCAUGGGCUUGACCGAGCCUAGGAACAAAGUAGGACAUGGCCCGCCAUCUAACGGGCCAUGCCCUAGCAUGGGCCCAAUCGUGCUUGGUCAACACGGCCCACUAACGAUCCCUAUCCACAAGAAAGGAAGUUGCAUCUGCAUAAAUUCAUUCAUCCAAGACAAAUUUCACUUUGCGUUCACAUUUCAUUAACACAAUACCGAUUAGCAAAAAUGCUGGAACACGGAACACUCUAGAUAAAAAGACGAUGAUAACAUAUCGAAGCAAAUUUUCCAUAAAUUUGAUAUCUCGAAAUUUGCAAUAUGUACAGUUAAUGUGGAUCGUUCCAACGACUGUGAUAAACCAAAGCUAAAAAAUAUCUUUUUAAAGAAGAAAACUUCAACUUCAUGCUACGACUUCCCUUAGCAACUUCACCGGCAGCAACUGAUUCGGAGACACCGGCAGCCUCGCCGGGGACUCCUCGUUUGACUCCCGAUCUGAUUGCCCUUGAAGUUGAGUGCGUAGCUCUUCGGAUCAUACCCGAACUAUGUCACCGCAUCGCGGCCCUACCUUUGACACUUCCCAAUCCGAGCAAUGAGGCUUCGAAGCUUAUGCCGGAUCUCUGGCAAUGAGAGCUCUCAAGUUGUGGAGUAGAGCCACAAGUAGGAUGACCGGGCCACUUUGUGGCCACCGCUGCAGCUAUCACGGUCCGAGAAGGCGGCCUCUUGGUAGGCGGCAGCGUCCCGGAAGCAAUAGAAGAGGAGACGCGGGGAGGAUGAGGUCGCGGGUUUUUAUAGGGUGGACGCGGGAUAAGGACGGGGAUAAAAUGGAGGGACUCGGUGUUUUGAGUCAAUCCCUCCUUUGACGUUUCGUCUUACUUUCCCUAACUUUAAUUUUUGGGCAAUUUAGUAAUUAAGUUAAAGUCAAGAGACCACAAAAUAAUUACAGGUGACGUUAUUUCCACCUCUUAAAUGAUUAAAUCUGACCUACUGCUAUUGAAAAGGCAAAAUUGCAUUUAUUCAUUUUAUUGCAAUUUAUAAGUGGUGGCUUUGCUUUCCUUUUCUUUAGCUUUGCUGUUUUUAUGUAGGAUUUUGUUACCAUAAUGACAAAGUUUCCAUGUAUAUUAAGGGUAUGAUUUUCUUAAUUGUUAGAUUUUAUUUCCAUAAAAAUAAGUUUUGUCGAAAUGAGAAAUACCAAAAAAAAAAAAAAAAUCUAUUUCUUGGUUACACCGUUGAUAAAAUUUAUGGAUAAAUUGUUAAGUAAAAUCUAAAAAUAAAUUAAUAUGGACAAUUUGUUUAGCACAAUCAUUUGUUUACAAAUUUUUUGCUCUUGAUGUGUAUAUUACCAUCAAAUCGCAUCUUAUCAAUUUUAUUAUAUAUAAUGGAAUGCUCCAAAAAAAAAUCUUUGAUGAUUUUCCAAAAAUAAUAUCACAAUUACAUUCUCCAAUGUGAAACUUGUCAGGCUAACAUAUAAUUCACGAAAUAAAUUAGACUAAAGAUACGUUUAAUAACCAUUCCGUUCUCGAAAAUAAUUUAUAUUCAUAAUUUAUUUUUUCAAAUGCUUGGACAAGUUUCUAACUAGAAGAACGUGUACAUUUGAUAUGACCCUAACAAUUUCUAUUUUCAUUUUUUUAAAUUUAAUUAUAAAAAUAUUAAUGGAGAGUUAAAGAUUCGUGUUUGAAUAAAAAUUUGUUGAGCCUAGGCUGGUCCAUGAGGACCCAUGGGCCUGACCCGGCCUAGGCACAAAACGGACACGGCCAGCCACCUUAACAGGCCGUAUCGUGGCCUGGGCCCAAGCGUGUUGUACUCGGGUCAGUACGGCGCGCUACCAAUCUCUUUCCGCAAGAAAAGAAGACGCAGCCAUGUUAUCUGUAAAACUAAGAUUCGCUUCUUGUCGGUUCACGUUUCAAUUUUUCAAUUUUUUUUUUGGUUGAAGGUUCGCAUUUCGAUGAGGUAAGGCCGAUCAGGAAAAAUGCUCGACCGGGGGAUCAACAAUCCACACGAAAAGCGAAAGCGAAAUGGAGAUGACGACAAUGACGACAUAUUGAAGCAGAUCUUCCACAAAUUUGAGAUCUCGAAGCUUUACAGAUAUGUACAAGCGCUACGGAUCGCUCCAAGGACUGUUGAUAUAGCCCAGCUUGUCGAUCCAAAUCAAUAAAAGAUGCUUUUUUUCCAGAGGAAAGGACUUCAACUACAAGCUACGACUUCACCGGCAACAACCGAUCCGGAGACAGCGGCAGCCUCGCCGAGAAGUUCCUUGCUGGGAACUCCUCGUCCGACUCCCUGCUCCGGUCGUCCUCGAAGUUGAGCGCGUAGCUCAUCGGGUCGUACCCGAACUCCGAGGAGGCCGCCGCAGCCGCCGCCGCAUGGCCCGGCCUCCACCGGCACCUCCCGAUCCGAGCGAUGAGGCUACGGCACCUAUACCGGAUCUCCGGCAGCGGGAGCUCCAGGGCCGCUGAGCAGACCUUGCGGGGGUGGCCACCGUCGUCGCAGUCCGAGGAGGCGGUCUCGUGGUAGGCGGCGGCGGCGGGAGAGUGGCCAUCAUGGAAGCAGCAGAAGAGGAGGCUGGGGGAGGAGGAUGAUCCGAGCUUGUGAUGGAACAACAUUUAGACGGCGAGAGCGACGGGACUCGGAAUCUUGGUCUGGUCCGGUCUGGUGUCUGGUCUGCGCAAGAGCGUGAAGAGGGUGAAGAGAGGGGAUGACGAUGAUGAGGAAGACGAUGGAGAAGAGGAUGAGAUUGGAGGGUUUAUUUAUAGCGUGGACGGAUAAGGACGGGGGCGUGUGGCGGCAGAGCAGAGUGGCGUGGUGGUGGUAGGGCUGGGAGUGAGGAUGAGGAAAACCGCGGGUGGUUCGUGGUGGGCAAGUGGGGAAGCGGUUUUUUGCGUUACUCCCGCGUGAGGUUUCAAUCUUACUUUUCUUUAACUUUAUCGUUGUGCAGUCAGGUAAUUAUGCGGAAGUCGAGGGCCCACAUAGCUGCUCUUCCUUUUCAAUUUUAAUAUCCCUCUUUUGUUUUGCGAAAGAUGAAUUUAAAUGACAUUUUUAAGGGUUUUAUUAUACGAUCAUAUAUAUAAUAAACUGCGAGAGUAAAGGGCCAAGAACGGAANNNNNNNNNNNNNNNNNNNNNNNNNNNNNNNNNNNNNNNNNNNNNNNNNNNNNNNNNNNNNNNNNNNNNNNNNNNNNNNNNNNNNNNNNNNNNNNNNNNNAUAAGAGAUAUCCUCAUAACCACUCGGAGGAAAAUCGUUUCGAAAUGCGUGUCUACUAAAUAAAAUCAACGAUUUAUCCAAAGGCAACUUUUCGAGUUCAUAUAAGUGGCAAACCCCAACCUUCUUAAGAAUACUCUUGUUUCUAGUUGUGAUGAUGACUAUACUUCCUGCCUUAAAGGAAAUACCGUCUUCGAUCAAAGCAUCCAAAUGAGUAUCAUCAUCAAUAUCAUCUAAAAGAGUGAGGACUUUCUUACUUGUACAUCGAGAUCUGAGUACAUGGAUUCCGUCAUCAACAUUAGACACGUCCCACGAUGUUCCUAUUAUGCCAGAAAUGAGCUGCUUUUGUAGACACUCAAUACCCUUGUGCUUAGCUGUUUCUCGAAUAUUUGCCACAAAGGUACGAUUCUCAAAAUGGCUGGAUAGCUUGUUGUAUAACACAUUUGCAAGAGUUGUCUUACCGAUACCGCCCAUUCCAUAAAUUCCAAUGAUUUGUGUACCAUUGAAAUUAACAUCUAUCUCGCUCAUAAUCUGUUCCACACGAUCAUCAGUUCCCACCAACUGUUUGGGAACACUUAGGUGAAAAAGUCUUUUUAGCUCACUCAUAACUCUUCUAACAAUCCUUUUGACUAAUACUGCUUCAUGCCUGUCAAAAAACAAUAUAAAAUUUCAAUAUUGUUUAUAUGCCUUUUCAAGUUAGAUCUAUUUAUGAAAAGCUGAACAAAUUAUUGGGUGGAGAAUAAUGUACCCAUCAUCAAUUUUCUCCGAUUCCCAUCCUUUCAAGAAACUAACUUCUUUAAGUGCAUCUUCCCAUUCCUUCACAACCAUUUGGUCCAACUUCUUAUUAUGUGCGUUAACAGCAUCUCCAAAUCUCCCCUUGAGAUGUCGCACCUGUGAGGGUUCCACUUUGUAAAAUAUGGGCAACACGACUUGCUCUCCACUUCUCUUGCACUUCAACAUCUGAGCCAGCUCUUGAAGGCACCAUUUGCUGGAAGCGUAAUCCUCAGAUAUAAUCGGGAUGGAAAUCUUAGACUGCAUGAUACUGCGGAGAAGCUCCGGACCAAUCUCAUCACCAACUCGGAGCUCAUCGUUGUCUCUAUACACGCGAAUUCCUGCAUUAUCGAGGUUCAUAUAGAGGUGAUCGGUGAAGCCUUUACGAGUGUCUUCCCCUCUAAAGCUCAAGAACACUUCGUAUUCACUUUCUUCUUUCAGCCUUUUGGUUCCACCAUCAUCACCUACGUGUGGAGAGGUCGACGACGAAGACGCUCUGUAUGGCAGAUCUUCUGAAUGAGGAGGCUCUUUUCUGAUCAUCUCGAGAGAGAUGGAGUGGAGCCUCAAAAGAAGAGGAGUAUGGAAUCCUAGAUCUAGGAAUUGCAGAAAUGUCUCUCAGAACUCAAUUGAGAGCUACAUUCAAACAAAAACAAAAGCUCUCAUACAAGUCAUCAAAAGAAAAGGGAAAUAAAAACAAGAAAGAGAGAAGAGGAGAAGAGCAAGUAGUCACCGAUUACCUGAGGAGUGCUUAAACAACACAAUCCACACACUGCUGCGAUCUCCACCGAUUCUCACCUUCGACGUUGGAUUACCCACACGCAACCCUCUUUAUUGUGCGUGCUUGAACGAUGCUGAGUUAUGACCAUCCAACGGUCCAAGACUCUUUAUGCUAAUUGAACGGCUGCGAUGCAUGCUGUACGGAAAGGACAAUUAUUGCAGGCGUAAUUUCCGUAGCACCGCGCAGAAGGUGCGUGGGAUGAGCGACGCGGACACGCUCACACGCAAUGCUCUCCAGCAAGGCAAGGCUUGACUUUGACUUGCUUUUUCUGUUAACAAUAAAAAUAGAAAAGAAAACUGACGAGCAACAGUCACAUGCUCCCGGUGCUAAAUUAUGUGAGUCAAUGACGAAAACAUAUCAAUCGCGGAUUAAAUCAGAUUUUGUUGAAAUAAAUGUCCGUGUGACGCUUUUUAUUCAAAUAGGGAAAGUUUAUUAUUUUCAAUCAGCAAUCUGCUUUUCAUUAAGGAGAUUACUCUAAAAUAGUAAAUCACUAGAUAAAUCUCUCCCAAAAAUAAUUUUGUCAAAUUAAAUUUCUCCAUACCACGUCAUAUAUCUAAAAAUUAUGUAGCCAUCCCUCCUCCCUCACGGCACUUUUAUCCCUCUCCUUAUAUUAAUAAAUUUUUAUGCUCUAUAUCCUUUGAGUCGCAUUAGAAAUUCUUGGCCAAUGAAUACUCCACAAUCGAACAUUUAUUUAGUCAUCCCGUUUUACUUUCUUUUUUUUAUUUUUUGCUUUUUUCUGUGGUCAAGUGGAAAUAGAUGCUAUUGAUUUGUUUUAGCAAUGUCUAGAGAAAGAUAUGGUGGCAAUUUUUAGUAGGAAAACGUUAAUAGGAGUAUUUUACACUCUUUUUAUCAUCUAGUCAUUUUGAAAAUGUUAAGCUAAUUUAUCUAUUCAAUUCAAUUUCUUCACAAUCAAGUUGCAUAAUAUGUGUGUGUAUAUAGAGAAAUAUAUUUAUAUAUGAAUCACAGCUUAACAAAUAUCCUUUUCAAUGGGUGAAAUUUUUCAAUGUCUUUCUUGGAGAGUUCCUACAACCCCUUUAUCAAAGUAAAUGCUAUGCCACUUUCAUAGGAAACUCCAAAUUUUUCAAUGUCUUUAAUGUCUUUCUUGGAGAGUUCCUACAACCCCUUUAUCAAAGUAAAUGCUAUGCCACUUUCAUAGGAAACUCCAAAAUUUUCAAUGUCUUUAAUGUCUUUCUUGGAGAGUUCCUACAACCCCUUUAUCAAAGUAAAUGAUAUGCCAUUUCAAUGUCUUUUCAAUGUCUUUCUUGGAGAGUUCCUACAACCCCUUUAUCAAAGGAAAUGCUAUGCCACUUUCAUAGGAAACUCCUCUCUCUCUCUCUCUCUCUCUCUCCUCUUGAGUGCCUCUUGAGUAUGCAUUUAGAAAGAUCCAAUUACGUGAAUCUCAUAAGGUCCCCACAUUUUUUAACUAUUUGUCAGUAUAUUGACAUUGAUAAAAUUGUUGUGUUUAAAGCUAUUGGAUCGUAAUGAAGUGCGAAAGAUGAGGAAAACUUUUAUGGUAUACCUAUUGUAAUGUUACGACAUUACGACACAUAGGGUAGUUAAGUACGAAAACAUCAUAAUAGCACAUUCUAUGACGAUCAAGUGCAAAGUGGUGCGAAACAAAAGUGUGCAACUGAAGAUUUUCUAAAGAUGAAUGGAAUCAACAAUGAUGGAAGUUUCGCAGGAAAAAGAUGAGCUGAGUAAGGCAUGGGUCCGUUGCCUUGUGACUUGCUUUUUUUCACUCACCCACUUUGAUGACCAAAAAGGAGCCUUCGUCCUGCUUUUUUAUCAACAGGAGAAGAGAAACAAAAAAGUGAGAGCAUUUACAAUUCUUGUGGACCUCCAAAUGAUUGUGUUCCUAGUGGAAAUUAGAAUCUAAAAGAAAAACUAAAUAUAUUUGUACAUCUCUCUAAUAAAAAAAUUAUUCUUUUUGACCCUAAUGCUCAAAUAAUAAUUGAGAGAUAUAUGAUUUGUCAAAUAAUACAAACGGUGAUACGAAAGUUAAAUGUAUUUUAGGUCUCAUACUAAUUACGUUCACAAAAAUUGUAGGUUCAUUUUAGAAAUUAGAAUCAUACGUUCAAAUAUCAUGAAAACAAGUUUGAGUUGGAGCUAUAUGCACACAUUCCAAAAGCCUAAACUUAAUCAAUUUAUUAAAUUUGUAGUGUAUUUGAUGUGCUUUCAAGUGGCAAUCCUCUACGCCGAUGCAUAUGAGUUUCAAAAAGUUAUCAUAUAUUUGCUCUCGUUGCAAUUACACCCACUGAAACUAAAAUUGAUUUGAGAAAAUUCUUUGAAUUUUCAUCCUCACUAUUAUUUGAAUGAUUUAGAGAAUUUUCAAACGAGAAUACAGAAAAACAUUUUCACUUUUUGGCUUCAAGAAUAAAAUACACGUUUUCCCUUUUCACCAUUUUCGUUCUCGUCUAAAAAAGCGGCUCAUGCUUUUCUUUAACUCCCUUCUUUUCAUAUUCAUUCACUUUGGACAUUUCCGUGACUUUUUUAAAAGUUAAAGCUUUUUCCAAUGCUAAAGGGAUUAUUCUUUUCAAUCCAUUGCUCCAGGAAGUUUCAAAGAAAUUUCCUGUUCAAGAUUUUUUCUCAUUGUUCUUUAUUCUUUUCAAUUCAUUGCUCCAAGAAGCUUCAAAGAAAUUUUCUAUUCAAGAUUUUCUUUGCAAUCCAUAGCUCUAGGAAGCUUCCAAGAAAUUUCCUGUUCAAAAUUUUCUUUUCUUAUUCUUUUCAAUCCGUAGCUCCAGCAAGCUUCAGAGAAAUUUCCUAUUCAAGAUUUUCUUUUCAUUGUCCUUUAUGAUGUAAGACAAUUUAGCUAAGAAAUUCUAAUGCUAUUAAAUAAUAACGAUGGGUAUAUUAAUUCUCUUUAAUUUGCCAAGAAGACAAACAAAUUGUUAUGUGGCUUCAGUAAUUUCCCACUUGCUAACAUGAUCAUCCAGAAAGGAUGGUUAAAAGAUUCUUUUUGAUUAGUGAGAUAAUUUUUUUCAUUGCUCUUAUUAAUAGACACAAAUAGUAUAUGAAGAGACUAAAGUCUCACAAUAUAAAAAUCUGAUAUACUGAGAACAGGAUAUAUUAUUGAAAAUUAAACCAAACUUGUAUUGUUUAGUUCCAAUUUCUAUAGAAAAGUUUCCUACCAAUCGUGUUUUCGCAAAAACAGAUUCCAAUGAACUACUAACGGUUUUUUUUUUUUUUUAACAAAACAGGCCGUAAGUGAACUUGAUUUUAUAGUUACUUCUAAUGAAAAUGUUAUUGCUUAAAAAUACUUUUCAUGAAAACUACUUUUAAAAAUAAUUAUUUGUAAAAUCAUAUUUAUUAUCUAGGGUCAUGCGAGGGCUAGAACCUUUAUGGUCAUGGUGGCGGGGCUCAUCUCCAUCGCGAGUACUGACUUUCAUAAAAAGAGACACGUAACCAUAGAGUUCAUGACCUCCGUUGAUUCGCUCCAACAGUCAUCUAUAGUCACAGGAAGCCAUAGGAAAAAGGUGUGAUUUUACGAAUUAUGAUUGAUAAGAUAUCCUUGUGCUCAAAAGCCCUUUUUGCUUUUUGCCACUAAAUGGUUUCUGAAUCAACAAUCUUUUUAAAAGUCCAUUUUCUCGUCUCAGCAAUUUGUCCUUUUCUUCUUUAUGUACUAAGAAAAAGGAACGUCAAUGUACCCACCGGUGGACAGCUGUGUUGGUUGGGCGUUUUCUCUUCUUCAAUAAGGUCAAGGAUUCAAAUUCUUGUGUUGUCAAUACAUGUCUUAAAUGGGAGGCCAUGACGACGUAUGACGGUGCCACCGGCACUAGCGAGCGGUGUGACCUUGAAGGGAUCUUAGGCGGAUCCUCGGUUACCUUAAAAAGAAAAGGAAAAAAAAGGAACGUCAUUGUGGUGGGCAAAGUUCAUUCAAAGGGAUCUACAUUGUUCAAUCGGUGCUAUCAAAUUUGCGUCACAACUCACCAGCGAUAGCGACGGGCCUAAGAAAUCCUUUAUCUUUGUGUCUAAGGAAUCAACACGAAGUGAUUAAAAAAACAAUAGUCAAACACAAUUCAUUGUACUUACGUGAUAAAACUUACGAAUUUAAGAUUGUGCAAAUUCAAAUGUUGCUUAGAAUAUUGUCAAUCAUAUUCGUUUGAGCAAAUGACAUUAUAAGAGGUAUCUAGUUCGGUAUGUUUAUAAUGAAAAAACCCAUUUGUUAUUGAUAAGCCCACCUAAGAUGUCAGACCUGGCCUAAUUAGGUGAACCCAAUACAUGUAGGGAUUAAAACAAGAGAUGGCAUUUUCGGACUAAGGCAUAUCAAUAAUAUUGCCUUAAAGAUAGUGAUUUAUUCAAUAGGAUUCACGAUCCAAUUCAGUCGAAUCCAAUGGAAAUCUUAACCCUAGAUACGAUGCCUAGACUCUCUAAUUUUGCUCGCUUAGUCCAUGUGACAAGCAAAGGAUGAAUACGAUUCAAGCCUUGAAGAGACCGUCAAUUUAGAGAAACCAUGAGAGAGACAAGGAGGAGAAGAAGGAACAUGGGAUNNNNNNNNNNNNNNNNNNNNNNNNNNNNNNNNNNNNNNNNNNNNNNNNNNNNNNNNNNNNNNNNNNNNNNNNNNNNNNNNNNNNNNNNNNNNNNNNNNNNUCUUAUUCAUUGAUGAUAUUUGAAAUCUAAGUUAGAUGAAUGUUAAGUUUUAAAAAGUAAUAAUCUAACUGAUGGAUAAGAAUUAAAAGACAAGAUAACUAGUGAGCAAUUUUGGCCUUGAAGUUUUAAUUUAUUCAAUGUGGUAAUUGAACUUUUAAUUUGUUCAAUAUAAUUCCUGAACUUUUAGUACAUAUUCAAUACAUUACUUGAAUUGUAUGAAAAUAUUCAAUAUAGUUAUUCCAUUAAUUUAAGACCAGGGGCUACAUUGAAUAUUAUUAUAUAAUUUAUGAAAUAUAUUGAACAUGUACCAAAAGUUUAUGGACUAUAUUGCACAUUGGGCUAAAGUUCAAGGGUUAUAUUAAACAUAUUAAAAGUUUAUAAACCAAAUUGUAUAUUGAGCCAAAGUUUAUGGACUAUUUGUAUCAUUUUUCCUAAAAGAAACCCAAAACAAUCUCUCACUAUUUUUCAAAGGAGGAAUUAUUAUAACACAAACAUUGACUUCCAAUACGAUGUAUGAACCAUAAGGAUAUGUGGUGAAGCAAAAUGUAGUAGUUGAUGGUUGAAUUGUCGAUUGAUUGUAAGAUAUUAUUGAUAGUGUACGAAAGAUACUUUACAAAUACACGUGAAAAGAGAAAAGAUGUUUUCUCAAUUGAAUUUUUUAGUAGGGUUUUGUUGUGAUAUGAAAAACAGUCGAAUCUUAAAAUUAAAGUAUGUGCAAAAUAAGAUUGGAUUAUUAAUUUAUAUAUUAAUAAUCCAAUUCAUCGAAUAUGAUUUCAUUUCCUCACCGCGCGGUGUAGACUGCUCUCGAAGCGUCUCUACUCUCUACUCAACCGGUGGGAAGCGGAAGCGGAAGCAAGCCAGGAAAUCGAAAUAUCCGCCGAGCAAAUUCGCCGAAUUCUCCCUCCCGACGAUUUCAUCGUGCGUCCCGAGCUUGACCCUCGAUUCCUUCUGUUCAGAUGGUGAGCAGCACCAGCUUCUCUGUGGCAUUUCAUCGAACGGCCAAGUUGCGGUCUUGGUGCAAGGCCAGAAAGUGGGGGAAGUUAACGUUUUGAUGCUGAUGGUAUCCUCCGGUUUGCAGGAGGCGGCGCCGGAGAAGCAAUCGCCGUCGCUCGACGAUUGCCUCAAGCUGUUGAGAGGCGAGAGAGACGAGCAGCGCCUGGCCGGCCUGCUCUUGGUGACCAAGUUCUGCAAAGGGGACGACCUCGCUUCGCUGCGCAGGGUUUACGACGCCGUCGGGGCGCAAUUCCUCGACCGCCUCCUCAGAACCGGUAAUUUUGGGUGACGCCUUGGUUGUUUUUCGGUUCUGUCGUUAGUGGGAGUCGCGCAGCCAUGACUUGGCUAAAAGAAUUACCUUUCCGAUUGGCUAUUUGACCUGCGAGAUGGCAUGUUCAAGUGAAUAUCAGCAUUCUGGGAAUGGUAGGCAGUGCUUCGAGGAACACGCGAGUUCCGAGCGACAUGAAUUAACUUGUGUCAGCAUAUAAGUCUAAUAACAUGUUACCGGCGAUAAUGACGUAGUAGAUUUAACUGUGCAGAAAAGAUUUUUCUACACUACGAUCCCUAUAUGAUGACAGAAGCGGUUUGAAUAUGUGAAGGUUGUUAAUUUUUAUUGUGACUUGCUUCUUUGGCAAGCAAUGAAGAGAUGCUAUAAGCUCUCAUGGUUUGUUAUAUGGCAAAGAGAAUCCUUUAUGAGUAGCAAGUCCCCAAGCUUGCUGACAGUGAUGAGAAAUGAAUACGUGACUCUUGCGCUUAAGUGAUUGUGUGGCUCUUUGGGGUGGGGAUUUGCUGAAAAAAAAUUGAAUGGACUAUCAGUUUGCAUUGGUGGAGCUCUUUCUCCCUAUUGAAGCAUCAGUAAGAGAGGAAUGGCAUGGUGAAAUUGAUAGUAACUGUAUAGGCAUCAGUUUCGGUAAUUUGAACCUCACCUAUUGCAAGGCAUUUCUGUUUCAGUUGGCUACAUGAAGCUCUUGUCUUUGAGUACCUCUGACAGUUCUGUUGAUGGAACCAUUGUGGCUGAUGGAGUUUCUAUAGUCUAAGUGCCGAAAGAUCUCCUUAAGCUUUCAGUUUAGUUAUAUGCCCCUUGAAUUAUAGCGUUGAAUGUGGUCCGGUCUUGUAAAAACCUCUUCAAUUGGAUUGUCAUGGCUGCUUCUGAGGAUAUUGAAG